rnacentral:lncRNA from 1 species
GCCAUGCAUAAAUCACCUACACCCCUCUUCCAAAUUAACAAGCCAUGCACAAAUCAAAUUCCCAUACAUCAAUAUUAUUUUACAUGUCUUUUUAACAGACUGAAUUCAUUAAGACAGAAGAGUACAUAACUCAGAGGUGAAUCCUACACAGCCACUUCUACAGAACCCCAAAGAUGUAAAAGGUCAGGAACAGACACCCAAGCACAAAUGCAGAGGUUGAAAGCUCUGAGGAACUGGGUAGCACCAAAUAAAUGCCAGAAGUAAAUGCUAUCACCAUUCCUAGGAUGGAAACGUAUGUGAGUAUGGCUGAAAAUUUUAUGAAACGUAGAAGCAGAUGAUAGUUUCGUUCCAGUGAAGCAAAAAAGUGGAGAAACACUGCUGCAGUUGAGCAAUAGAAAGCUAUACCAUCUGACAACAAGAAGGCCUUGAAGGCUAUCUUUGUUGAGAGAACUGCUUUACCUUUGUCGGGGCCUUCAUCAUUGUACCCACCAGGUAGAGUAAAGCCUGCUGCAAAAGUGACAGUUGCUAUGAGCGUCGCGACCAAUAAAUGGGUGUUGGAAAUGUCCUUGAGACGAUGAGAUCGAAGUUGCUUUUCUUUCAUGAUUUCUCUGUUCCUAUCAAGAAGUAUACUCAUAUUGCUAGCAGUACGAGACGCGCCAUCACUGCUCUGAGUACUGGUCUCGCUAGCACUACGAUAUAUGCCAUCACUGCUCUUUUGAUGUCCAUUGUUAUCAGUCCACAUAUUUGCAUUUUCCUGGUAUCCUUCAUUGUCACCAUUUUGCAUAUAUGCAUUUUCUCUAAUGACCAACCGGUGUAAACUUUGUCGACCACCAGCAUGCUCCAACUUCCUCAUGAUCCAAUACUGGCAGUCAUUUGAAAGGAAUUAGAAUGAACUUUUAAAGCAAAGCUAUGGGAAAAUUUUUGAAUCAAGCAUUGAAUCCAGUGGCUAGCUCUUAAAGAGUACAUCAAACACAUUGAAUAAUAUUAGCCAUCCAUUUCAGAUACUUUUUUUUUUUUCUCUUUUUUAAGUAAUCGCUUAACAGAUUGAAUGGCUAUAAUCAUUCAACAUGAUCUUUCUUUAUCAAAUAUCUUCAGAGAGAUAUGAGAAGCCUCACCAUGUCUAAUUAAAAUUUGUCUCAAUCUUUACAGUAACGUACCUUGAUUAUUUCUCCAAUAUCCAUAUUUGACUGAACAAUGUCAAUAGUCUUCAAAUACUCAUUGUUCAUUGCCCUUUUGUCCACUCUAUCGUCUGCAGCCAACAUAUUCACAACCCCGUAAUGUCCAUAAAUGGCAGCUAGAUGAAGUGGUGUGUUACCUUCCUUAUCUGGCUCAUUUAUGAUACUUUCCAAGUUUGGCUUCUUCAGGAUAUAUUUAACAACGCUAGCCUUUCCAUAUUGAGCUGCAAUAUGAAGAAUUGUGCGGCCUUUGUUGUCAAUCAAAUCAUAAACAUCUGGAAGACAUGUGAUAAUCUUUUCCAUUACAUUAGUGUGGCCCUCUUUGGCUGCAAUGUGGAGAGCACAACUGUGUUCUCCAUCCAAUAUGCCAGCAACAGUUUUGUCUUUCGUCAGUAACUUCUCAGUUGCUUCGAGGUGACCCAAGUGGGCAGCAUAAUGAAGAGGGGUCCACCCAAAUUCAUCUGGCUUUUUUAUCACAUCCUUCUUCUCUUCAAAUAGUACUUCCAUAAUAUCUAGACAUUGGGAGAAGAAGGUUAGAAAUCUUAAAAAGAAGUGGAAGAAUCUACUUAAAUAGCAUUUCAUACUUCACCAAAAUUCUGUCGAGAAAUGGAAGGCGACCAAAACACCAUUUCCCCCAUAUUUUAAGCAUAAAAAUGUCCUCAAUAAUGAUCCCCUUCAUUUCCAAAAAAAAAAGGGAAAAUCCUCAUACAUCUUGAUAAAUAAACACAUGGCUUAAUCAGUUGUAUGGUUUGAAAGUCUUUUCUUUUUACUUAUAUAGGAAUGGGUGUUCAAAUUGGGUGAGAAUGGAGAGAACUCUCCGCUCAUAAGCUUUUUGCAGUAAAAAGGAAAAGGGAAAAAAUCCAACUUCUUAGGCUAUGUUUGGUUCCCGGAAAAUGCAAGAGAAAGAAAAUUGGAAGGAAAAAUGGAAGGAAAGAAAAAACUAAGAAAAGUAAUAUAAUUUUUUUUUUCACUUGUUUGGUUAUCCAUGAAAAAUUUAAGGGAAGAAAAAAAAAAAGAAUUCAUUUUUUUUUUGUUUGGUUAAUCACGAAAAAAAAAGUUAAGGAAAAAUGGAAGGAAAACAAAAUCAACAAUUUGUCUUAUAUGGUUAUCAAUUUGUUGAAUAAUAAAAUAAAUUUUAUGCUCUUAUUUUCUAAAAUUAUGUUACUAUACUAAUGCUUCGAUAAUCUAUAUGAUAUAUCUAGAUUGAAGUAGCAUGACCUAGUACAAAAUUUACAUUUAUUAUUGUUAAAUUAUAGCCAUGGAGAAUUGAAGUAAUGUUAAAACAACAUCAACAAAGAAACAGAAAAUGCAAACCACAUGAAAAAUAAAAUAAAAAAACAGAGAAAAUCUCUACUAGCAUAUAAGAGUUUGACAUAACGACUUGAAGUGACUUAAUGAUUUAAUUUAUUUAUUUUUAUUUAAUCUAAAUUUUUUUCAGUUGAUUGUUUUAAAAAAUAAUUAUAUAAAUAUAAAAAAUAAUUAAAAAUAAAAUAUUAAAUAUAAAAUUUAUUUUUAAAACAUCAAAUAUAGAUUAAAAUAAUUCCAUACCCAUUUUUGUUUUCCAAAAACAUUAAAAAAUUGUUUUUAAAAAUUGUUUUAAAAAGGGUUGGCAAACACACCCUUAUUGAAAAAAAUAUACAGUAAAAAUAAAAAAAUUAUAUAUAUAUAUAUAUAUAUAUAUAUAAAAAGAAAAAAAAGAGAGAGAAGGGCCAAUAGAGUGGGUUUACAGGGGGGGCAUGUGCUCUUCCAUUCAAACUUGCUUUCAACUAUUUUACAGUUCGACUGUCUUAAAAUCGAAUGGAAAAUGAAAGCGUUUCAUUCAAAACGCUCGUUGAUCUCCGAGAUUUCGCCUCGGCUUUCGUUUUAUAAUGCCGCUCAUCAGAGAAGUUUCGGAAGUUUUGCUUAAAACCCUACGAAAUUUCCUGAGCCCUUAUACUGAAGAACCAAGUAUCUCUUCUUUGAAAUAUUUGUAUUGAUGCUUUGUUUGUCUCGUGAGAAAAAGUUAGGGUAAAGAAUGGGAGUGAGGAGAUUUAGAGAAGGAGAGGGGAAAAAAAUGUAAAAAAAAGAGGAUUUUUCCUCUCAUUUUCAGGUAGCCAAAUGAUGGUGAUGAACUUAAAUGGAUUGGGGGUUUGGUAAAUUAGGCCUACACUAUAGUUUUUUGUUGAGAAAAGUAGGGGAAAAAUAAUGGGAGAUGAGAAAAUUUGGAAAAGAAAAUAACCAUCUAUUUUGAAGAAUUUAUUUCAUCCAUGGGAACUUGAUUUGAAGAACGCUAGAGUUGUUGAAAUCUUUGUCAACCACCGCAAAGCCUGGCGUAGGGAGGAGAAGCGUGUGGUGGACUAGAUCCACGCCGCCGCAGAGGAGAUCGCCUGCCUGAGGGCCAAGGUGGGGGAGCUAGAGCAGUUCGAGGUGGAGCUGAAGGCCAUGGUGGAGGAGCUAACCAGGGAGGUGGGGGAGAGGGAGGAGAUGCUCGGUGAGGACGAUACACAAGCCCGAUAAAAUUUCCUCCAACUUUUCCCUUCUCUUUUUCUCUUUAUUUUCCUCAUUAUUUUUCAAGGAAACUAGUUGGGAAAAUAUCAUGAUAUUUUCUUUAAUAUUUUCCUUUAUAUUUUUUUUCCAUCACAUUUUCCAUGUCAUCCAAACUAAAGAAAAUAAUUUUUCACAUGAUUUUUUUCCUUUCCUUAGCAUUUUUCGGGAGCCAAAUAUAGCUUUAGUAAACAAGAAUGAAAAGGGCAUAGGAUCUUCUUACUUGAGCUUAAUUAACUUUAAAAAGGGGACAAAAGGAAUUGAAGUCUUAUUAAAGCAGAGGAAUUUACCAAUUUUAUCAUUUUUUCCUUUGAAGUAUCCUCGUACCCGAAAGAAAAAGUUCGUAACCACACGGCCAUGUUUUCCCCGAAAGAAAAAGUUUGUAACCACACGGCCAUGUUUUCCCCGAAAGAAAAAGUUUGUAACCACACGGCCAUGUUUUCCCCGAAAGAAAAAGUUUGUAUCCACACGGAGAUGUUUUCCUUUGAAGUAUCCUCCUACCCGAAAGAAAAAGUUUGUAACCACACGGCGAAGAUUUUCUAGAGAUAAUUCGGGAACUUCUUGGCCUGCAGCAUGAUAUAACAAACUAAAAUCAGUGGUAUCCCCAUAAAAAUAACAAAGAAGGCCAAAAAAAAAAAGGUUUGCCUUUUAGUUUGUUCAUCUUGCAUAAGGGAUUGAAAAAAGGAAAAGGAAAAAAAGAAAUAUUUGUUGAAAUAAUUUUCAAAACUUCAUUCCAAAAAAGGAAAUAAUGAAAGUUGAUAUUUUUCAUCUUCUUAAUUUCUUUUCUUCAACUUCUUCCUCAUUUUUCUCUCCAGGCAUGGUGGUAAGACUUGGGUCUUAGAAAGUCAACACCCAAAUGCCUGAAGACUUGGGUCCCUUUUUUUUCUUUUUCUUUUUUGUCACAAGAAUUAUCACUGGUUGCAUGCCCAAAUUAACUUGAAAAAGUAAAACAAAUCAACAUUAGAAAUGAAGAUUUCAGAUAUAUUCCUACUAACCAACAUUGGAUUGUGUUCCUGGAAACCAUUCUCCUCCUAGAUGCAGUCCAAGUCCAUUUACAGACAGCUCGGGUAUGGAUUUACCCAGCUCAGGACCUACAAGUUAGGGAGAAUCGAAGAAAUCUUAUAAGUAUACAAAAGCAAGAAUGAACAUAAACUUUUAUGCAUAGAAAGAUUUUGACCUUUAUGGGUACGAAUCACAGCUGCAUGUAAAGCGGUCAUCCCUUUCGUGCCCUCACAGGAACAUUCAGAACUGUUUCCUUUCAACAGUUCGUUAGCAAUCUUGAAAAACCCCCUUUCCACAGCCAAAUACAAGGGGGACUCUUUAUGAUUAUUAACCAAAUCCAACAACUUAGGAUUUUCUUGAACCAACCGGUUCACCACCUCAAGAUGACCAUUCCUCACAGCCACAUGCAGUGCCGUAUCAGCCCUCUCAUUCUUCAUUUCCAGUGCUUGCUUGGCAUUUUUACUUUCAAGAAAGCACUUAACCAUGUUACUACAGCCAGUUCUCGAGGCGAUAUGCAGCGGAGUGUCGCCUUUGAAGUCAGCUCUAGUCAGAAGCUCUGGAAACUUCUCAACAAGAGCUUCAGCAAAGCCUAUGCACUUGAAAUUGGCAGCAAUGUGAAGAGCAUUGCGUUUCUGGGAUGUGGCUUGGCAAGGAAUACUCUGGAGGCUAUGUGGCUUCUGCAAGUAGUCCUUAUCCCCAGUUUUAGCAGCUAUGUAAAGAUCAGUAUCCAUGUCUUGACAAGGGAAAUCAGAAUCCAUGGGGAUGCUUGCUAGGAAUCUCCUUCUUUGCAGUCUACGUAUAUAUUACUAAAAGAAUAGACCAGUCCACAUCAAAUGGGGUACAGAGCUUGGUCAACAAUAAUUGCACCUCUCACCUACUGCAUUAACAGAGCUCAUAUCAUCACAAAAACUUUUUAGUACAUAUAAAUAAUUUUGUUUCAUAAAGUAUCAUUAUUAUUACUUCAAUAUAUAUUAGUUUUAUGAAGGGUUUAUGAUUGUAGACGAGUCAAAAUUCAUCCAUUUUGGUUUUGUUUAUCACCUAGUGUGGGCAUUUUGGCUCUUUUACGGUGUGUCCAUCGAUGCAAAUGCUUACACAAAGCUUCAAUGAAUUUUGUGGCACCCACCAAAGCUCCCAAUUCAGAAAUGUUGUUUUUAAAAUAAUAACAGAAUUGAGUAAUUUUCUUGCUUUCUUAUCUCCAAUGUUUUUGCUAAAUACUUUCACUUUUGGAGCUUGGUUUUAUUUCUGAUUUCGUAAGUCCUAAGAUAUCUACUACCAUGUACCUUGAAAGGUUGGUGUUGAAUCUAUUGAUUAAUUGUAUAUGUUAGGACAAUGAGUCUUCAUCAUAAGUUAGCAAUUUUGUUCCUUUUAAUUUUUGGCUUAGGAAUCUUUUUAAAUAGUGACUUACUUUCUAUUAAAGAUUCAAGGUUGUUGUUCGAUCAACUGAAAAGUCAUAUGUAAAUCUAAAAAGGUUUGAUUUGUGGCAAGUUAGGUGUUUAAAAGGUUUAAGUGGAUUGGUAUAUUUUUUAUUGGAUUAAAAAUGUUUUAUUUAAUAUUUUGAAAAUGCAAGGGAUGCUCGAGUGGUGGAAAUAGUGCUUAAGCGUUGGGACCACUCAAAACACUUAUCCAACACUUAAGUGAUCAAGGCACUCAAGUGGUAGGUAAGUGCGCUCAAGUGCUCGUCCCAAAUCUGUGAAAAUAUGGUAGAAUAUUUUUGGAUAAUUCAUGCAAAUUGAGUUUGGAAACUUCACUAUACCAAUCCCCUAAGGCUUGGAGGCCUAUAUAAACCCAUUAUAACCCUUUUAGUAUGAAGUGUAUUAAAACCAAAUGGAAGAAUAAAUAAUCAAAUGGAAGAAUAAGACAAUUAAGGAGAAAGAUUACAUGAAGAUAGGACCUUAUGCUUCAACAAUAAGUAGCCUUAUGUAUGUGAUGUUGUGUCCUAGAUUAGAUGUUUGUUUUACUGUAGGAAUGAUGAGUAGAUAAUAGUCCAAUCCAAGUAUAGAGCAUUGGACAACGGUCAAGUAUAUACUCAAGUAUCUUUAGAGAACAAGAGAUUAUAUGCUAGUGUAUCAUUGUGAUGAGUUGUUACUCGUUGGGUACAUGGAUUUAGACUUUCAAUCUGAUAGAAAUUCUCACAAGUCUACCUUUAGGUUUGUGUUCACUCUAGUGGUAGGGUUGUUAGUUGGACAAGUUUGAAGCAAUCCUAUAUUGUUGACUCUACCUUGAAAAUAUAGUAUGUUGUUGCUUUUGAACCUGUAAAGGAAACCGUUUAGCUUCGAAAGUUCCUGAUUGGACUUGGGGUAGUACUUUUGGUUAUGUCACCCUUGAUACUAUUUUGCCAUAACAAAGAGACGGUAGCACAAUCUAAAGAACCAUGAAUCCAUUGGAAAUGUAAACAAAUAGAGAGAAAGUAUCGCUUGAUACAUAAGAUAAUAAUGAGAUGAGAUAUGGUUAUGGAGAAGAUUGCUUCAAUGGAGCACCUAGCAGAACCCUUCAUGCAUGAAGACUUUGUCUACUAGAGUCUUUGAUGAUCAUAGGGAUAACUUGAGUCUCAAAUGUGUUCCAAGCAUGCCUUAGGGCAAGUGGGAAUUUGUUGGGACUUAGCCCUAAAAGGUAUGACAUGACGUAAUAGAUUAAAAUUUAUUUAUAAUUUUAUUUAUCUAUAUUUCUUGGUUUUCCAUUUAUUAUCUCAUAUGUGUUAAUAGGUUAUUUGAGCAUAAAUGUUCAUAUCUCUUACAUUGUAUAUGACUUGGAUGCAUUAAGAAUUGCACAAAGGAUACAAGUCAUAGGUUCGUUGUAAGUAGAUAAGUUGUCUAUAGUCAAUUCAAAGAUUUGGGAAAUCUAGUAGAAAUUAUAGUGUAGUGCCUCAUAAUUUGAGGGAUGACUUAUCUUGGUCAUCAAGAUAUCUUUUCCAUGGUGAGUGCACUAGUGUAUAUGGUUACACAUUGGAUAGUACCCAUGGUGAAUCAUGACACAAGGCUAUCAAUUAUCAUGAUUCACUAAGCUACUAUACUGCAUGGACUCUAAACCUUGAGAAGAUAUUGAACAUGUGCCCAAUUUAAUGAGAGUCUUUAACCUAUAGGUGAGAUCCUAAGGUGGUCAUAUAUCCUUAUGGAUUUGGUCACUACUAAUAAAUGUCGUUGGCAAUAGGUAUUUUCAAAAUAGGCACCCUGAUAUAUCAUAAGUUUGAGACUAUGUGUCCUCUUGGGUGAUUUAAAGGACAUGUGAUUUAGAAGACUAUGGUCAUAGCAUUUCCUUUAGUAAAAAUUUGACAUAUGCUCUUUGUAAGUAGAGUAUGUCAAUUGGUCACAUAAUAAGUGAGGUAUAUAAUUCAAGGAUUAGAGAAGUAAUCUUGAUAGGUAAUAGUAUUACCUUGUUAGAUUAUGAUACAAAUUCAUAAGAGGUCUGUAUGUAGUGGAUAGUAGGUCACAGACACAAGUUUUGUCUCAUUAUUAUUUACAUAAGGUAUUGGAGUACAAUUGAUUCUCUAUAGUGGGAUGUUGAAUUAAUUUCCAAAUUGGAUUAUGAGAAAGUGAAUACUCUUAUGGGUUCAAUGGUCCCAAUUCAAGCUUAUAUACCUUGAUGGCAUAGUUUACAAGGGUAGGAUUGACACUAGGUUCACUUUUAUGCAAAAGAGUGUUUUGGUAAUUACGUGAGGUUGUAUAAAGGAUAGUGAACAAGGUCUUUGGAUUGAUUUAAUUGAAUAAUUCGAUGGUUCUAUGAGGUUAAUUAAUCAAUUAUGACUCAUUUUGGCUAGAUUAAGUGAUCCAAGAUCAAUUAGGAAAUCUUAUAAAUUCCCCUUUAAAGAUUAAGGUUCCCAUGACUUUUGAGAAGAGAGUCAUCUUUCACCUCCAAAGAGUUUAGAGCCAUAGCUUCCUCUCUUCAAAAGAUCCACUCUUUGAAGUGCCAAGAUUGAAAUGUAGUCAUUAGGCAAAUGAUCUUGGGUUUAUAAGACCUCUUGAGACUUUAGGCUUCAUCUUCACCGUGUGGAUUAGAUUUGGGAACGUCUAAAUUGGAGGUAAAGUUUUCUAAAGCUUUUAAUCUAGAUUCUUUAUUGUUAAAAAAAAAUAUUAUUUUUGCUUCCAUUGCUUAGAAUCUAAAAGCCUAGGGCAGAUUGCAUGUAUCUAUAUAAUUCAGGGCUUAGGAACAAAGUAAUUCAGGGUUCCCAUCAUAUGGUGGGAAAGGUGUAUCAUUCUUCUUUGGUUUAUGAUAAGAUAUGUUAUCGUCAUUGGAAAAUAUGGUACCACUUUUUUAUUAAAAAAAUGAAAAAAUAAAAAAAGGUAAAGCUAAAGUGUUUUGAAAGUACCACUAUGCUAAAAGAAUGGUACACUUUUAAUACACUUUAGUGGUACCUUUUUUUUAAUAAAAGAAUGGUACUCUCUUUUUCAAAGGUUGUGUUGAUUGAUGUUAUCAUGUAAUAUCACCCACUAGAUUCAAAUUAUUUCAUCAUUAGAUAAGAACUCAUGCACAUAAUGAGUGGUAACAGACCUUAUCCUAAACAAAAGAAGAAUGGUACAUUUUUUCUAUCAUAGUGGUACUUUCAACUGAGUUCAAUGGUACUUUUCUUAUAAAAUAAUGAUACCUUCUUUUCCAAGGGUUGUGUUGAUAGGUGUUAUUACACAAUAACAUCUACUUAAUUCACGUUAUUUCAUCAUUAGAUAAGACAUCAAGUACAUAAUGAGUGUUAACAUACCUUCUAUAAACCAAAGAAAAGUGGUACAUCCUUUCCACCAUAGUGGUACUUAAUUUUAACGUACUUUAGUGGUACUUUUUUCAUAAAAGAGUAGUAAUCUCUUUUUCAAGAGUUGUGUCGAUCAAUGUUAUUGUACAAUAAUACACCUAAUUCACAUUAUUUCAUCAUAACAUGUAACGAAGAAUAACAUGUCUUAUCAUAAACUAAAAAAGAGUGACACAUAUUUUCCAUCAUAAUAGUACUUUUAAUAUACUUGAGUGGUACAUAUUUCAUAAAAGAGUGCUACCUUUUGAGUCAACAAGGUGCACAACUUAAGUUGUGCAUUACUUUGAGGUGCACUAAUUUAGUGAUCGAAGAGGAUGCACUAUUUUUUAUUGGCACUCUUAAAAGGUGUCCAACUUCAAUAUGCAAAAGUUUUUAUUUUUAAUAAAAUUAAUAUAAAUGAUUAAAUGUAAUUUAUAUAUAUAUAUAUAUAUAUAUAUAUAUUAUUUUAUAUAAAUAAAAAUAUUAAACAUUUUAACCAAGAAAAAAAAAUUAAAACUAUGGUGAAAUUAGAACCAUAAACAAAAAGCUAAAACCAUAAUCAUUGAUUCUAAUUUUCAUAUGAAAAUUUAAAAAUUUUUAAAAAUAUAACAAUAAAAUAAUAUCGCAGGAUAUUUUUAUUUAAUUUAUAUAUGAUUAGAUUUAUAAAACAAAUAAUAUUUUUUUUAGUAUGGAUAUAUAAAAUCUUAUAUCCUAAACCUCUAAAUUUUUUAUUAUAUAUUUAUUUUUAUAUUAAAUUUGUUCUCAUUAAUUAUUUAUUAUACAUUAUUAUUAUUUAUUUAAAAUAUCCAUAAAUAAUUGAAAUCAAUAACUAUAAAAAGAUGAAAUGGUGACAAAUUUUGAAAUUAAAAAGAUUUCAUGAAGCCAAUACAUUAAAAAAAAAAAAAACAUUGUAGAGUGAAAAAAAAAAAUUUCAUAUGGUAUGGUUGAUUGUCACACGAUAAAGUUUUUAAAAAAUAAAAAUUGUUAUAGUUCAUGGUAGGUAGGAGGAGAAAAGGGUAAUUUUAGAAUUUUGAUGAAUAUAACUAUUUAAGUGUAUAUUUAUAGGAUUAGUUUUUGUAAGUGAGAAGUCAAGUCAAACCUCUAAAAAAAAAAUCUUUUUUUUUUUAAGGUGCACAUGAUUAUAUGAUUCUUCCUAUCUCAAGGCUGGGGCCCAUGCUGAAAUAAUAUGUCAAUAACCCUCCAUAAAGUAGAGUUGUAAAGGCUACUUCCCUUCUGUCUCUGAUAUUUCAGUCUAGUGUGGCUGCUUUUAACGCUUCAUCUACCUCAUCUUCUUUUACGUUGAGCGUGGAAUCCACCAUCAUCUCUAGCCUCAGCAUAUGAUUUGAACUUAGGAGUACCCACACUGACUUUUCAAGUUUUGUCCAGUUGAGGAAACGUUGAAAAUUAUUUAGCAGAAGACUGAUAAUGCAACCUUCUUCAUAAGAUGGGUGAUUUUUGAACACUACUGUACUCUAACCAAAUACCAUUUGUGCUUAUAUACGUACGUAAACGUUAUAACAAGACCAAUCAAGCAAAAUUAUCAUUUUGGUGGAUAAGGGUGUUUUGAGCAGCAUUAGUACAAAAGAAUCAAUUCUCUUCCCCAAGAACAGACGAAGCUCAGUUGUCCAAAAGUGGGGUAGAGGAAGACUGGAAGAGCAGUCCUUGUUAAAAGCCGAUAGCCUUUUCUCUCAUUCCAAAGCAUAUGAUGGACCCUCUAUGUCCCCUCAUAGGUUAUUAAAAACGUACCAAAUGGGAGGGCCAUCUUGUUGGAGCACCGCAUAUUUGACAAAAUAUCUGAAGACCUUCACUGAAUAAUCCAAUUCUGGAUUUGGCUGCCUCCUUAUCAGUCUUUCUUUAUAGCCCCAAUUAUUUCUACCUUUUGGGACGGUGGUAGUGAGCAGAUAAUAUGGCUAUCGAGAUGGGAUUCACACUUCUUGUGGAGUGGUAGUUGUUGAACGUCUGGGUAAAAGGAGCCAUCUCCACUGUGAUACAGUGGAUGGAAUAUCUUUUCCCCUUUAUUACGCAAAUACUUGUUUAAUAAGUUCUUAUUCUCCUGCGAGUAACUUGCGAUUGAUUGUUUGAAUAGGUAGGGAAUUUGUUUAAAUUAGUUCCCCAUCCAUGCCCAUUAGAGGUUCUGAAAUUCAUUUGUAACAUUUAUGAUUUUUUGGAAAAUAAAAGACCUACUCCAAUAAUACCAAUAUGAAUGGUACCACCAAACUUUCGUACGUAUCUAUAAAGAAGGAGAAGGUGCCCAAACAAUGUAUCCAGAAAAAAACAUUCAAGAAAAUAAUCCCAACUACUAGAUUUCAACAAGUAGGAUUUUGAGCAUAAAAGAAAUAAAAUAAAAUAAAAAUAAUGACGGCUUCGAAUGACAUCACUGACCCAACGCAGGCAGAGGAGUUAGGAGUUGCGUGGAAAUUGUGAAAGGCGUAGAUCACGCCACGUGGAAGCAGUGGAGACAUGGCCAGUAGGAUAAUUAAUAUCCAUGUGGAUAACAGAGUGGAUCAAAACAAUGCCAUUCCCAUCAUGAAUGAACACUCAUUAACUUCUGCGUUUACUUGACUUUUGAGAGAUUUGCAAAACAUGUAGAGAGAGAUAUCACUGGAAGAGUUUUCUUCUCAUUAAUCAUGUUAUGACUUUUAGUAAUAAAAUAAGUAUGCAGCUGUUUAGAAAGAAAGAUCAGCAUGGGUAGUUGCAACGCGCAACAAAAAGUCCCAUCAGACUUCUCAUCCCUGGGAAUCUUACACUCGCUAGGUAGACUAAUCAAACCAGGACCCAACUGGUACAAACUACUGUUUCAACCACUCAAUAUUUAAGGAAUCGCUUCCUAGUCACUAAGAACAUAAACUAAUCAAACCCAACCUGGCACAGGCUACCUUAUCGACUAGUCAGUACUCAAGGGAUCAUUUCCUAGUCACCAAGAUCGUUAAUUUAGAAAAUCUUACACUGAAAAAUGACCUAUUCAUCUGCAUGAGCAUAUGCUUUUCACAUCCCACUGAAUAUAAUCUUAACAUCUGUUUCAUUAGUAUGAUUUUCUCUUAAGCUAUUGACUUCAAUAUUUACUAGGAAACGAUAUCAAAGGGAAAAAGAUUACCAAUUCAGAAAAAUGUAAAGCAAGGUACAAAAUACUAGAUGGAGAUAUCUCAAAGAAAGAAAUUCUUUUCCUAUAGCUAAACUAAUGCACACGAUCAAAUCUAACACUGACAUUUGUUCUUGGAGCCAGACAGAAAGCCAAGUACAGAUACAGAGUGUUUUCAAGAUGAGAUUAUUUGGUGUUUUUAACUAUUUAAGUUGAAUGAUGAAAACACAUGACUUCAACAAUGACAAACCAAAUUGGUUAGUAUCCUGCUUAAUAACCGUAGUUUGCUCCAUUCACCGGGCCAUAGCCUCCAGUGUGGCUUGCAUGUGCUGGGUUGGAUGCAGGAGAUGCAUACAUCGAACCAUGAGCUGCAUAAGAAUUAUAGCCUGGGUCAGCAGAUCCACCAGUUUGGGCCUGUGCUGGUGCAGCAGCUUCAGCCAUAAAAUUCUGCAACACAAACAAUCAUUACAAGCAGACAAGUCCAAUUUGAUUACAUAAUGAAGCAUUGACAAAGAAUAAACAAAAUUUUAAUGGAAAAAUCGACUUUUUUGGUUGAGUAAGAUCCCAAUAAAACAAUAAUUAAACAAUUCUAUAUUAUAAGUAAAAAUCAAUGAUGAAGCUAAAUGGAAAAGAAUGAAGUCCAACUGUCUGAAUUGCUGACCACACUUAACAUUUCAAUAAUAUAUAUCCUAUAAAAAAAAUUCUUUAAUUCUUUAAUUCUAGUAAUAAAGUCGGUCCCACCAUACCUACCCCCACACGCACCCAAACACCACAUACAAGGAGACAUCAGAAACAAUGAUCUAAUGCUAAGCAAUGUCAUUAUGCAAAUGGAAACUGCAAUAUUAGCAAAGACAAACCAACAACUUGGUAUCAAAAACAGGGAGGAAAAGUGCCUGUAUCAGUUGCUGAGCUGCUUGGACUUGGGAAGCAGUUCCAUUGAUUCACGUGGCUACAAAAGACUCUUUAGGAGAAAGUUGAGGAGUUCACAUGUGUAUAGGAAGAUGUUGGGCUUUGUGGAGCCUAGUUUUGUUUGAUCCGGUUUGACGACCCGACCCGAAUAAUAUUGCAUGACCUUUUUAAUGGGAGAUUUAUUGAGGCCUGUUGGGCCCGUUUAGCCCAUUGUGGAACCACCUUUUGUAAUUAGGGUUUUUUAGUAUGGUAGGGUUGCCGUGCUAUAUAUAUAUAGAGAAUAUUGUAGCCGCCAAGUUGUACUCUGUAUUCUUCCCUGAUAAUAGUGAUAUCCCUGCAACUCCGUGGAUGUAGGCAAAUUGCCGAACCACGUAAAUACUGUCUUGUGCGUGUGAUUGUUUUUCUUUGACGUGUGUUUUUCCUCUAAUUUUUUGUUUCUCACGGGUUGGGAAUUCGGUUUAAUUCCCUACAACUGGUAUCAGAGCCUAGGGUUAGGUUUGAGUGGGAGCAAUGGCAGAGAAAGCAGGAAAGGCGUCUGGAAUAGAAAAGUUUGAUGGCACAGACUUUGCGUAUUGGAGGAUGCAGAUUGAAGAUUAUCUCUAUGGGAGGAAAUUACAUCUGCCUCUUUUGGGGACAAAACCUGAGAGUAUGAAGGCUGAGGAAUGGGCGCUUCUUGACAGACAGGUNNNNNNNNNNNNNNNNNNNNNNNNNNNNNNNNNNNNNNNNNNNNNNNNNNNNNNNNNNNNNNNNNNNNNNNNNNNNNNNNNNNNNNNNNNNNNNNNNNNNNNNNNNNNNNNNNNNNNNNNNNNNNNNNNNNNNNNNNNNNNNNNNNNNNNNNNNNNNNNNNNNNNNNNNNNNNNNNNNNNNNNNNNNNNNNNNNNNNNNNNNNNNNNNNNNNNNNNNNNNNNNNNNNNNNNNNNNNNNNNNNNNNNNNNNNNNNNNNNNNNNNNNNNNNNNNNNNNNNNNNNNNNNNNNNNNNNNNNNNNNNNNNNNNNNNNNNNNNNNNNNNNNNNNNNNNNNNNNNNNNNNNNNNNNNNNNNNNNNNNNNNNNNNNNNNNNNNNNNNNNNNNNNNNNNNNNNNNNNNNNNNNNNNNNNNNNNNNNNNNNNNNNNNNNNNNNNNNNNNNNNNNNNNNNNNNNNNNNNNNNNNNNNNNNNNNNNNNNNNNNNNNNNNNNNNNNNNNNNNNNNNNNNNNNNNNNNNNNNNNNNNNNNNNNNNNNNNNNNNNNNNNNNNNNNNNNNNNNNNNNNNNNNNNNNNNNNNNNNNNNNNNNNNNNNNNNNNNNNNNNNNNNNNNNNNNNNNNNNNNNNNNNNNNNNNNNNNNNNNNNNNNNNNNNNNNNNNNNNNNNNNNNNNNNNNNNNNNNNNNNNNNNNNNNNNNNNNNNNNNNNNNNNNNNNNNNNNNNNNNNNNNNNNNNNNNNNNNNNNNNNNNNNNNNNNNNNNNNNNNNNNNNNNNNNNNNNNNNNNNNNNNNNNNNNNNNNNNNNNNNNNNNNNNNNNNNNNNNNNNNNNNNNNNNNNNNNNNNNNNNNNNNNNNNNNNNNNNNNNNNNNNNNNNNNNNNNNNNNNNNNNNNNNNNNNNNNNNNNNNNNNNNNNNNNNNNNNNNNNNNNNNNNNNNNNNNCAUCUCAUAACUUUUUUCCCCUCAUGACCUAGAAUAUUUAUAGAGAUAUUUCCAACAACCUUCCUUAUUUUAUAAGGAAGUCUAAUAUUAUAAUAAUAUAUCAACCUAAAAAUAUUCUAUAUAAUAUUCUUUACAAAAAGGAAUCUAUACUAAUUAGGAAUUUGGGACACUUCCUAACAAUCUCCACCUUUGACCAAAUUACAUGAAGUUAAUCUUCAAUCUCUCCAUGACACAAACCUUUUUGUAUCAUAUCACCACGAAAGAGCAAUCGACUCCACCUUCAAUGAAAAUUCCUUUUGUUUUCAUCUUGUGUACUUUGUGAUCUUUUACUCUUCCAGAAAUCUUCAACCCAAGCUCUGAUACCAAUUGUUGUGUCAAAAGGAAAACUACCAGAAUUGAAGUCCAUUGAUUUUGACAUGUGUGAAAGUUGCAUCUUAGGAAAGCAAAAAAAGGUGAGCUUCUUGAAAAUCGGCAGGACACCGAAGGCUGAAAAAUUGGAACUAGUACACACUGAUUUGUGGGGGCCUUCUCCGGUUGCAUCCCUAGGAGGUUCAAGGUACUACAUCACCUUUAUUGAUGACUCAAACAAUCACACACACAGUACACGAGAUUUUAAUGUGGUUCGGCCAACCAUGCCUACGUCCACGGAUGAGAGAGAAUAAUUCCACUAUACAAUAAAGAAUAUUAUAGAGGAUAGAACCAGAUACAACUAUUGGGUUCCCCAAACAUCCCAUGUUUCCCCACUCCUUGUAUCCAUACCUUACUACGAGUCCUCUCGCUCCACCAGGUACCUCCCGUUCUUCCUCACAUCUCUAUCCACCUCGUAUAGUCUCUAUAGGCCCAUCUCCAUCUCAUAACUUUUUUCCCCUCAUGACCUAGAAUAUUUAUAGAGAUAUUUCCAACAACCUUCCUUAUUUUAUAAGGAAGUCUAAUAUUAUAAUAAUAUAUCAACCUAAAAAUAUUCUAUAUAAUAUUCUUUACAAAAAGGAAUCUAUACUAAUUAGGAAUUUGGGACACUUCCUAACAAUCUCCACCUUUGACCAAAUUACAUGAAGUUAAUCUUCAAUCUCUCCAUGACACAAACCUUUUUGUAUCAUAUCACCACGAAAGAGCAAUCGACUCCACCUUCAAUGAAAAUUCCUUUUGUUUUCAUCUUGUGUACUUUGUGAUCUUUUACUCUUCCAGAAAUCUUCAACCCAAGCUCUGAUACCAAUUGUUGUGUCAAAAGGAAAACUACCAGAAUUGAAGUCCAUUGAUUUUGACAUGUGUGAAAGUUGCAUCUUAGGAAAGCAAAAAAAAGGUGAGCUUCUUGAAAAUUGGCAGGACACCGAAGGUUGAAAAAUUGGAACUAGUACACACUGAUUUGUGGGGGCCUUCUCCGGUUGCAUCCCUAGGAGGUUCAAGGUACUACAUCACCUUUAUUGAUGACUCAAGUAGAAAGGUAUGGGUUUAUUUUCUGAAAAAUAAAUCUGAUGUAUUUGUAACUUUUAAGAAGUGGAAGGCCAUGGUUGAGACAGAAACAGGUUUGAAAGUAAAAUGUUUGAGGUCAGAUAAUGGAGGAGAGUACAUAGAAGGAGGAUUCAGUGAGUAUUGUGCUGCACAGGGAAUUAGGAUGGAGAAGACCAUUCCUGGGACACCACAGCAGAAUGGUGUGGCUGAGCGCAUGAACAGAACUCUCAAUGAGCGUGCUAGAAGUAUGAGGUUGCAUGCUGGACUACCAAAAGCUUUUUGGGCUGAUGCUGUUAGCACUGUUGCUUACCUGAUAAACCGAGGACCAUCAGUUUCCAUGGAGUUCAGACUUCUUGAGGAGGUUUGGAGCGGUAAAGAGGUGAAGUUUUCACAUUUAAAAGUUUUUGGUUGUGUUUCUUAUGUUCAUAUUGAUUCUGAUGCUCGUAGUAAACUUGAUGCAAAGUCAAAAAUAUGUUUUUUCAUCGGCUAUGGUGAUGAGAAAUUUGGCUAUAGGUUUUGGGAUGAACAAAACAGGAAAAUUAUCAGAAGUAGAAAUGUGAUAUUUAAUGAACAGGUUAUGUACAAGGACAGGUUAACUGUAACGUCAAAUGUUACAGAGAUAGAUCAAAAGAAAUCUGAGUUUGUCAACUUAGAUGAAUUGACUGAAAGUAUUGUCCAAAAAAGGGGUGAAGAAGAUAAGGAGAAUGUAAAUUCAAAGGUAGAUUUGAGGGCACCUGUAGUUGAAGUUCGCAGAUCUUCCAGGAACAUUAGACCUCCACAGCGUUAUUCACCUGUUUUAAAUUAUCUCCUGUUGACUGAUGGUGGUGAGCCAGAGUGUUAUAAUGAAGCCUUGCAAGAUGAGAAUUCAAGCAAGUGGGAGUUAGCCAUGAAGGAUGAGAUGGAUUCCCUGCUGGGGAAUCAGACAUGGGAACUGACUGAAUUGCCAGUAGGAAAGAAGGCUUUGCACAACAAGUGGGUAUACAGAAUAAAGAAUGAGCAUGAUGGUAGCAAACGUUACAAGGCCAGAUUAGUGGUUAAAGGGUUCCAACAGAAGGAGGGCAUUGACUACACAGAGAUAUUUUCUUCAGUUGUGAAGAUGUCAACAAUUAGACUUGUACUUGGAAUGGUGGCUGUAGAAAACUUACAUCUUGAGCAGUUAGAUGUGAAGACAACAUUCCUUCAUGGUGACUUGGAGGAAGACCUUUACAUGAUUCAGCCAGAAGGGUUCAUUGUUCAGGGACAAGAGAAUCUAGUCUGCAAACUGAGAAAGAGCUUGUAUGGCCUUAAACAAGCUCCUAGACAGUGGUACAAGAAGUUUGACAAUUUUAUGCAUAGAAUUGGGUUCAAGAGAUGUGAAGCUGAUCAUUGUUGCUAUGUUAAGUCCUUUGACAAUUCUUACAUCAUAUUACUGUUGUAUGUGGAUGAUAUGCUUAUUGCAGGGUCUGACAUUGAGAAGAUUAAUAAUCUGAAGAAGCAAUUGUCCAAACAGUUUGCAAUGAAGGAUUUGGGAGCUACAAAGCAUAUCCUUGGUAUGAGAAUCAUUAGAGACAAGGCUAAUGGUACAUUGAAACUUUCACGGUCAGAGUAUGUGAAGAAAGUUCUCAGCAGGUUCAACAUGAAUGAAGCUAAACCAGUGAGCACACCCUUGGGUAGUCAUUUCAAACUAAGCAAAGAACAGUCACCGAAGACAGAAGAAGAAAGGGACCAUAUGAGCAAGGUGCCCUAUGCCUCAGCUAUUGGCAGCUUGAUGUAUGCUAUGGUGUGUACAAGGCCAGACAUUGCACAUGCAGUGGGAGUUGUGAGCAGAUUCAUGAGUAGGCCUAGAAAGCAGCAUUGGGAGGCAGUCAAGUGGAUUUUAAGAUAUCUGAAGGGUUCAUUAGAUACAUGUCUUUGCUUCACAGGUGCAAGUUUGAAACUGCAGGGUUAUGUAGAUGCUGAUUUUGCUGGUGAUAUUGAUAGUAGAAAGAGUACUACUGGGUUUGUUUUUACUCUAGGUGGUACAGCUAUAUCAUGGACUUCAAAUCUACAGAAGAUUGUUACUUUGUCUACUACAGAAGCUGAGUAUGUUGCAGCAACUGAAGCUGGAAAGGAGAUGAUUUGGCUACAUGGUUUCUUAGAUGAAUUGGGUAAGAAGCAGGAGAUGGGCAUUCUACACAGUGACAGUCAGAGUGCAAUUUUUCUUGCCAAAAAUUCGGCUUUUCAUUCAAAGUCAAAACAUAUACAAACAAAAUACCACUUUAUCCGUUAUCUUGUUGAGGAUAAACUGGUAAUACUUGAGAAGAUUUGUGGAUCUAAGAACCCUGCAGACAUGUUGACUAAGGGUGUCACUAUUGAGAAGUUGAAGCUGUGCGCAGCUUCAAUUGGUCUUCUAGCUUGAGGACAGGAGGAUGAGUUGUAGGGAUAAGGGAUCGUUUCUUGGAGGAUAGCGGUUUGAUGUUGGUGAUUGGACUAGUCUCCAAGUGGGAGAUUUGUUGGGCUUUGUGGAGCCUAGUUUUGUUUGAUCCGGUUUGACGACCCGACCCGAAUAAUAUUGCAUGACCUUUUUAAUGGGAGAUUUAUUGAGGCCUGUUGGGCCCGUUUAGCCCAUUGUGGAACCACCUUUUGUAAUUAGGGUUUUUUAGUAUGGUAGGGUUGCCGUGCUAUAUAUAUAUAGAGAAUAUUGUAGCCGCCAAGUUGUACUCUGUAUUCUUCCCUGAUAAUAGUGAUAUCCCUGCAACUCCGUGGACGUAGGCAAAUUGCCGAACCACGUAAAUACUGUCUUGUGCGUGUGAUUGUUUUUCUUUGGCGUGUGUUUUUCCUCUAAUUUUUUGUUUCUCACGGGUUGGGAAUUCGGUUUAAUUCCCUACAGAAGAUUGAUUCACAAGGCCCUUGAAAAUUUUCUAUUUAAAGCUCUUGUAAGGAAAAUGGGAGACAUAUCUUCCUUCUCCAUCAUUCCUUCUUUUCUCAUUUCUUUUUUCUUGAUAUAAAGCUAAGGAUUCUCUCAUUUCUUUCUUCUUCAUUGUAAGUUACUUGAUUGAAGCCAAAAUAUGUGCUCCAAUGGCACAUAUAUGAUGUUAUAAUUUAUGUAAUAUAAAAAGUUCAAAUCAUCCAACUUAACUUAAUUUCAUGCUACGACCAUAGUUAUGGAUCUAACUUUUAUUUUGAGCCUAAUUCUAAGUUUAAGGGAUGACAUAAAUGGAUAAGUGCAAAAGUCAUUAUCAACCAAGAAAGUAGAAGGGGUUAAAUUAUAACUAAGAGACUCAAGACUUAUGAACCAUGAAAGUCCAAGAAAGGGUGUAAGAAGCAAGCCAUAGGCAUGAAAUACCAAUAGUAGAUGUUAUGGAUUGAGAUAGAGGGCAAGAAACCAUAAUGGAGGAGGUUUGAAGCAAAUGUAAUCAAGUUCACAUGAAAUUUUGGAACUCAAAAUUUGGCAGUAAUAUUUACUUUGACUUUGAGAUAAAGUUUAGAACACUUUUUGAGGUCCAUUUUGGGAAAACUAGAUAUUGUUUCGAAGCUUGAGAAGUCAAAAGUCCAACGCUUCAAAUGAUGCACAAAUCGGAGUUGAAAUGAGGAAGUUAUGUGCAUUUGAAGCAAACUAGGGAAAGAAAAAUGUUGAGUUUGAAAUUGACAUCCUGAAUUCGAAAUGGUUUUUGGCUAGUUAAAACUCAAAAGGAAUGCAAGGAUACUUGUCAUAGAGGCUAAGUUUUAUCCUCCUACCUAUUUCAAAUAGGAGACAAAUUUCAAACCCAAAAACAUGCAUGGUGGGCCAUUUAAAACUCAAAGGAAUGCAAGGAUACUUGUGGCAAAAGCUAAGUUUGAAUCCCCCUACAUAUUUUGAAAAAGAGACACACAUUUCCAACCCAAAACUAUAGUGAACAUGCAUGGGCAGUGUGUGAGUUCUAAAUUCACUGUGAAUUUGUGGAUGUCACCAUUUUUUGUAAUAGACCUUUCGGAUAUCUAUCUAGCCUUCACAAUUAUUAAAAAGUAUUUAUUCCAAUAAUUAUGAUUGUAACCCUACAAAUAAGGUUAAGAAUAUUAGUGGAAAUUUAUAACUUCAGAGUUCACUUUCUUAUCUAAUUUUCCUCUCCUCUUUAUUGCCUUCAUUUACAACAUCAAAAAAAUUAUUAUUGUUUCAUCUACAAGUUGUCUAAAACUCAUUAAAUUCAGAGCAUAGAAGUAUUGAACAUUCUCAUAUAUAUACAUUUGUUUGAGGCUGUGAUAACAUACAAUUUUACAUUAUAUAUUAAUGGAUAUAUUCCUACCGUCAUAUCUUGUAGUGGAUCACACUAUCAAACCUAGAAGUAUUCGAAGGAAUUACCAAAAACCUUCUAUUAAGUAAAUACGCAGAGAUUUUAGAGUAAAAUACAGGCAGUUCCUUACUAAGAGAGUAUUCCAUCUAUACAUGAACUAAUGUAUAUAUUGUCUAUAAAUUAAUUGUGAAAUUAAGAAUAUACAAUUAAUAUCACAUUCUAUUCUAUGGUUCUACAGAAUCCCAAAGAUGUAAAAACUCAAGAAUAAACACCCAAGCACAAUUGAAGUUGUUGAAGUUGAGAAGGAAUCAGGUAGCAUCACAUAAAUGCCUGAAGUAAAUGCUAUCACCAUUCCCAGUAGAGAGAUGUAAGUGAGUAGGGCGGAAAAUUUUGUGAAACGUGGAAGCAAAUGAUAGUUUUGUUCCAGUGAAGCAAAAAAGUGGAGAAACACAGCUGCAGAUGAGCAAUAGAAAGCCAUAGCAUCUAUUAUCACAAAGACUUUGAAACAUGCCUUUGUUGAUAAAACUGACUUACCCUUGUUUGGGUUAUCUUCAUUGUACCCACCAGGUAGAGAAACAAGCUGCAAAAGUUACUGUUGCUAUGAGGGUUGCCACCAGUAGAUGGGCGUUUGAUACAUCCUUCAAAUACUUAGAUGUGAUAUGUUUCUUCUUUACAACUUCAUUAUUCAUGUCACAAAGCGAUUCACUUGCAUGAAGUGAUGUUCUCUCUCUGUCCUCUCUAAGCUCUAACUCAUUUAUGCCUUCAUUCGGUCCUUCAUUGUCAUUGAUUGUUCUGUCUGUGUUCUCUCUAACGAUCAGCUGCUCGAGACUUUGUUGAGCACCGCCAUUCUCCAACACUACAAGGAAAAACAUAUGUCGUGACAUUUAUAAUGAGUCACCCUAAACAUAGGGUGUCGCUACAACAUAGUGUCACCUUAUCCACUGACACCAUAGAGAGUACCAAUUGGUGACGUAUUUGGAAGAGACACCAAAGCAGAUAAAUGGUGACACAUUUAGAAGCGACACCAUAUAUUUUUAGUGAUGUUUAAUUUGAUAUAGAGUUGUGUGAGAUAUAUAAGGUGUCAUAUUAAAUGCAUCACAUUUGAGUUAUGAUGUCAUGUUAAAUGCAUCACCUUCGAGUUAUGGUGUCACAUCAUUGCAAAUGAUUAUUGAAGAUAUGGUUGGUUUUUUGUUGAUUAGCCUAUAGAUUUUUGUAAUGCUUAUUAAUAAAUAAGAUCAACGUGUGUAAAUUUUGUCCAUAAAUAUAAUAAUCAUAUUACAUUUAACUUAUAUUUUCAUAAUGCUUAUGAAUUAACUUGUAAUACAUUACAUCAUCCACUAAUAUUUGUAUAUCAAAUGUUCACAAAACAUAGUAUAUCAAACCCACCAAAACUAAAAAAGAAAAGUGAAUACACAUUAUAACAUGAUUUAGAAAUGUUAAGCAUCUCAACAUUCAUGUAUACUUGCAUUUCAUAUGCAUAAAACCGGCUAACCAUAAAAUGACACAAGAGUUGCAUCCAAAAACCCAAAAUUCUCAAUUCCAAAUAAAAUAACAUUUAUGUAGUAUAAUGUAUGACAUAAGAGUCACAUCUAAAAAUCCAAAUCUUGAUGCCACUUUCUCCUUUCUUUUUAUUUUUCAUACUGUCCUCCCAAGAGUGUAUACCUGCAUUUUAUAGUUUAAUGAGUUUUAGAGUUUUUAUUGAAAAUAAAAAUGUGAUGUUAUAAAAAAUAAACAAAUCUAAGUACUAAUAUUUUUUUUCUUUUUCCUAUUUUGAUAUAAAAAUAGUUCGUAAACAAUAAGUAAUGCUAUAUAAUACCAAUGGAAAAUUUAUAUAACAACUAAGGGACUCACCAUGCAUGAUCAUGAUACAUCAACAUGAUUCAUGAUUAGUUAUAACACAAAAGUAAUCAAUUGUCCUAUAAUUUCAUCAAAUUCUACUUGAGAAUAUGUUUUUUUUUGUCAUCAAACUAAAAUCAAAUGAAAAUAACAUUAAUAUCACAAUAAUUGGAAGUAUGAAACUCUGUACAAUUCAUUAAAUGAGUAAAACUUUUAAUGCAAUAACUGUAGAAUCAACCAUUAUCUCUUUAAUGAAUCUCAUAACAAAAUAGUCACAUUUGAACCAAAUAAAAACAAUUCAAGAAAAUAAAAAAUAAAUAAAAACUACAAAAUAAAAAAUAAAAUCUAAAAUUUUAGAAAAUACUAAUCUUCCACUUAAAAUCUACACUUUUUAAAUUUAUUUUUAUAAUUCAUUAUGCUUUUAAAAAUCAUUUUUAACAUCUAAUUCUUUUUAUAUUUUUUUUAUUUCUUGGAAGGAUUUUCUUAAUUUCAAUUUUUUUUUAAUGUUCAUUUUGUGAAAUAACAAUGUCCAUUAAAAUUCAUCUCAAUUAUAUAAAAUAAAAUUUUAGUAACAAAAUAUAAAAAUGUUUUUAACUACUAAUAUGAUAGGACAUGAUUUUAUAACAGGUAUGAAAAUUGUGUAUAUAAGACAAAAAAACCUAAUUCACUAUUAAAAAAUGUUAAGAGAAAAAUUAGUAUGAGAAAGAAUUAAAGAACCUUUCAUAAAAAUUAUUGAUUUUUCAGUCAUAACUCCAAUUGAUAUUUUUUUUUCUAAGUAAAAUAAUUAAUAGAAAAUUUGGAUAUGAAAAAUAUGUUCAAAUAAAAAUAAUAAUAAAAUAAAAACAUCAAAGGAAAAAAUAUUCAAUACUUUAAUUUUUUACUUUUAAUAUUCUGUAGAUCAAUAAUUAUCAAAUAUAAAAAAGAAAAAUGAAGAAAAGGAAGAGUUUUAUGGAAGGAAUUGGAAAAAAUUUUGUACUAAAAGGAUUUUAUAGAAAUUUCUUAACCUUCAAAGGAAAAUUUCAUCAUCAAUCUCAAAUUACUCCAAAGUUUGGUUAAUGCAUAUAAAAACAAUAAGAAAGGAAGGCAAAAAUAAAACACAUUUUUAGAAUCCUUUUGCGGGUGAUGACAAUAUUGAGAAUAAUUUUCUCAAAAAUUAUUUUCCAAAUAUCACCAACCAAUAUCCUCAUCAUAACAUACUAUAAUAUUCUUAAAAAAUAAACAAACAAUCCAAUAAAAGGAAAUUUCAUAGAAAUCAAAAGAAAAUUAUCAAACAUCUCCUUCAAAAAAAAAGAAAAAGAAAAAGGAAGAGUUUUAUGGAAGGAAUUAAAAAAAUUAUGUAAUAAAAGGAUUUUAUAGAAAUUUUCUAACCUUGAAAGGAAAAUUUCAUCAUCAAUCUCAAGUUACUCUAAAUUUUGGUCAACACAUAUAAAACUAUAUAAAAAAAAAGGUAAAAACAAAAAGCAAAAAACAUAUUUUAAGAAUAUAAAAAAUAUGAAUAGAACAAGAUGAGAUAUUAACCAUAAUACCAUGUAAAAGAAUAGAAAAAAAAAAUCAAAAUGUAAGAUUUGAUCAUUUUUAUAAUUAUAAAAAUUUUCAUUCCUAUUUAAAUUAAAAAAAAAAACAAUUCAUUUACAUUAAUAAAUAAAAAAUAAAAUUAAUUUCUCAUUGUUAAUUCCAACAUUCCAAACCGACUCCAACAUGAUAUGGAAACUAUUUCAUUUUUCAUUUUAUGGGAGAUGACAAUAUUGAGAAUAAUUUUCUAAAAAAUUAUUUUUCAAAUAUCACCAAUCAAGAUCCUCAUCACAAUGUACUACAAUAUUCCUUGAAAACAAAUAGAAAGUCCCAUCAAAGGAAAUUUCCUACAAGAUCAAAAGAAAGUUUCAUGUUGUAAAAUGUUUCUCUCAUUCUAAGUAUAAAAGAUAUUUAAAAUCAUUCAUUUUGGGGUUUAUGGGUUUAACAAUGAACUAGAAGAUAUGGUGGAAUGUUAAACCUAGUUUUUACUUUCUUACAACUCAAUAAAAAAACAUUAUUUACACAAUCCAUAUUACAAAUAUACCAAAUCAAUAAACAUAAAUCAAUUGUGUUAAUAAAGAUUUUGACAUUAAUAAAAAAAAAAUGAAAAUGAUAAAUCUAAGAUAUUUUGGGUUACCUGAGAAUCCACGAAGCAGAGAAGAGCAGUUGUGUGUUAACUAUGAGUGUGAGAAGAGGUAGAGGAAAACUUUGGGUGUGAGAAGAGGCAGAAGAAAACUUUGGUUAGGGUUAUGGAAUGAGAUUUUUUUGGAUUGUGGGUAUGUGGAAACAAUGACUUUUUUAUAUACUAUCAUUAUUCUUGAAGUAGGCCCAUUAAGUUAUAAUAUUUUUAAAAAAAAUUAUUUUAUAUGGUGUCACUUUUCGAAAACUCACACUAUAAAUCUAAAAUUAAUAUCAUUGAUCCUAAUUGAAAAUUUUUAUAUAAUGUGUCACCUUUUUGGAUUUUAAAUCAUAUGGUGUCAUUAUUUCAUAAGUGACACCACAAAUUAUUUUUGUAGUAGUGCAACUUCCUCAUGAUCAAAGAAUGGAAAGUUUUUUUAAAGAACUUAGAAUAAAAUGUUGUUUUUAGAUACCAAGGCACAUAUAUGACCAAAAAAUUCAAUUAAGGCAACAUAUUUCUUCUGUCUUUUUUUUUUUUUUUUCUUUUUUUUCAAGUUUCACAUAUUUAAAGAGAAAUAAAGCAGUGGAACCAAUGCAUAAUCUAAAAUCAUCGGUUUUCGAUGCACAUACCUUUUUUAUUUCUCCCAGAUCCAUAUUUGAUUGGACAAUGUCGAUAGCCUUCAAAUAUUUCUUGUUUGAUGCCUUCUUAUCCACUCUACGAUCUCCGAGCUUUGACCCAAAAUGCUACACUUUAAAAAAAAAAUCCAUAAAGUAAACCUAAUGUGAAAAUAAUGCCCAAUCUAGUGCGUUUGUGCCACAUAGAUUACCACAUCAUAAAAUCGUAGUUGGUAACUACGGUUUUAUUUUUUUAAAACAUUCAAAACCGUAGUCACCAACUACGGUUUUAACUGUUUUUACAAAUAGUCAAAGCCGUAGUCACCAACUACGACUUCAACUUUAAUUUUAUAUAUAUAAAUAAUUAUAUUGCUUGAUUUAAAAUAUUUAACUUUAAUUUAUUUAAAUAAAAAUAUUAUAUUAUUUUGAUUUUAGAUAGACUAAAAGUAUGUGAGUGAUUUAAUAAAAAUAUUUAACUUUAAUUUAUUUAAAUAAAAAUAUUAUAUUAUUUUGAUUUUAGAUUGACUAAAAAUAUGUGAGUGGUUUAAUAAAUAUAUUUAACUUUAAUUGAUCUCAUUAUUUAAAGAAUAAUAAUAUAUGAAAUUAAAUAAUUGAUGUCUUUAAUUUGAUAUAAAAAUAUUUUGGUUUAGUUUUAUUAAAAUAUUUGACACUAUACUCAAUAUAAAUAUAAUUAGUUAUAAAUAUACUAUUUUAUGCCCUCAUAAUGAAGAAUAUUAUAUUAUUUUGUAACUUUGUACAAAAAUUAAAGCCAAUUAUGCAUUUGUACAAAACAUAAUAUGACUUCAAGUGGGUAAAUAAUUGGAAAAUUACUUAAAUACAACAAAAAUAAUUUUAUUUUCUCCAAUUUUUUCCUUUCAAAAUGGGAUCAAAAUGGAAUGGAAAGGCUUAAAAUUUUAAACUUAAAAUGCCAACCUAAUAGAAUUUGUUUUUCCACUUCUUAAAAUAUAGAAUUGUAGAAAGAAAAUACCUAUGUUUUUCCAAUCAAUUCACCAUUUAGUUUAACUGUUUUGGUAAAUAAAUGAAAAUGCUUUUAGAACAUUUUUGUAAAUUCAUUGAGAAUAAGAAAAAUGUUCCUUAUUGGGUUUUAACGGGAGUUUUGGACAAAAAUGAUUUCUUUAAAACAAAAAAUUCAUAAAUUAAUUUUAUUCUCAAAAUAAUUUUCAAUGUGAUGUGUGUCUUAUUCAUGAGGGUAUUUACAUCAUAAAACUGUAAUUGGUAAUUAUGAUUUUUGAUUUUUUUUUAAAUAGUCAAAAUAGUAGUUGGUGAUCAUAGCUCUAAAUUUAAACCUAAAACCAAUUUUUUUAAGUUCAAUUUUUUAAAUCAUGCGAAUGUUCAAUAUGCGAUGGUCCUCUCCAAUAACAUGCAAAAUAUCAAUAGCAAUUCGAUGAAUGUUGCCUAAUGCACCUGAAGUAGGCUCAGCAAAUCGACUAGCAAUCUCAACCAUACCAGUGAUCUAUUAAAAAAAAAAAAAAAAAAGUUAAACAGACAAAGAUGAUUUUUAAUUAAUUAAAAUUUAAUAAACCAUUUAUAAAUUAAAAAAAUCUUACCAACAACUGAGUAGCUGCUGCUGUACUAUGAUACCUCAUCUGAUCUCUAUGGAAAGGGGGUGUGAUCAAACGUCGUGUAAUACGUCGGUACCACUCUAUAUAUGGAUCAUGAAACUGCAUAGCACCCACCAUAGGUGGUGCCGUCACAAUACGCUCUGCACGACUAGCCCAUAAGGUAAUAUACUGUGCAUGAAAUGCCUCCCAAUCAUACUUAUGUCGUCCUCGCCUAUCCAUGGAAUGGAGGUGUUGCUCUAUGGAACAAGAUGGAGGUAUCCCUUGUUAGAGGCCAAACUAUCGCAACACUCGCUCCGGUCGAUACCACUCGACAAUGUCAAAGCAAAUAAGAGGUGACAUCAUCCUCUAAAUCUCCUGGUCUGCUAGAGAUAUCGCUGGAAGAUGGGCAACUAAGUCUUCCAUGUAAGGCUCCCAUAAAACCUGUUAAAAUCAACAUUUGAAAUUAAUAAAGUUAAUGUUUAUAUGGUUAACAAUAGCACAUUAGAUCUUAUAUGUACCUGGUCAUGGGUCUGUGCAUCUAAUUGGUCUCGAUAAAAUGUCAACACACGUGAUGGGUUUUGAGCCCAUGAUAAAGGUACUCUCCACCUACAUCCUAACGGAUCAGCUAGUAAACCCUCAUGUAACAAUGCCUCAUACUGUAAUCCCUGCUCUAAAUGCUCAACUGGUAAAUCAUUGACUGCAUCAUCCUCUAAAUGCUAGGCUGUUGGAGGGGUUGGUGGUUGACCAAAAUAAGGUCGACCCAGGUGGAGUCUCUCCCAAGACCAUAACUGCAAAAAAAUGUAACAUUAAAAUUUUACUUAAAUUAUAAACUUGAAACAACUAGAAAUUUCAAUCUAAUGUGAAUAAUUAAUUAUACCUAUAAUAGUGUGACACAUCCAGCAAUAUCGGUGGCACCAUCCAAACUCACUCGACACAACUCCCUAUAUAGGUGUGCUAAUACUGCACUACCCCAACUAUACAUAGAUGUCUAAGUCAAGUCUCUAAGAAGUGGGAGAUAACACAUAUGUAUGUGAGUACCCUUCUUGUCUGUAAAUAGAGUUGAACCUAUGAGUUCUAAUAUGAAAGCACAUGCAUACUGCUCUAAUGUGGCAUCAUCUAAAUCAACUGGUGGAUGAGAGAACUGGUGACAUAGCCAUCGUGUCGAUAUCGCUGAUCCUUUAAUCUCAGAUGUAGGGGGAGUCACCCCUAAAAGUUCAUAACAUAGCAAUGACCAAUCUAUAUCACAUGUGCCAGUGAUGGGAAGCCCAUGAAUACGAAGACCUAAUAUGACAGCAACAUCCUGUAAAGUAAUGGUCAUCUCCCCAACAGGUAAGUGAAAUGUGUGUGUCUCAGGACGCCAUCUCUCAACUAGACUAGUGAUCAAUCCCCAAUCUAGUGUAAUGUGUCCAAUACGAUAUACACCAUAAAAUCCAGAUUGAAUAAUAUAAGGUCGAAGACGAGGAUCCAUCUCCCACUCCCGCAUAAACCUAGAUAUAUGUUGUCAACAAGUCAAGACUGAAGCAAGCUGUAAAAAUACAAAUAAAUCAUUUAGAUAAUAAACUGUAAUUUUUUUCAUUCUUUAAAGAGAUAUUAUGUGUUUUCAUAUACAUACCUGACCAGAGUCAACUAAAUGAGACCUAUGUCUAUCAUGUAGAACCAAAAUAGACAUAUCUAAUGGAUCUGGAUCAGAACUAUGUCCUCUAUACUCCAUAUUUGUAACAAAAUUGUGAAGAUAAAUAAACAAUACUUAUUGUUUUUAAAUAAAAAAAUAUUUUUAAUGGAAAAGUUUUAAAAAUUUAUGGAGUUUUCCAUAUAUUAAGUAUAUAUCAGUUUGAUAAAUUUAAGUAGAUCAAUUCAUUUAUGACCAAUAAACAAGUCAUACUAGUUUAAAAUAAAAUUAGAGAUACAAAUACAAUGAAGCAUUUUGUUAACAUUUUUAAUAGAAAAUUUCAAAAUUUUGACAGAGUUUCCCCUAUAGUAUGGACAUUAUUCAAAAUACAAAUAACCUGAUUAGGCAAAUAACAUCAAUAUUUAUAAUCAAACCAAAGCCAAUAAUUGAAUAAAGGUAGUAUCAUAGUAGCUUACAUCACAAUAUCCAAGAAAAUUACAUGCACACAUCACAAGGUCUAAUCAACUCUAUUACUGUUUUGACAAGAACGACGAUUGUGGCCACUUUGUUUGCAUAACCCACAUGUAAUAGAAGUCUUGCCAUCUCUAACAUCCAUUUCAUUAUGCAAACGACUUGAUUUAGGUCAUCCACUCCAUGCACGUUUCAUCGACUCAGAAGGCAUGAUAAUCGGGCCAUCAUAAGGAAGCCACUCAUAUACAUUGAAAAUGGGAUGGAACAAGGGUGCCCAAGUAUUAUAGUACGAUUGUGUACUGUAGUAGUGUUGAACAAGUGGUCUAAAAUCAAUUGAACGAAAAUGACAUGCUGCUAGAAUAUGACUACAUGGGAAUCCAUAUAUGAGUGUUUUACCACACGUGCAUGCAUACUCCUGUAAGUUGACGCGAUAUGUUCGACCACGAGUUGAGCUACUCUUAGUACCCCUAUUACUCUUCACAUGGAAUUGUCCUUAGAUGUGAUCAUAUAAAAUAAUCUCAUGAGAUCCCACCUUAACCACAUUUGCCUUCAUCUUAGCAUCAACAUAUGGAGUGUAUUCCUCACUUGAAGCAAGUCGAUUAGCACCUUGUUCCCUUCUCACAACAAAGUAACUAUUUAGCCGAAAAAAUGUCAAUUGAACCAAAGCAGUUACGGGUAAGCUACGAGCCCCUUUAAGCACACUAUUGAACAUCUCCGCCAUGUUUGUAGUCAUGAUGUCGUACCUUCGACCUCCGUCAUGAGAGAGUGCCCAUUUCUCAAAAGGGAUUGCUUCCAACCAUUGUUGUGCGGCUGCAUUAAUCCUCCCAAUUGUGUUCAUAUGUUUAUUGAAUUUUUCAAUCUUGGUUGCUAAAGCUUCUCUGCACAUCAGAUUUUUUAAUAUUUUAUCCUUGAAUCGAGUCAUAAAAUUGCUAGCAAGAUGACGCAUACAAACCCUAUGAUAUGCGUAUGGCUCAGACCAACCAAGAUGAACAUCGCUCAUUGCAGCCAUAAUGCCUGGAUGUCGAUCUGAUAUAACACAAAGUUUCUUCCUAUUAGUGACUCUUGUUCUAAUACAUGCCAAAAACCAUCCCCAACUAUCAAUAUUCUCACCCUCUAUUAGGGCAAAAGCCAAUGGGAAUAACUGAUUAUUUCCAUCACAACCCAUAGCAAUCAUUAAAGUGCCUUUAUACUUCCCAUACAAAUGUGUACCAUCAAUACUGAGUACAGGCCGACAAUGCUUGAAUCCUUCAAUAGAUGGCUGAAAUGUCCAAAAAACUUGUUGAAAUAUUUCUGUAUUCUCCAUAAUACCAAGAAAUGUUUUUGAAAUUACAACACAUCCUGGAUUUGCCUGCUCUAAGGCAAUGAAAAAAUGUGGCAGCUCUGUAUAUGACUUAUAAUAAUCACCAAAUAAGUUUGUAAGAGCUUUAAGCUUUACUUUAGAUGUCUUCUUGUAUGAUAUUUGGUAUCCGAAUUUCUCCACAAUACUUGCUUGAAUAGCAGCCACUGACAAUGUGAAUUGUGCCUUAAUCAUUCCUUGGAUAUGAGCAGCAAUCAAGUUGGAAUCUAAUUGUUGAUGAUCCCGAUUCAAGCAAGGAUUUACACAUUUGUGGGGACCAUUGUGUUUAUUGAUUGCAAAUGAAGUUGUACCUUUUACAACCAUAGCAUGAAGUUUCCAUGGACAUUGCGAUUGCUCAGCCUUCUUGCAUCUUAGGACCAACAACUUUGUAGUUGACGAAACAACAACGUACUCUUGGUGUUGACUUAAAGAGUACAACUUUGUAGCAUGUUGUAAAUCUGCUUUUGAAUUAAAAACUUGGCCAACCAUGAACUCUCCAUCUGAGUUUCCAAUAUUAGUGUUCCCCCAUGGGGUCCAGUCACUUGAAACGGUGUUACCAAUGUUUUCUACAUUUUCAAACUGCAAUGAUGGUGCCGAGUGAUACUGAACAGGGGAAUACUCUAUUGGAUCAUCAAGAUCUGGGUUAUUUGACAUAUCACAACAUUCCCCAUCCACGGAGACAUAUCUCCCUUGUUCACUUUCCAUUGCUUCGUGAAGAGCUAAGAAAGAUGAAACAACAUUAACAUUAUUGUUUUCCUCAUCAAUAAAUUCAAACACCCCAUCGCCAUCAUGUUGAACAUCUUCUGCUCUCUCACUUUGAUCAUCACCUUCUUGGGAUUCACAUUCUUCUUCAUUUUCAUCUGCUUUACACUCAUAAGUCAUUGCAACUGGGGCACUACUAGGUCCACAACCAUACUCAAAUUCCUCAACAUUAUCAUUUUGUCCGAGUAAUAAUUGUGUGAAAUUACCCAAAAAUUGCCCCCUCUCCCGUGGUUGUACUGGCACUUGUUCAAUAUACAAUUCAAUUUCGUCCAUUCCAAAUGUGUUAACCAAUUUCAACAUUUGAGAUAAACUAUUAUCAUCCCAUAUUGGACAAGGUUGAAACCUAUUUUCCCUUUUUAAAGGAUAUCUAUAGUUGAGGACUAAUUGAAAUUGUUUUUUGGCAAUGCCAGUUCUCGAGUAUAUCAUAGAUAACAAGUGUUCAUAGGUUGAACUAACAGGCACAUCCAAAGGCACAAUUAUAACUAGAUCCCCAAUAUACUUUACAUAUGUUUUUGUCCUCAACACUUUUCCUUUACAAAAGCAAAUCACAGGAACAAUAGAUUUAGACAUGAUUUACCUACAAAAAAUACAAUAUCAAAUGGUUUAAUAAUCAAUAAAAAUAAUAGCAAGAGAAAUUGCAUAUAAUAUUUUAACAUGUGAAUACACAAUUAUAUAAUAAAACACAUUUUUACACAUUAGGAGGAAAAAUAUAAAUCACUUCAUAAUAAUAAUUUUUUUAUUUAAAUAGUUAUCUAUGAUACAAAUAUAAUGAUAGAUAAAUGUUUUAUAGAAUUUUAAUUUAAAACUUAGGUAGUGGGCUAUAAAUCAAUAAAUGUUGAGUUAAAAAAUUACAAUAAUCUUAAAAUUAAAUAAAAAAUAAUCCACCAAUUUUUUUUAUUAUAAAAUAUCAUAUAUUAAAAUAAAAUUGAAUGUUAUGAACUAUUAAAUAAUAUAUAAUUUAAAUAAUUAUGUUAUUAUUCAUGAAUCAAUUGAUAUUUGAUUAAAGCUAAAAGUCGAAAAAAAAAUAAAAAUAAAAAUCAAAUAAAAGUAACUGACCAAAAAAAAAUAUAUUAAUAAAAUAUCAAUUACACAAUUAUAAAAUUUUGAUAUAUGUGUUUAUUCUGUUUUUGGAAAGCUAGGUCCCUUCUUUUGACUAGUUUCAUUGAUCAGGAGCUGUCUAGAUGAGAAAUUGUGUGUGAAGAUGAAUCAAUAACCUAGGAUAAAUCAACAAUUUCAUAUGAAUUACCAAAUUGCAGAUCUAAAACAGGGGACAACAUGGGAUAUGGGAAGCAUGACCUCAAAAAGAUAGUAGAACCAAGGAUGAGACAUCAGUUUUCAUGGAUAUAUCGGUAGUUGGAUUUUACGAAUAUACUAGGAUAUAUCGGGAAAUAUCAGUGGAAAUUUUGACAAAUAAAUCGAUGGAAGAAAUUUUGAGGAAAAAAAAAAGAAAAAACAAGAAAUAAUACGCAUAUUCAAGUUAUUACUUUUAAAUUAUAUAUAUAUUAUUUCUAAUAUUCGAUAAUAAAUUAAUAAUAUAUAGAACUUGAAAACACAUUUUACAUUGAUAUAUCUAAAAGAUACAAAAGAAAUGAUGAUAUAUGUAUGAUUUUCAAAAUAUUUGUAAUUUUUUUUUUCUAUUAAGUUUAAUUAAUAAAAAAAAUAUGAACAAAGACUCAUUAAAAAAUUUAUGAUAAUCAUUUUUAUAUUUUUAAUACUUAAAUCAAAUUUGGAAAUAAGAUAAUUAAAAUUAAAUUAUUUAUUAGAUGUUUAUUUUAAUAUCUUAUGUAUGAUAAAAAUGUAUUAAAAAUAUAUUUGUCUCCAAAAUUUUUUUAUUUUUUUUAUUAAAAUGAGAAAAAUAAAAAUUUGUGUGUGUGCAUAUAUAUAUUUAUUAACAAUUGUAAAACAAAAAUCACAUUAGUCCCACUGGUCAUGAACUCUUUUGCCAUGUAUAAGAACAAGGGGGUUUGAGUUUUUAAUAUGGUUUUCCCAAAAUUUAAAUUGUUUAUGUUGUCUACCAUAUGAAGUAAUAGCCAUCUGGAGUGGCAACAAAAAGGUCAAGAUCAGAUUCUGAUGGCUAGGAUAAAGGCCUUGAACCCACCUUAAUAAUAGCAACCAUUACUUUGUUUUCUUGUACACACUUUCCUCUCUAAAUACAAGGCAAAAAAAAAAAAAAAAAUUGUUUAAAUGAAGGGCUCUCAUUUUUUCUUCUUCAAACUUGGCAACUUCCAUACAUAUCAAGAAGAGAACUAUUAGGCAAAUCCUAAGUGGAAGGAAGUUAACAAAAGUUGAACUGUUACAAACUUAUACUAGAGGCCUUCUACUCCAAGUAUACUAAGCCUUUCAUUGUACCAUGUAUAUUGUGAAAAGAUCAUAAGCUUAAAGCUACUAUACUUUUUCUCUUUUUCACAUUAAUUACUUUUCUGCAUGGAAAAUGAAAGCAAAAGAGAAAAACAUGUCCCUUGACACUUUCCAUACCAAACAAUCCAUGGUCAGCGUUUUUGUCUAUUUUACUUGUAACUUUUAUGCACUGCACCUCAUUUACCAUUUUUGUAUUUCUCAAAAACUAGCUAGCUAGGUUCUGUUUGACAGCCUUUAAUUGGUAGGAAUAAACUUCUUUUUGAGAACCCAAAUAUAGAAGUUUUUUUUUUUGCUCGAGAUACUGUACACUUAUGAAAUAGUAUAAAAUUUUCCAACUUAUUCUCAUUAUUUUUAGAUUAUUUUUCAAAACACUCUACAAAAAAAAUAUGUGAAAAAUCCUUAAACUUAUUCAAACAAACCACUUUAUAUUUAGAAUAAAUUUUCAAAAGCUAUUUCCAGUCUACAACUUACUAAACAUUGAAAAACUAUUGUUGUUCUAAAAACAAAACUUUUUUAGAAAAUAGGCCCCCUAAAGGAUCCACAAGAUGAAUAGGGCAAAGAUCAGGGAGAUCAAUAAAAAAUGAUCAGACAGUGAGAUCUAUUAACAUAGUGCUCAAUCUAAACAACCUUGUUCACACAAAAAAAAAAAAAAAAUGGGUCUAGUUUUUUCAUGAGUUUUACAGUGGUAUGUAUUCAAAUUUCCAUGGAAUGUUUUUGACAGUGAGAAACGUAAGAUUGAACCCACAAGAAGGGAGAAAAACCAAGCUUUGAAGCUUACCUAUCCACAAAUACAGGAGAGCAACCUCAGAAGAAGAAGAAGAAGAAGAAGAAUAUGCUUGUACUAAAGCUUUUGAUUAAGGUUUAAUUUGGAAGAGAAUGGCAAAGAGAUUCUUGAGGUAAACCAAAACAGCAGCAGGAUAAGGAGAAGAAGAAAAAGAAGAAGAAGAAGCAGAAAGAAUAACUAAAAAGGAAGUUGAUCAUAAGCCCUGCCCUUCAUUCAAUUCAUCUAUUUCCCAUGCAAAUAUAUAUGAUGUAAGUCCGAAUAUUGGCUAAAAAUCUAGAAACACAGAUAAUAAAUUUAAAAAUUAUUUUUUACAUUGGGGAUUUCAAGUAAAAUUUUGAAAAUAACUGACAGAUAGUUUAAAAAAUUAUCCUCAAAAUUUGUUUUUUAUAACAAUUUUAAAAAACAGUACUAGACAAGUUCUAAUAAUUUCUUACUGAGUGGGAGAAUGAGAGAAAAUACAAAUAAAAUAAUUAAAAAUCUCAUAUAUACCAACUGAUGAAGGAUUGAAUGUUCUAGUUUUCAACUUUUCAUUAGUUCAAUAAAAUUACAAUAAAAUGAAUGAGAAUUUCUGCAGAUGCAAAGAAGAUAAUAGAUUUAACAAUAAAAAAUCAUUAAAUUAUGUUCAAUCAGAAUCUCACAGGAAGCUGAAUGGAAAAAAAAUCAAGUAUCACCAAACUAAAGAACUAUAUAAACAAAUCUCAAGGUUCCAGGAAGUGGAGAACUAAACAACAAAACAUUUUGCAUAUAUUUUGAGAAUGGGUUUAAGAUUCUUGUUCAGAUAUUUGAAGAUAUACCAUCUGAAUGGUCCCCUCACUCUUGGUAACAAAUAUUUGAAGAUAUUUUCUAUUUCUAUAACAAAAAUCACCAGAGUUUUUUUACAGUGGUCCCCUCCAUUUUUGGUAUCUUUAACAAAAAGAAAUCCAUACUAGUCCCCCAUUCCAUAUCCGUUUUCUUUACCAAAAAAACCAUUUUCUUUCUGCUAAGCUCAAAAUCAAAAUAAAAUCAAACAUGUCUUUACCAAACAGAAACCAAACAAAUCUACAACAACAAACCAAACAGAUUUACAAAAAAAUAAAAAAAAAAAUUUACGAUUAACUGAAAAAUUCAUAAAUCUUACCUGACAACGACUUCCAAAUUUUGAAUUUGAACCAAAGAUGCAACGGGAAGGAUGAAACCCUAAAAGGAAGAACGAAACCCUAAAGGGAAGAACAAAAGCCUAAAGGGAAGAAAGCCAAUUGGGGAAAUGGAGAAACCUAAUGGGAAAGGGAUGGAAAAGGAAUUCAAAACCGUAGUUACCAACUACGGUUUUGACCAAUUUAAAAAAAUUCAAAACCGUAGUUACCAACUACGAUUUUAUGAUGUGGCAUUCCACGUGGCCCAGACGCACUGGAUUGGGCAUUAUUUUCAUAUUUGGUUUAGUUUAUGCAUUUUUUUUUUUUAAAUGUGGCAUUUUGUGUCAAAGCUCACGAUCUCCAGCCAAAAUCCGGACGCUGUUGUACUGUCCGUACAUAGCAGCUAGAUGCAAAGCCGUGUUGCCUUGCUUAUCUGACUCAUUUAUUAGGCUUUCCCAUCUUGGUUCUUUUAGAGUAUACUUCAUCACUAUAGACUUCCCACAUUGGGCUGCAAUGUGAAGAAUGGUCCGACCUUUAUUGUCAACCAAAUUAUUAGCACAUGGACAACGUUUGAUGAUCUCUGCCAUCAUAUUAGGGUAGCCUUUUUUAGCUACUAUGUGAAGAGCAGAACUAUCUUCUUUAUCCCAUAAGUAAGCAACUGAUUUAUCACAUUCCAGCAAUUUCCUAGUUGCUUCAAGAUGUCCUAAUUGUGCAGCAUAAUGAAGGGGAGUCCACGUAAAUAUGUCUGUUUCUGUGACCAUAUCUUUCUUUUUGUCCAAUAGUAUUGCAAUAAUGUCAUCUAACAAUUUAGACCAAGAAGAAGAAAUAUAAUUAAAAUAGACUUUUUCAUCCAGAGUACUUUUAGAAAAUAUAUUACGUUCUAUUUAUUUUAAUAUCAGAUAACAGCUCGGGAUUACUUCCCCAUGAGAAGGAUCAGGCAUUAUGCAAUGAAUUUUCCCAUCAAUUGUAAAGAGGGUAGCUACUAGCCAGUGUGGCAUAUAUUGUAAAAGCAAUUGUGUGAUUUUCUUUCCCUGGUCUUACUACUUUUCUAGUUCAGUUAAGCUCUCCACCUAUCAAUUAGAGAAGCAGAAGUAAAGGUUUGGGCUUGGGUAAGUAUUCUUCAAAAACAAUUCUAAAAAAUAAUUUAUAAGAACUAUUGAAAAACAUUUUCUAAUGAUAUUUUAUAAAACAAAAGUUCUAAUGGUUGUAUUAUUAUGCUUGGUUGGAACUAAUGAAUACAAUUCUGGUGACUAUCUGUCAUAAGUAUAGGGAGGCCAUGCACUCCAUGUAGAUUUGUUCGGCGUCUGUCAAGAAUCAGGAAUCGGUUAAUGGGGCUCCGAAUGUUCUACUAGCCUUGCCAAAAAGUACUUCAUGAGGCUAAACUCAUCCACACUAAAGUGGUGUUUUUUCUUUUUUUUUACUUAAUUCUAAAUAGAACUUUAAUGCUUAAUAGCGUUAAGUAUUAAGUUAUUUAUUUUUAUAAUACUUUAUUUCUAUUAAGCAUUAAAAAGUAAAAAAAAAAAAAAAAAUCAACAUAUCACUUUUUCUAUUCAAUAAAAAGUUUAUAAUAAAUCAUGAAAAAAAAAAACAAAUGAUCUAAAGUCUGAAAGCAAAUUGCUUUUAGCAAAAAACUAAAAAAACGCUCUCUAAGUCUAUAGAUUUAUGUAUUCUUGGCUUUGUAUAUCUUAGACAUGUUGGAUAAUGGUGUAACAAAGAUUUCUCCAUUUUUUUCUUAUGCAUUUUCUUCUACAAUAUUUUUGAAGCAUCCCGUUGUAGGGAUAUUUACACAUAGUGCAAUUUUGCUUUAUUUUUGUUGGCAACUUCUUCUCUCUGUUGUAUUAUUCCAAGUACCUUAUGUUAUGUCUGACUCUAAAAAAUUAUUAAAUGAAGGAAAAAUAUCAAGAAACUUAUUAUUAUUAUUAUGUUUAGUUUAUCAAAAAUUAUUAAAGGAAGGAAAAAAUUGUUAAAAAAAUAAUUUUUAUUAUAAAAAAAAUUAGAAAAAUAAAUACAAUUAAAAUAGGUUAAAAAAAUUAUAUAUUUCCAAAUUAUUUUACAUUUGUGUAAAAAGGAAGAAAAAAAAAUGAGAAAAAUGAAUUUGAAAAAAUAUUAUUAAUAAUUUUUUAACUUUCAAUUAUUUUUCAUCUUCCUUUAUAUUUGUUUAUGUUUUCCUUGUCUAGUAUAUUCCUUCAAAAUUUUUAAGAAUCAAACAUGUGGGUUGCAGACUGGUUCGCUGGCCUGCUGGCCUGCUUGCCUGGUCCAAGCAUGAAGUUGGGUUGACCUCUAAUGGUCCCUUGGUGGACCAACCCACCAACCUAACCAAACGAAGGUUGCUACCUUGGAUCAAGUGUCUAGGAUUUGAGUAAUAUCUUCUCCUGGGUUAUUAAAUUUUUAUUAGUUUUCAACGGUUUUCUAUUUGUAAUGAUUAAAUUUUUAUUGUAAAAAUGGCUCAUAAAAACGUUGAUUAUCCUAUAACAAUGUUCCAGAAGCAAGAGAUUAUUUACCAUAGCUUUGAACCGUUAAUUUUGAAUAUCGAAAUAAGUGGAAAUAGAAAUAAAUACUAUUAUUAUGUUUAACUUUAUGAAAAUUGUUGUAAAUGAAGUGGUGAAUGACCACAUUAAUGGUCAUUUAUGAACUCCAUUUACUCAUUUUUAAGAUGAGUAAUGGGAGUUCAUAUUAUGAAGCCUAUAAAAGGCUUUUUACACCCCAUGUAAGCAGCAUCCCAAAAAAAAGAAAGAAAUUCUCUUCCUCUCAUUCUCUCUCUCUCUUUCUUUCAUUCUCUCAAUUUUCUCAACUCUCUUCUCUGAUUCCUUCUUCCCAUUAUAUAUAUUGUUAAAGUAAGAUAUAUUUUAUCUCUACUACUUUAUUUGUGUUGCAUUUAUCCUUGUUUUACAACAAAAAUUAUAUUUUAGAAUUAUUUUUAUAAAAAUUAUGGUGAAUAUUUGAAGGCACCCAAAGCAUAUUAACUUGUUCUUAAUAAAGAUAAGACCAUAUUGAAUGUUUUGAUAUUGGUUUAUGAAACUACUUAGAGGAGAGUGAAUAGGCGGUCCUCUGCUUACAACCCUCAAAUUGAAGUUUUAAAUAUUUUUAUUAAUUAUUAAUUUAAUCAAUAUAUGUAAUUAAUAAAUAAAGCAAAGAAUAAUCUUACACUUGACAUGUGAUGUACUUGGAAAAUCAUCUACAGAAUCUAUAAAAAACACUUGACGAUGAAAAAUUCAUGGGUCAAUUGAUCGUAGAGCAAAUUCACUAAUUUUGAUAGAAUAAAUACAUGAUCUUACCUAGAUGAAAUACUAUCUUCCUUCAAGCAUCUUACACAGGUCAGUACUUACACUUGCUUUCAUGUUCAUGAUGCAAAACCCAUGUAUUCCUUAGUGAAUACCUUAAAACUUUAAGAGAUGUGAUCAACCACCAUGAGCAACUUCAAACAAGAUAUGAGCUUUUGGAGUAUCAGGAAUAUGCAAAAGAUAAUAACAAUAAAUUGUAGGGUACGAUGAUGUAUGAAAGUACAAAGUUGAGCAAUGUAUGAUGGCAAAAAACUAACUAAAAAAGAUUUGAAAAGCUGACAAAUCUAGGAUAUUUAUGCAUAACAUCAAGACCGCUUAAGCCCAUUUUGUGGGCACUCGAGCGCUCCUUGUUAAUUUUAGCUUUUCUAAUUUAGCUUCAAGCCCAUUUUGAAUCUAAGUCCACUUUACACCUUAUGCAUGUCAUUAUAUUGUGAACAAGAUAACCCUACUUACCUGAACAAUCAUGUGAAUGAAUAAAAAAUGAUCACAUAUCUUCAAGGCCAAUGCAUACGUAGAGUUGAGUAAAAAAAAUAUUUGGAAUAAAAUUGUUAACUUAAACUAAUUAGUCUAGAUCACUAACACAAAUAAUAUCAAAUUUAGUUAAAAUACAAAUACACCUUCCCAUGAGCAACAUUAUUAUGUUUUACCUUCUUCAUCUUUUACAAGUUUUUAGUUAUAGAAAUAAUGAGAUUAAAAAAUUGAAGGGUAAAUUGCUCCGAUGACUAACUUGAGUGCCUUGGGGCAAUUUUUCUUUGCUUUACAUAUCUCAUAUACCUUAUUAUUGGGAGAUUAUUAAAGAUCGAAUCACAAUAGGACCAAUCCUAAAAUAAAUUCCCCAAAAUCAUUGAUAUUUGAGGCUAUGUAAUUUUUUUGCUCCAACAAGUUUAAUAUUUUGAAUAAGUUUAUCAUACAUGCAUGGAUGUACUUCAUUCUACUACUUGACUAGGGUAGCAAUCAAAAUAGAAGCAAACCUAAAAUCAAUGCUCUAAUAACGUUAAUGUUUGGAGCUUCAUAAUUUUUUUGCUCCAAUAAUUUUGAUAUUUUAGACAAAAUUAUUUUACAUGGAUCGACUUGCUUCUUUAUGUUUAAGUAAAGGGGGAGUUUUUCUUGCCUAAAUCUUGACACUUAAAGAUACUAAUAUUUGUGUUUUGAACAUGAGAUAAGGGACAAAUCACUAUCUUUAACUUGAAUUUAUGUUAAUGCAUGCUUUGAGAACUAAUACGCCAUCUUUUUUUUUUUUAGUAUAAAAGCAUAAGAAGGGAGGAAAUGUAAGCAACUUGAUGUAAUUCUAGCAUUUGGGAUGGAAUGGAGGAGCAAAUAUGCAGCAAGAUGAGCCCUAGUGCUUGCUAAAGUAAAUAAAUAAAUAAUAAAAGCGAAAAGGCAAAAGAAAACUACAAAGGCAUUCUAAAUUGGUUUAGGAGUAGCUAAAAGUGAUUUGGAGAAGCCAAAAUAGAUUUCAAAAGGUUAUUUAAUCAAUGUUAAAACCAAUUUGUGAAUGAGAAUUGUCAUAUUAAUGGAGUCUCACAUCAUAAAAGCGAUUUAGAGGAGGCUGAAAUCGAAAUUCCAAUCUUAGGUUAAAAGUUAAAAUUGGUUUCCAUAUUGAAAUUUUGAUUUCAUCUUGUUGAAAUCAGUUUUUCCAAAAUUUACUGCAUAUGUCAAAUCAAAAUUUCACACUUUGGUUAAUUUGGUAUCAAAAUCUAGAUUUUAGGCAAUUUUGAUGUAAUUUCAACUAAUUAAGUUAUACGUUUGCUAUGGUGGCCAAUGAGAUUAGGCCAAGUGCCUUUUUAGGGUUAAGAUAUUUAUAUUUUCAUUUUUUUUUCAAGGUUACAAAGAGAACAUUUUUACAAUUUUGUUUGUAGUCACACUUUCUAAACUUUUGUUUCUUUCUUUUUAUUAAUAUCCCAUUUUUUUUCUUAUGGAAUUUGGGUGUGAAAUCUCAAUAUAAGAGAUUAAGAUCUUUAAUUUUGGAGAUGUAGCAUGAAGAUACAUGGAAGAUUUGGACAAGGAGCAUAAGAAAAGUAAUGUCAGAUUAAUUGAUCAUUAGGUUUUCAUGUUUACCUUAUUAGAAUGAGAUCAUCUAUGAAAUUAUGGUUAGACUAAGAUCCUAGUGAUACUUCUAAAACCAUUUGAUCACUAGUUAACAUAAUUUGAUAUACUAUCAUGAUUGAAUUGAAAAUUGAUUGUACAAGAUAGAUGAGUGGUACGAAUGUAUAAACAUAAACCUCAAUUAACCAAUCUAUAUUAUUUAUUUUAGUGAAUCAUGUAAAAAGAGUAUAAAUGUCUUAAAAUUCAAUUUGAUCCCACAUUGACUUUGGUCCUAAACCCUAGAUCUAUGAUUUACUCUCUCUCUCUCUCCUUCUCUUCUUAUGAAUUUGAAGCUAAAUUUUGAAAGCUCCAGAGUUGUUAUCAUAGAUUUGUCUUAAUCAAUUUAAUCUAAAUUCGGUCUUUUUAGAAAAAUUUAUCAAUUAAAUUCACAAUUUUGGGUAUAAGAAUACUUUGUUCAAUACAUAAAUAGUCAAAUGUGUUAGUCUUUAAAGGAUGACAUCUAGAUACCAUACACCAUAACUAUCCUCUCUUUGUUUUUUCUUGGCUAUGAUUUCUAUAAUAAUAAAGAUUUUCGUUCUAAAACAAAGAGUAUCGAUAAAAAAAAAAAGUGUCAUUUUUGUUAGAGAUUGACGACUAUUUUGAAUUGAUAGAUUGUCUUAGUUUUUAGGAGCUUAGAGCUUGUUUUACAAUGUGAUUUAAAAAUAGCUUUCUAUUUUUCUAAAAAAAAAUGACUUCUAAAAUUUAAUAGCAUUGUUUAGCAAUUGUUCUCUAGAAAUAGUUCAAAAAAAAAAAAUGAACGUUCUCUUCACUUGCUUUUAAAUACAAUAAGAGAACAUAGAGAAAUAAGAAUAAUAAUAAUUAAAAAAAAUGAUAAUAUAAGAUUGUGGACCCCGCACUUCUGCACAUGCGUUCCACUCGAUGACGAAACUAGUUGUUUUUAUUUGUUUGGUGAAAUUUUGAUUUUUAGAAAAGACUUGGAGUCACCACUUAUUUUUGUUUUAUUUUUAAGGGAAAAAAAAAUAAGAAAGAAAACUCUAAGUGUGACUCCUUAUUUGGAAAAGACAGUCUAUGGAAAACCAAACUUGGGUUUGGGGGUCAAGUUACUUAUUGGGAAGGUAUGGUAAAGACCAUAACACCCCUCCAAACCCCUAAAAAUGAGUCUCUACUAAAUAAGGUGAAGCAAACGUGGAAAUUGACAAGGAAAUUGUUAGCCCAAGGGUUCUCCUAAUCGGGUUUUGAUGGUAACAAACCAUGGUUAAGUUACUAAUUGGUUUAAAUGUUUAAGAAUCUCAGGUAUAAACUUGAAAAUUCAUCAAAGAACCAAAUGGAUAAAAGAUCGAGUCGCUUGGAAGACUUGUGAUCAUAGGAAACUAAUGUAAGAUGAAUGCAUGAGUGCACUUAGGAUUUUCAUACGUUUCAUGCACCUUAGAAAACUCGGUUUAUUCUUUAAAAUGUCGGUUUCAUUAAAACCUGAGUUUUUAACUAAUUUACCUUAGGCAAAAUGUUUCAAAAUUGGCUUAAUAAUUUACCUAAAGACCUUGCCUAAGUGUUAGAAAAAAAAAAGGAAUAAAAAAAUAGGUUUUUCGGGGCUAAAAAGGCUCAACCGGUCGAGGCUAUGGCCAACCGGUCAACCGGUUAAGGAACCGGUCGAUCGGUUGAGGUCGUCUGGUCGAGGACCGGUCGAGAAAGGUAAAAAACCUUCUCUCUCUCCCAAUAGCCUUCUCUUCCUGGUCGAGGUGAUUCCCUUACCGGUCGAGGUCCGGUCGAGGUCCAGUCAAGGACCGGUCGAGGUCCGGUUGAGGCAACGGUAACCUGUCAUGCAUUAAAUGCUCCAACGGCUAGUGAACCGGUCAACCCCCAGCUAGACCGGACGAGGUUGCCUUUUGCUGUUUUUGACUCCCGAGCUUAGAAACCUAUAAAUUGAGAGCUCCACUUCAUUUAUUGACAAGAGAACACUUACAUUCAAAGCCCACCUACCUGUUCUUGAUCAAAAAGCUCUCAUUUAUUUCAUAGUGCAUUAAAUUACCACUUGCAUAUCCUUUAGUGCACUCUUGUUUGUCAUCCUAGCUUUGUCUUGUAUUUGAGCCAUCUUUAAGCUAGGUUGAGUGAUUAUAUCUUGUAACAAUCCGAGUGUUAAAGCCUUUAAGAGGGUUGAAUCUUGAAGAGGUUGUGUAAGAGCCCAUUGGAUCCGGAAUCUAAGUGUAAGAAGAUUGGAAGCUUGGUUGAAGCUUCAAGUUAGUGGAACCCUCACUCGGUUAGAAGGUUGAGGAGAGUGGACGUAGGCAAGGAAGUGUCGAACCACUAUAAACCCAAGUUUGAAUUCUCUAAACUCUAUCUCUUUACUUUGUUCAUAUUUUGUUUAAAUUUGUUGUGAUUGAAAAGAUUUUAAAAACCCAAUUCACCCCCCAUUUUGGGUGUUUUUCUUAACUAAGCAUAACCUUUGUUUUCUCAGAAAUCAAUAGAUACCAAUAAAAUGAUCGAAUAAUAAAACAAAUUGAGCAUGAGAAUGAAUAAAUAAAUGAAGUAGGAGUGAGAGCGUACCUUAGCAGCAAAUAAUAGUGCACUAUCAUGGAAAAAAGGUUAGCUCAAGUACAAAAUUUAUCGCAUGCAUAUCAAAGAGCAAGACAAAGAUCAAGCAAUAUUCAUUAAGGUGUGGCUCCUAUAGAGGUGCAAAAAGAAGUUUGAUAAGCCCACAAUGCAAACAAAAGCUUCUCUGACCAAUCCCGAGAAGUCUCAAUCAUCCUCUGCAAGAUCCUCUUAAUAUUCUUAUUCACAUCCUCUACCACUUCGUUAGUCUGCGGCCUGUACGCAGACAAUCUAUGAUGCUGGAUAUCGUAUCUCUGUAAUAAAGUGUCAACAUCUGCUCUGAAAUGUACAUCUCUGCUCAAAAUCAGCUUAUGAGGGACUUCAUAGCGACAAAUAAUGUGUGAUCUGAUGAAACUAGUGACCUCAAAUGAUUUCAAUCUCGCAUAUGAAGCAGCCUCCACCCACUUGGUAAAGUAAUCAAUGACGACCAAGAUGAACUCAUGACUAUUGGAAGACUUUGGCGAAAUCUUCCCAAUAAUGUUUAUACCUCAUACUGAAAAUGGUCAUGGUGAAUUCAGUGCAUGUAACUCUAAAAGGGGUACGUAGAUAAGGUCUCUAUGAAUCUAGCACUCUCGACAUCUUUAAACAAACUGGCAAUAAUCUGUCUUCAUAGUCAACCAGAAAUAGUCGGUCUUCAUGACCUUACAAGCUAAUAUAUGUCCUCCCAUAAGUGGUCCACAAACUCCCACAUGAACCUCUCUCAUCACUCAAUCGGUAGAGGCGUGGUGAAAACACAAUAGUAACAUCCCAUCAACUGAUUGUUUGUACAAUGUCUCCCCACGGAUCACAAAACGGGUGGUUAACUAUCUCAAUUCUCUCUUAUCAUUGGUUGUGGCGACCUCAGGAUAUAUGUCAAGUCUCAAAAACUGAUAUAUGUCAUGGCACCAAGGCAAACCAUCAUCCAAAUCUGCCUCAUUAAUCAAGCAACAAUAGGUAGGAACUGAUCUCGACUCAAUCAGUAAAGGGCGAACAACAGUAUCAACGGGAAUAUCAAUCAUGGAAGCUAAAAUAGCUAAGGCAUCAGCAAACUGGUUUUGUGCUCUAGGCAGAUGAGUAUAACUCAAAUCAUCAAAUCUCCCAACCACUAUCUCUAAGUAUGCAUGGUAAGGCUUAAGUUUCACAUCUUUAGUCUUCCAAUGGCCUUGAAUCUAUCUCAAUACCAGAUUGGAGUCACUAAACACCUCCAUCUGUCUAAUCCCGAGCUUAAGAGUUGUCUCUAAUCCCAAGAUACAAGCCUCAUACUCAACAAUAUUGUUCAUGGCAAGGUGUCGACCAAAGAAUGCCAAACGAACAAAUCUAGGAAUGUGGUCACCGUGAUGGGAUAUUAGUAGAACACCUAUCCCGUAUCCAGAAUUGUUGGCCGCACCAUCAAAGUAGUCACUGCAGCGAUAUCCUCAUCUAGAAAGUCAUCAUCAAUAGCUCUACCAUCAGAAAAAACUAGUAAUGAGGCUAAGUGAUCUACAACAAUGCUCCAUCUGAUAGACUUUUGAGUGACAUAAUGAAUAUCAAACUCAAUCAGGAGUACCAACCAUCUCAUGAGUCGAUCAAUCAAAGCAAGCCUGUCAAACAAAUAUCUCAGAGGAUCUAGACAAGAUAUCAAGUGCACUGAAUACUCCGUCAUGUAAUGUCUCAAUCUCUUAGUAGCCCAAACCAACGCCAAACAGAAGCGUUCAAUCAUGACAUAUCUUGUCUCAUAAUCAAGCAUCCUCUUACUCAAAUAAUAAAUAGCUCGCUCAUUUCCAGAAUCAUUGAGCUGAGCUAGCAUGCAUCCCAAGGCUAUAUCUAAGACUAACAAGUAUAGGAAUAAGGGACGACCUGGUGUAGGAGGCACCAAGAUUAGAGGCGAAAACAAGUACUCCAUGAUCCUCUCAAAUGCACGCUGACACUCAUCAUCCCAAACAGGAGGUCGACUCUUCCUCAAGAGUAAAAAAAUGGGCUCGCAGAUAUCUGUCAAUCUGGCGAUGAAUCUACUAAUCUAGAGUCUACCUAAAAAACCUUUGAUCUCUCUCUCAGUCCUCGGCGCAGGCAUGUCAAGGAUGGCUCUGAUCUUAUCUGGAUCUAUUUCUAUGCCUCUCUCACUGACCAUGUAUCCCAGAAGUCACUCCAAAAGUGCACUUCUUGGGAUUCAGUCCUAAUCUGAACUGUCUGAUCAUAUCAAAGAAUCUCUUUAAAGCUACUAGGUGAUCUACUCUAUCUUGGGAUUUCACUAUCAUGUCGUCUACAUAGACCUCGACAUCCCGAUGCAUCAUGUCAGGGAAAAGGAUAGUCGCUGCUCUUUGAUAAGUAGCUUCUGCAUUCUUCAACCCAAAUGGCAUAAGUAGCAGUAAGUACCCCACUCAGUAAUCAAAGACGACUUCUCCAUGUCCUUUAGAGCCAUCAUAAUCUGACUGUACCCAAAAAAUCCGUCCAUAAAGGACAACAUCGAAUGACCUUUUGUACUAUCAACUAGCAUGUCAAUGUGUGGGAGAGAAAAAUCAUCCUUGGAAUUGAUCUUGUUGAGAUCUCAAAAAUCAACGCAGACUCUCACCUUGCCAUCCUUUUUGGGAAUAGGGACGACAUUGGCCAACCACUCAGGAUACUCAACCACUGAUAAGAAUCCCACACUAAGUUGCUUCUGAAUUUCUUCUUUCACCUGCAGACUCCAACGAGGAUGCAAUCACCUUAACUUCUGCUUAAUCGGUUUAGCAAGGGGCAGUAGUGGCAAGUAAUGCUGGACUAUGGAUAGAUCAAGGCUAGAUAUGUCCUCAUAAGACUCUGCAAGUGAUGUUGGACUAUGGAUGGAUCAAGGCCAGACAUGUCCUCAUAAGACCAUGCAAAGACAUCCAAAUAUGAUAUGAGUAACUGGACAAGGCCACCACUCUCAUCUGUAAACAAAUCCAAUCCAAUCCUCAGCUCCCUAGGAUGGUCUUUUGUGCCAAAAUCAACAAUCUCAACGUCUCCUGUGGUAGGUGAAACUCUCUGAUCACUAGGACUCAAAUUAGAAGCAGAAGAAGAGUCUGCAUCUGAAUCGUGAUGUACAAUCUCAUCAUCUAUAUCAAAUAUUUGUGAUGUGGGUGAAUGAGGUGCAGAUAAAGUGUUAUCACAAGAAAUAGGAAAAUACUCAAAAAGACUCAUAUCCAUAUAUGAAGAAAGAGUCAGUAGAUCAUCAGAAUGGGAGACAAACCCAGACAACAUAUCAGAAGAAAGUGGUGGGUCCACAUGUUUGGACUCUACCAUGACUGGGCUAUUCACACCCAUAAAUACAUCAUCAUUAACUAUAUCAUCCUCUGAAAACUCCAGAGUAGGAGCAAUCUGGGUCUCCUCAGCAACCUCCAUGGCGGACACCCCAAAUAGAUCAAAUGGAGAAGCAAACUCAGGUUGGACUAUCCCAUCAAUCUGACUCAUACUCAUCGCGAGCAUCUCAUCAAUGUAUUUGUCGUGUGGAACAACUCCAUCCACCAUGUCCCUAAUCUCAGCAAAUGUCCCAUGCUCGUCGACCUCAUCCGAGAAAUAGAGUGUCAUGAGGCUCAUAUGAUCUGGAGAUGAUGGGGUGGCUAAUGCAGAAGCAGAAGUGCCAGGAGCUCCAUCACUCAACCGUAGCUGAUGAACAAGACGCUGAAGCUCAACCUCUUGAAUAGUGUUGAAUCCAUCAAUAAUCCCACUUGAAUGCGUCUAUGGCUUCGAUGCCCUCACAAAGUAGUCCGCCAAGCUCAUGUUGUAUGAGCAAAUAGGAUAGUCAAAUGGUGUGUGAGUCAAUCGGGCUCUCACUCUCUCCUUGCGCAAUCACAACAUAUAUCAAUAAUCGGCCUCAAUAGGAAUAAACCUAACUCCAAAUGGUACAUCAUGAUCAACGAUAGUUAUAAGCUCAUUGGGCCCAUGUUGACGUCGCCCUAAUCCCAUGCUCGGCAGAAAAGACAUGCUCCUCAUCAUGUCAAGCACCACUAUACUACCGUGCUGAUCAAAUGACAUAGCCACAAAGUCCCUACAAAAAUCCUCAAUCUCCAGAGUCUACACAUCAUCAAAUGUGAACCCAGUAAAAAACAAAUCAUCCUCAUUGUGACUAAUCUGAAGCAUUGGCUUGGAAGAAGCAAACAUAUCUCCAAUAGACUGCACCGUGAUGACCUAGCCAUCAUGAAUGAACUUCACCUUCUGAUAAAGGGAAGAAGGAAUGGCCCCAGCUCUAUGAAUCCAAGGUCGGCCAAUAGUAGGUUAAAAGAUGUAGAAAUCCUCAAAACCUGGAAUAGAGUAGGAAAUGUAGUCGGACCUAUCAAUAGCUCGAUCUCCAAAGUGCCCAUGACCUCCCUCUUAAUGCUAUCAUAUGCUCUGACUUUCUGAGUAGAGGGACCAAAGUUUGAGGACGCAUAGCCGAGGGCAAUGACAUAAGCUAAGGGAUAGACGUUCAAGGUUGGGCCAUCGUCCAAAAUGACAUAUGGGACUCGGUGGCCUGAAAAACCAACUGAGAUGUAUAGAGGACAUGUAUAGUUUGAACCCUCGAGUGGCAAAUCAUCAUCUAAAAAUAUAAUGCAAGUGGCUCUGCUAGCCGUCAUCAUGUGAAUCAACCCCUCGAGAAUAGUGGUAGUCUCUGAUUACUACUCAAAAAGUGCUAUUUGAUAGCCUUUAAUUAAUCCUUUUUAACACUUUUGAGUAGUAGUUUAGGCCUUUUAACUCAAUUGGCAUGUUAAUGAUCCUUUAAAGCAAUUUUGAUCACUUUGUGUAAGUUUUGGUGUUUUUGUUAGUAUUUUGAUCACCAAAGCAAGUCAAGACUGAGGAGAGCUAUGAGGAAUCGUGGGCAAAGCUUAGAAUCCAAUUGCCAAGAGUGAAUCCAGAUUGCAAGGAGAAAAAGCAAAGAGAAUCUGCCAUGAAGCCUAUUCUUGAUGACAGUUGUAGCAGCCACUUUUUGAGCACUUUCUGAAGUCCAAAUGAUACAUGCUAUAUACCAUUUCAAAGCUCAGGAAGUCAACAAUCCAAUGCUUCAAACGGUGCGCGAUUCGGAGUUGAAACGAAGAAGUUGCAGCCAUUACAAGUCAAUCACUCUAAAGUGUUGCGGAAUCAGCCUUUUGUUGCGAGAAUUUCGCAGCACUUUUGUACAGUAAGGUGUUUCUCCUUCUGACGAUGCACGAACCAUGCCGCGAGAAGGGAGCUGGAAACCUCAAGGUGGAAGCCAACUUCGCAGCCCUGUGAAGAUAGCUCGGUCUUGCAAAAUAAUUUCGCAGCCCUCUUGGAUGUCUGCGAAAUUUCGCAGACACCAUUUUACUCCUACGAAAUGGCUCCUGAAGCCUCCCGAAGCUUGCUACCGACAUUGGGAGAUAUUUUCCAUUAGAUUUUUGUUGUCUAAAUCCCAAAAUACUCCUUGUAAACCACCAAUUACAUGAUUCCUUAGUUUUUAAGUUAGUAAAAAGACCAAAUAUCUUGGUAACAAUUAGUUUUAUAUUGUUUUGAUAUAUAUACCUCUCGGGAGCCUGUUCUCAUAGAGGAGUUCCUUCUGUAACCAUUUGGUAAGGAAGUAAAGGUCUUUUCUUUCUACUGCCUUACCUUCUCACUUUGUAUUUUCAUUUUCUUACUAAGUUAUGAAUUCUCUGAGGAGUUUUCCCCAGAGAAUGAGUAACUAAACCUCCAAUUCCUUGGAGCUAAGGUUGCCAGGGAAGGUUCCAAAUGCAAGAAUGCAAAGCUCUGUGGUUUUAGCUAAUAAUGAAGAGGAAGUGAAAUCCUUUAGUGAUUUCAAUGUUUUUAGUUAACUUAAAACACCUUGGAGUCACCUAGGCCAACACUUGGUAAGGCAAGUGAUUUCCAACCAUGGAAAUGCACUAGUUUACCCCUUGCGAGCCUCUGGUAGGUGACUUUAAGGUAGGAUUUUCUGGAAUUACCAACACUUGGUAAGCUUUUGGACUCUUAGGAGACAUCCAUUAGUUAUCUCUUGCGAGUUUGUGAAGGGAAGUCCAAGGUUAAAGAUCACCUUGAAUGGUAAGUGCUCGUGAGAGGCAUGAACCAUUGCAAGUUGCAUCAGUGAGAGAAUUAAAGUGAAAUCUAAUUGAAGGAGUCUCUAUACAUCACCGGUUAGAGAAUUAACUAUAAGUUGAAUCUUUAAUGCGAGGAAAUGAACCAUCUGACCGGAGCUAUGUCUUUUGCAUGAGGAACCACCCCAGUGAACCUAAAUCUCCAAGGAAUGCUUUUCUUCCUAAAUUAUUCCAAACUUCUGUUAAGUUAGUUAGUUUAAAUCUCAACCUUUACAAAUCAAAGUUUGUGUUUUAUUUCUUAAGCUAACCGUGAAAUGAAACAAGACCAAUUCACUUGGAAUUGGUAUCAUUGAUUGCUUGCAAAUCAUUCCCAGUGAACGAUCCUAGAGCCACUAUACUAUAGUAGCUUUUUAUUUGCUACCCUAGUGUAUGGUGUUAUAGGUAUAAAUUUUGUUGAUCACUUCCUCAAUCAAGGAGCACCAGCUGAACACAAAUCAGCUGAGACACCAAUUGGGCAUGAAUCAGUCUCGACUCUAAUCUAACUCAAGGAUCAAAUCAAUGCAUCUUUAUGAGUGCUAGAAGAUGCCAAUAAGCUCCAAAUAGAUAUACAAGUCUGGGUACUCUACAACUGUCUCAGAAUAUCAUCAUCAUCUCUCCUGACCUCCUCAUGAGAGGCUGCACCCUCCAAGGGUCUAGCGGUUAUGAGGGGUUGUUGUCAUACUACCUUACCUCUGUGAAUAACAUAUUAUAUAUCUGGAGUAUGAACAUCAUCAACAUAUGGAGUAUGUACCUCAUCAACGUCUGGAAUCAAAACAAACGGAGUCUGAACACUAUUACAUGGAAAAAUCAAUGGCUCGACUAUAGUCGACUGUACUGAUGUCACAUCGGGAACCAAUCUGAAUAGUGUGGGCAUCCAUGGGCCCAAGGUCAUUCUACCUACCUCAUAAAUCCCAUCUACUACUAUAAGCUCUAGCACUGACUCAUCCCAACUCAGCAUGUGGAUAUGAUCUUAUGGCUUAGUGAAAUCCAUGAAAUGUAUACCGUUGGCUAGCAGAGAUACUGCAUGUGAAGUAUAAGCUGGCAGAGGGUUAGUGGUUACACUUGGCUAACCCAAGUGAACCAAACCCUAAUCUAUCAAGUCCUCGAUGGCGUGCCUCAAAGCAGUGCAAUGGUCCGUGUCAUGCCUUAGACCUUAAUGGUAAGAACAAUGUAAAUCCAUCCUGAAGCGAUGUGGCAUGAGUUGAGGUAUAUGCCAAGGAGCUAACUGAGUCAACAAACCACCCUCCAUGAGCUUCUAGAAAGCUCGGUUCAAAGGCAUACCUAGCUGGGAGAACUAUUGUGUCAACCUUUGUACAAAAGAAAUAAUAGUCUGUGGGGCUCGGGGCUGAGGGUAUAAAGUAGGAGGUCUCUCUAUGACAUGUGCAACAAAAACAGGUUAUGAGACCGGAUGUAGAUAAGUAUGAGUCAUAGGUUUGGAGGAAACAGGUGGCCUAUACUGCACAUGAGGUGGUGAUGGGUAGUAGAAUCCAAAAGGCUGCCCAACUGUCUGAUAGUAUCUAGAAGGUCUCAACCCUGUUGAACUGAUAGCACUCACAUCUUUUAGUCUCUGUUCUCCUAAAGGCUUCUUUCCCUAAGAGUUAGUAGGGGAAGACUCGGACCAUAAUCCUCUAGUUAUGUCCUCCUCUAUACCAUAUAAAUCCUGUACCAAAGAUCCAAAAUCCGUAUGAGGAAAUCCCAUCAAGUGCCUAGCAAAUCAAGGCUGCAAGCUCCUCAUGAUCAUACUAAUCUGAUCAUUCUCUGAAGGAUGAUCAAUAACCUGUGAAAUCUUCUCUCUUUAGCGGGAGAUAAAUGAGGUGACUGACUCCUCUAGCCUUUAUCUCAAAGUCUCAACUCUCUCCUCAAAACAUCAAUGACAAUGUUAAAUGCAAACUGUCUCAAGAACUUCUAGGCCAAAUCAUCCCAAGUUCGGCGGCAUGAUACAUCCAAUGAAGCAAACCAACGUUGUGCCACACCACUCAGGGAUAUAGGAAAAAACAUAACCAUCUGGGCCUCAUCCAAUCCAUGGGCUCUCAUAACUGUAUUAGAAAGCCUCAAAUGGAUGCGAGGAAAGCCAAUGUCCAUGUAUCUCUCAAUCUUAGACAUCCUAAACUUGGUCGAUAAACUGGCCACUGGUGCUCCAUUAAAAUCCUCCCAAGUAAUAGCUCCAUCUGAAGUCUUCAUCUGUCUCAUCCUCUGCUCAAGUCUAUCCAUACGAGCAUAUGGGUCCUCUAAGAUCGGGGUAGGCACUAUGACAGGAGACAAGGCAACCUCAGUCUGACUUUAUAAAGUAAAUGAUAUAGGUUGUGAAACUAUCUGACCAAGUGGGAGAGGUGGCGGAAUAGUGGGAUCAUACUGCACACUCUCCUGAAAUGAAACCUUUUGGGUUUGCUACCCAUCCAUCAUUUGAUCAAGACUAGUUAUGGCCUCCUGGAUCGAAGCCAUAGCAGCAACGAACUUAUCAAAUGUAACCACCUACGAAUCCAUAUCUGCCUGAUCUAACUGGUCUGACACUCUGAUCAAUCUACCUUUAACUAUGAUCUAAGAAGCUGAACCCAGAUCAAACGUAUCAAUACACCUACAAUAGUGGAAAUAUUAGAUAAGAUAUUGUGUAAGGGAAACUCUACAAGGAGUGUCUAUCAACUAUGCAAGAAGGUAACCUGGAAGUAUUCAAAGUGAUAUCUAAUUCUGAGCAAAUAUAUAAGAGACUACUAUGAAGGUAACUAAAUUUAUCACUACUGACCCGGCUCUGAAGGCCCAUAGAUGCACCCAUGUGUGGGAAAGGAAAUUCUGAUCGAAUAAUCUAAGGCUCAACCUAUAAGGUCAAGGUGGCUCUAAAAAAAAAAUGGACUUUAAAGGAUCCCUAGCAGAAGCGAUCAUACCCUUCGACGGUAUGCAACCCUCUGCACGCCUUUGAAAAGACGAGGCACUUCCAUGCAAGGUGGUCAUCACCUCUACACAUGCACUACCUCGACAUCCUAAGGGGGUUUGCUAUAGUGAAAGCUCUCAUAACUCUCAGCACUCAAUAGUCAACUAAAGUGCAUAGUGAGUGGUGCAGGUGCAUCCGAAAAACCUAUGAAGCUAAAGUAGAAAAAAAACACAUUAGUCACACAAAUAUCCAUGAAACCUAGCUUUAGGCUAUUCAGGUCUUCAAAGAUCGGACUCCAAUCAACAUCAAUGUGUCAGCCUCCUCAAGAAUGCUCCUAAACAUCAAUAUAGCCCAUCGCUAGACCUUACUCCUAACCACUAGCUCGGUCAUAGAAACAAGUACACACAAGGCCUCACACUUGCAAAUAUAAGAACCGAAAUGAAGGAAAUGACCGAAACCAAAGGGUUGGAGGUAAGGGGAUAGAUGUGCGAUCCACACGGACAAACAACAUACAAUCACAUAGGAGAAGAUUAGUUAUGCAACAAGAAGUCAAGCAGAGCGCAAGUAUAUCAUCCAUGUCCAUACACAAGCCAAACGAAAAUAUGACAAUCAAAAUGACUAGCAACAAGGAUAGCAUGCUCAAAUAUAAUCAAGAUAACAUACAAGCAAGAUAAUCAACACUAAGACAAAUAAGAGAUGCAGCAAAGUGAACAUACAUGUCAAAGUGAGUAGGAUAAUCAAGGCAAGAGCAAGAUCGAUCAAUAUCAUCAGCAUGCCAAUGUCGCAAAGGGAUAUAACAAUUAAGCAUAGAAAAUCGUUGCAUCAAAAUCCUCAAUGUGCUAUGAUCACUCAAGCAUUGAAAAUUGUAAUUUUGAAAAAUUAUUUGAAAAUUGGAGUUUUGAAAAUUAAAUUUAAAAAUUAGAAUUUUGGAAAAUUAAAUUUAAGAAUUGGAAUUUUGGAAAUUAAAUUUGAAAGAAAUUGGAGUUUUGAAAAUUAAUUGAGAAUUGGAGUUUUGAAAGUUAGUUUUAAGAAUUGGAGUUUUGAAAAUUAAUUUUGAAAGAAAUUGGGGUUUUGAAAAUUAAUUGAAAAUCGGAGUUUUAAAAAUUAAAUUUAAGAAUUGGAGUUUUGAAAAUUAAUUUUGAAAGAAAUUGGAGUUUUGAAAAUUAAUUGAGAAUUGGAGUUUUGAAAAUUAGUUUUAAGAAUUAGAGUUUUGGAAAUUAAAUUUAAGAAUUUGAAUUUUGGAAAUUAUUUGAAAAUGGAAGUUUUAAAAAUUAAAUUUGAAAAUUAGAAUUUCAAAAAAUUAUUUGAAAAUUACAUUUAAGAAUUGGAAUUUUUUUAAAACAGAAGUUUUGAAAAUUAAAUAUGAAAAUCGGAAUUUCGAAAAAUUAUUUGAGAAUGGAAUUUUUAAAAGAUCAAUUUUUUUAACAUAAAAAGAUGGAUUAGGAGGGUGACAUGUGGCCUAGGAAGUUGUAUUGGAAGGUGGCCAUGCAUGGCCAAACACUUCAACGUAUAUUUUACAUACAAUAUCAAAUUCAAAUUAAGCUUGCGAGACCCUCAUUCCAAAUUUCAUUUCUCCAUGUGUUCAUCCUUAUUCUCAACUUUAUUUGUUAUCUCAAAUAUAGUAGCAGCAAACCCAUUUUCCAUCAACCCACUCCAUGUGAAAUACAGUAACAACAAACCUAUUUUCCAUCAACCUAGUCCAUGUGAAAUACAUACAGUAGAAAAAAACCUAUUUUCCAUCAACCCACUCCAUGUGAAAUAUAGUAGCAAAAAACCUAUUUUCCAUCAACCCACUCCAUGUGGGGCCUUAGGUCCAAGUGAAUGAACUCAUUUUCCAUGAAUCAAACUAUUUUUUGUAGCACUAGUAACUAUUAAAAAAAAGUCCAAUCGUGCAUGGGGGCCACCAGGAUGGAGAGCCAUUUCAGUGCCUGCAAGGUUUUGAACCUACUAUGCUUAAGGAUUGGCAAUGGGAAGACAAUUCAAAUUGGUGUAUGAGUAUAAUGGAUGUGAUGAAUGGGAAUAUGAGUGAUGGAGCAUGCACCUAGGGAAAGUUAUUAAUGGCGGGUAUGAAAUAUGGGAAUAUGUGUGGUGGAGCAAAUAAGGAGUGGAGAAUGAAACCUGGUAGUGUUGAGGAACUGGACCUGAGUAGUGUCGGGUAGAAAAUAUGGAGCUGGGUUGGGUAAAACUGAAGAAUGUUAGGCUUGGGAUUUGGGUCUAAUAGAUAGGCUUUGAUAGAGGUUUUGCAAAGGUGGCCAUACAGGAGUUAUUCACAUGCUUAUGAAUGGUGGGGGAAGAAAACUCAGACCAGAUUUGAAAAUAAGAACAUAAAUAUGAUCUCCAAUGCAUAAAAUAGCUUAAAUUAAAUCAAAUUAUUCCCAAGCCAAAAGCCAAAGUAUAAAUAAAUAAACCAACAACAGCACACCUAUGAAUGGCUCAGAAAUCCAAUAAAUUCAAACACAUUACCUAAUGUUCAUGCUUAGCAAACAAUCCACAAAAAAGAAAAUAACAAAAAGGAAGAAGAGCAUAUUAUGGUGAAGCAGAAUCAAACCUAAGCAAGUCCUCUCACUCUUUCUGUUUUUCUCUCUUAGAUACCGACUCUCUGUUUUUUCUUUUUUUCACUCAAGCUCUCUUCCUCAAGCUCCGUUUUCAGCUUGUUUUUCUUCCCCUUCCAACUUUAAAAAAAACCUCUCCUUGCUCCUCUUUCUUCCUCCCAACGGCCACCUCUUGCUCUUGCUAAAAAAACCUCAUUUUCCAAAAUAUUUAAAAAUAAAAAAUAAAACAAUUAUUAAUAUAAGUUGACAAACUAAAAUUGUUCCAAAAUGACUCUCCUCUACACAUAUCUAUAUUAUUUUAAAAUUUGUUAUUAAGCAAAUAGAUUUAAAAUCAAGCAAGACUUAAAAUGUUGAAUUUAUUAAUGAAUUUAAUUGUUUUUAAAAUAAUUUGAAACUUGAAAAUAGAUAAAAUCACUACCAAAAAUAAUAGAUCAAAACUAGUAUAUAAUGAGUCAUAGCUUUAUUGCUUUUUCUAUGUACACAACUAUAUUUUACGAGUUUUAUCACUAAGUAAAUAGAUUUUAAAUUAUGUGAGACUUAAAACUUUAAAUUCUUUAAUGAACCUUCUAAAUUUUAAGGAUAAUUUGAAAUUUAAAAAUUUGAUCAAAUUAAUUAUAGACUAAAUCAAAACUUGUCCAAAAUAGGUCCAAACUAAAAUACUAAAUAUGUACAUGCAACGGUUUUAAAUAGAAUAUUAUUAACCAUUAUUAUUUUUUAAUUAUUAUUAUUUUUAAAUAAAAAUUAUUAUGCUUUUAUGAAGGUAUUAAUCUCUAUAUUUUUAUAAUAUAUAAUAAAAUAGUAUUAGUUUUUUUAAUAAACAAAAUAUAAUUUAUGAUCUUAAUAUUAGUUUUCAUAUUUUACGAAAAAAAUAUUUAUUUUAAAAUUUUAUUUGUAAUUAAAAAAUUAUUUUUAUUUUUAAUAAGACUUGAAUUAACUUGAAUUAAUAUUAUAAUUGAAUUUAUAAUUUUUUUUCUAAAAUCAAAACAUAAAAACUAUUUAUAAAAACAACUUAUUUAGAUAAGGUUUUUUUUAUUUCUUUGAAAAGUGUUUUUAAAAGAUAACUUGCCAAAUAGUCUUGUCUUUCGAAAAUAUACAAAAUAAAAUAAAAUAAAUUAUUUUUGUUCUUUAACUUAAAAACUGUUUUUAAAAACAAGUAUAAGCAAACAUUAUCAAAGUGAGCCGUUAGUUUUUAGCAAUUAGUUAUUUUUGACAAAGUUUAGUGUUUUCACAUUCAGAAAGUUUAAAGUAAUUUGUUUUCAUUUUAGUUUAAUAUUCUCAUUAGCUUUUUUUUUUUUUUUUUUUUUUUUUUUUACCUUAGAAUUUCUCCAAUUUUAUGCUUAGUAGGUAAAUAGAUUUUGCAGGUAGACUUCAAUGAAUUAAUCAAGCAAUUCAACCUAUGGUAGAAGACAAUUAAGGUCAAAACAACAAUAACAAUCGACCUAUGAUGUCUUUCCAUGAAUACAGAUCAAUGGGAGAGCAUUUGAACCCUCCUCGUCUUAGUACACCUUCAUGCUUCAUCAUGUCGUAGGAUCAUGUGACCAUCAAGCCUCAAUUGGUGCCUUUACUCUUGAUCUUCAAAGACAAUGGAAAUGAAAACCCUCACACCAAUAUCAAGGAUGUCAAAGAAAUUUGCUUCACCUUUCAAGAAGCAAACAUGCCUCUAGACGCGUUAAUAAGAAUAAAGCUUUUUCCACUUACGUUGAUAGAUCAAGCAAAAACAUGGUUGAACACCCUUGGACCACAAGGCAUUGGGACCUAGAAUAGGUUGCAAUUGAUCUUCCUUAAAAUUUCUUCCUACCACACAAGACUAAUGCAUUGAAAAGGGAAAUGUCAAAUUUUACAACCUGGGAAAACAAUAAAUUUUUCUCAUGUUAAGAGCACUUUAAAUGGAUUUUAAAAGCAUGCCCACAUCAUGUCUUUGAUAAUUACAAGUUGAUUUUCAAAGCAAUGUUAGAGACGAUGUGUGGAGGAAAUUUCAUAAGAGUCUAGAUAAAGCUCCUUCAAUUUCUAGAUUAUGUGGUUGAAGCAACAAAGAGUUAGAUAGAUCAUGUGAUUAAUGAAUCACAAAGAAAGCAAAGUUCCAAAAAAAUUGAAAGUUUGUGAUAUCUUCAACUUGUUUGAAAGCAUGGAUUUUCAAUUAAAUAUUUCUACCUUAACUAGGAGAUUAGAAGACUUGGAGACCAAAGGAGUCUAAGAGGUCAAAGCAAUGAAUAAGUUAAGAGUGAUGAGAUGUUUGAUAUGCUAGUUAAAGGAGCACGAGAUUACAAGUUGUCCAACACUUCUAGUAGUGAGGCACAUGUUCUCAAAGUUGGCCAACACUUUUGAUUCAUUCAAAUAGAAUAGUAAAACUCUCCAUUCUCCAACACCUAUAAUCUAGUUUAGAUUAAUCAUCUUAACUUAUCUUGGAGAUGGAGUAGUCAAUUUCGUUAGCAAAAUCAUCCUAUGAACCAACAUUCAAAAUGCUUAAUAUCCCUAAUUAAUGAAAGUAAAUUACACACAAUAGAUAAGUUGUGAUUACUCAAUAUAAGGUUGGGUGAUAGUUGUAUUUUCCAACACAAAAUGAUGUAAUUGCAAUAACAAUUUAUGGUCGACAAUGGCCACACAAGCCCCAAGUAAAGGCUUCCCACCUUUGCAUUCAUCAUUCCCAACAUUAGGAAUUCUAAUUGCAUCUAUGCUUGAUAGGUACUCUAUGCAAAACUCUAAAGCUUCCUUUGUAUCAUGGCAUUCAACAAAACAUCCCUCUCAGCAAUUAUGAUUUUGUACAUAACCCUUUAAUACCUUCAUAACCUUUCAAAAGAAUACAUCCAUCUAAGGUAAACUGGCCUACAUGAUCUCAUUUUACUUGUCAAGUGCAUUAUUUAAUGAAGUAUAAUGUCAAAAAAUGAAGGUGGAAUUUUUUUUUCAAGUAAGCAUAAUAUCACCACCAACUCAUCUUAUAGUCUAUCCAAUUUAAACACAUAGACUACUUUGCUACAUGAGGCAUUGAAAAAUAAGCAUAAUCUAGAUAUAGUGUCUCACAUGCUUAAUUAGAAUAUAUUGUAAUUCUACUAGUAAUAUGUUGCAUGAGUGCAUGAUAAUCAUGGGAUUUAAGACCAUAAAGCUUCAACUUUUCCAUUGACACAAGUUUUAUGAAGUUAGAGGACUAUCCUUCAAGGACUUUCAAGUCAGCUAAGGUUUGAUAUACCACUUUUUUCUCUAUCCUAGAAAGUGUGUAGCAUGUAGGUGGGAGGCAAGUAUGAUUUAAGUCAAAUUUUCGUGCCAAUUCAAACCUUAUGCCCAUCUCUCCAUAAGAUCCAACCCAGAAUUGAGUUCAUCUUUUAUUUUUCCUGGAAUGUUAACCAAGGUGCCAAUGAUGCUUUCGCACACAUUUUUCUCAACCAAUAUUCUAAUUUGUAAUCGACAUACAAAUGUUACCAAUAUUCUAGAUCAAAGAAUAUGGGCAUCUUUUUCCAACAACUUAUAGUAUUCACACUAGAAGUACUUGCUUUAACCUUCUUUUUUUCCCCAUGAUUAAAAAUGGAAUCAACUUCUUCUAGUAUUUCCUCUCUAGUUAAUGGUUAUGGAGGUAGCCCAAACUCUUGCUAACCAUUGAAUGCCUUCUUUUGUUUCCUAUAAGGAUGGUUAUAUGGAAGAAACCAUUUAUAACCUAUAAACGAGUUUUUCUUCCCAUGUUUCGAUCUACAAGAAUAUGUUUCUUUCCCACAUAUUGGUAAGCAUAAUUUCCCUUAACAUGAACAACUCUCGUUAAUGUGCAUCAUAUACUUUGACUCUUACCUCCCAAAGAGUUUUAAGAGCUUCCACCAACAGUGCCAAGUAAACAUCUAUGUAAUUUCUAGGUUAUCAUGGAUUUGAUAUCAAUAAUGAUAACAUCAUAAAUUUCUAUUUCAUGCACAACCAUGGUGGAAGGUUACAUGUGAUCAUUAUAUAUAAUUGACUAAAUACUAUGACAACUACUAAGAGAAUUGUGAGGAUUUAUGCCAUCUAUUAAAAUAGCAAGUCUAAGUUUUCUAGUCUCAGAAACAAACCUGGGCCAUAAAUGGUCAACUAGCUUCCAUGAUGAAGAAUCAAAUGAGUAAUGCAAAUUCCCAUCAAAUUUUAUUUCUUGGGCAUGCCAUGUGAGAUUUUUUUUACUAUUUGUGAGGAUUGGAAUGUUUUUUUAAACCUUGAGAUAGGUGGUAAAUACCACAAGACUUUUGCAGGAACACUUAUUCUCCUUUUGUUUCCUUUUUUAUUUACCUUCUACCUUGAUGUUCCAAAAGUACGACAUAAUGAUACAUUUUUAUGCUUAUUUCUGUAAAGGAUACAAUCAUUAGUGCAAACAUGUAUUUUUUCAUAUUCCAUUCUCAAUGCUAAGGUUUUUUUUUUUUUUUUUUUUGCUUCAUACAUGCAUUUCAUUGUUGAUUGGGAGUGAUACACUCUAAAAAACUUUUGUCAAACCACACAUAUCUUACUAUCAAGUUAUACAAUUUUACCAAUGCAGAUAACUUUAUAAACUUUGAACAAGCAGGAUAUAAAGGUUUUUUAUCAUCUUCAAGUAUUCUUUUAAAUGAUUAGGGAUCCUUCAUAUGAUCAUCUUGUGCAGCAUAGACCAUCUAAAUGGUAUUGUCUAAAUCAUCACAAUUAAGUUGAUCAUAAUGAUAUCCUUCAUAGUUGUUGCUUCCUUACUAAGAACUACCUCUCCAUGCUAAUAUCGUGUGCAGUAACUUUGAUUAAUUCCAUUGAAAUAUAAGUGUUCUCUAAUCACUUGAGGAGUAUGGUUCAUUAAGUUGCUACAAUGUAGGCAUGGACAUAUAAUAUAGUUCAAAUCUCUAGCAUUUAGACUUAUAAAUUGAAUAAAGCUUUCAACCCCUUCUUCAUACUUUUGUGAUCUUCUAUCCUUAAACUACAUCCAAGAUCAAUCCAUUUUUGGGUUGAUUCAACUAAAUUCCUAUAUAACACAAGUUGCAUGAUUUAUUAAUUAUUAAUUCCUAAACCAAACAAGGAUAUAAAUUGAGCUAUACAACUAAUAAAUAAAGUAUUAAAAAACAAAAUGGCAUCAUAAUUGUACCUAUAUUAUAGCACAUGCAACCACCUACAUAUGUUCAAUCUUAAACACUUUAUGUUACUUCAUUCAAAAUAAAUUAAAUAAAUGCAUAACUUCAUUUAGUAGCAUGCAAUGAAUUAUCAAUAGAACAUAUGGGGAUAAUACCAUAACUAGUAUUAGUGAUAAAUCAUAUCCCAUGAUAAUCCAGUAUGCAAUAUAAAUACUAAAACAAGAUAGGAAGACUAAGAACUUAACUAAUUUAGCAUCAUACAACUAAAUCUAAAGUACCCAAUUUUAUUGUGUUCACUAAAAGAAAGAAACAGUAGAAUAUUAAUUUACUUUGCUAUUCUAUAUGAUCCAAGUAUAUAUAGUAUAUCAAAUCCUCAAGUAUGAACUCUCACUACAAGAAAUAAGUUUUUAUUACUUGGAUUCUCAAAAUUAAGAUACUAUUAAUGUAUAUAGAUUCCAUGAAAAUCCUUGUCUUCACAAGGUUGGAAUUUCUAUCCCAUCUAAGAAUUGUAUGUUUUUAAAAUAUUACACAAAGAAGCAAAAUUUAAAAUUGUCAUGAAAAUUUCAACAACAUUUCUAUACUAUUCUCGUAGAUGAGCCCAAAUUCUCAAUGAAAAUCCUUAAUGUUUUUUAAGUAACUUUGUAAAUUUGGAAUGGCUAAAUGUAGUUUCUAUAUUUUUAUCUACUAGAAGCCUUAAGUUAUAAAAUUGAACUAAUAAAUGGGUUAGGUCAUGAUUGGGAAGCUUGUUUUAGAUCUACCAUCUAUAUUAUUUUAUUUUAAUGGAGCCCAAACUAAAUAGGGAACCCAACCAUCUACCACAAUACCAUGUCAUUUUACUAAUAUGGCCUUUGUUUAUUGGUCAAAUUGGGUCCUAUUUGUUUGUACAAAUUGACACUAUAUGUGGAGUGCAGUGUUCAAUAGUUGGUGAUCCAUUUCAUGAUUUUAAAAAAAAGAAUUUGUUUGUUGAUAAAACAACAACCACCCACCACCCAUUCAACUAACAAGAUUUAAGAUUAUUGUUUCUUUCCUAUGGGUGAUAAUAAAAAUAAAAAAAAUUAAGCCCUAAUACAAUGAAAAUAGAAAAAAAGAUUGAAUAGUUUGAUUUUAAGAAACUAUUAAAGUUUUGAUGAGGUGGAUCGAUUUGUUCGAGUUGACACUAAGAAGGCUAUUUUAUUUUAUUAAACAAAAUGAUGAAAAUUACUAUUGGAAUUCACCAAUUAAUCAAUUCUUCAACUACCACAAUGAUUCCCAAACAAUAGACAAAUCCUAAGUCUAAAGGUACCAUUAUGUCAUCUAAAAAUCCAAAAUAUUUAUCCAAACCUAAACUCUAAAACCCAAUGUGUUUCAAACCUCAUCUUAGUAGGAUUUUUUUUAAACAUUAUUUAAAAAAAUUAAAAUUAAAGCAUUGUUGUUUAAAAAAUAAAUUAAAAAAUACAACACUUUUCAUCACUUGUUUUAUUUUUGCACUAAACUCGUAUUUGUUCAAGAGGCGAAAUGACUUUUUAUAUUGAAUUGAAAGACGAGUUCACUUUUCACCUUAAAUUUUUCUAUAUAGAACUUGCUUUUUCAAAAGAUAAGUUCACUUUUCCAAUGUUGAACUCGUCUUUUGAAAAAUACAAGUUCACUUGAAAUCUAAAAAUGUGAUAGUUUAAAAAAAAAAAAAAAUUGGUGGUACGACCUUUUAAAAAAGUACACUACUCUUGUAGAAAGCCCUAUCUCAAUACUCCUUUGACGACUACUAGACUCAAUAGAGUGUGACUUGGUAUAUCAUUUUACAUGCAAUGUUAGAUUUCUUUUUUUUUUUUCUUUUUUUUUUUUGGUUUUCAUAUUCUCAUAAACCAAAAAUGGAAACUAAUGAAUAAAAAUAAAAAUUAAAGAAAAAAAAAAGAAUUUAAAAUAUAUAUCAAGAAAGAAAGAUAUUCACCUAUUUCUUGCAACAUAAGUUCCUCUAAGUAAAAUGAUAAGGUUGCCACUAUGGUUUAAUCUCAGGAGGUUUAAGAGCACACAUCUUGGGGGAAGGUUUGAGAGCACAUCUUCAAUACAGGAAGGUUUGAGAGCACAUCUUUAAUAGGGGAAGGUUUGAGAGCACAUCUUCAAUAGGAGGAGGUUUGGGAACACAUCUUUGGUGGGAAAAUAAGAUUGAUAACUUCUUCUUUUUUAAAUAUAUACUACUAUUAAAAAUGUGAGGUGUUUGUCAAUUUUUUCAUUCCAAAAAUGUCUGACAACUUACCUUUUAAUUCUAAAAAUACUUCUCAACAAUUUAUUAAUAACAAUAUAUUAAUAUUUAAUGUUACAAAAUGUAUUCUAUUAUCAUAAUCUAUUAGUAUCAAAUGACAUUAUACAUUUUAUUCUCUUUAGAACCUAUAAUAUUCUUUGACUCUUGAUGAUGUGCCUAAGCCCCAUAUUUUCAAUGCCCGCAUAAGCCUUUUCUAUCAUUUUCUCCUCUCCAUGGUCACAACAGCUUCUUCUUCAAGCUUUUAGAUUUCUUUGCAAAAUUGCCAUCGUAACAUUCCUCUUCGCCACAAAUGGCAGUCAAUUCAAGACUAUGUAUAGAGUUAUGGUCAUGGUUCUGGAAGGUUUGGAUUGAUGAAAGUGUUAUGUUAGGGACAAGAGAGAGCUUCAAUGAAAUGUAAUGUUUUUGGGAAAGCUAAGAAUGGCAAUGGUGGCAAAGAAGGUGUUCCUGAAAAGAACAAACAGUUUGUGUGGUGGUUUCAGGAGGCGUGGUUGUAUUUUCACAUUCAUAGGGGUGACACGUUUGUUGUCAUAAUUUUUGGUGAAAUUGUUGUCAAUUCUUACUUGGAACCCAUACUGAAGGCACAUUUUCUAUGAAUUUCUUUUCCUUUGUUAAUUUAGUUUGGAUGAAUAAAUUGUUAUUGUGUUUCAUAAAAGCAAUAUGGAGGGUUGGUUUGGAUAGUGGUGAUACUCCACAUUCAGAUAUGUUUUCCUUUUGUAUUUUGGAAACUAACGAAUCAUAACAUGCUUAUUGGUGAAAGGAGAUUGUUGUUUAUUCCAUAUUUGUUUAAAGAGAAUGAAUUGUGUUUGUGGAGUUGACAAUUGAAGAUAUUGACUUCCAAAUAGUUUUAGAGAAUUGGUCAAAUAAAUCUCUGAUAAAUAUUUUUUUUAAUGAAUUUACAACUUAUCUAAGUAGUUUAUCGCAUUGAUGGUAUCUAUGUAUAUCAAUUAUUUGUGUUCUAAUUUAUUGUGAUUCUAUCUCUUGUGUUAUUAAUCAUUUGGGUUAUUGGAUUUUCAUGUUUUGGUUUUUAUCAUUUCCCAUAUUUUUAAUUCAUUGCAUUUUUGUUCAUUGUGAAUGUUAUUUAUUUAUUAUUUUAGCACUCAUUGGGUUUUUUGUGAACACAAUUAGGUCAACUAUUGUUGCCAUUAGUGUUUUUGAUGAUUUUGCUUACAUGUUUAUUAGAGAAAUAUUAGAAUUCAAGGUGUUUGGUACAUUUGAGAGGUAAUCCAAUUUAGUAUGAGAGUAUACCUUUUUUUUUUUAUGAAUCCUGAUUUUUUUUUAUUGGGAUCAAAAUUUGUUACUUACUCUAGAAAUUUAGUAUUUUUGUAAAUACUUUUAAUUUUUCUAAUUAUAUUUUUUUAUAAGUAUUUAUAACUUAAAGGUUUUACUAAAAAGAAAAUGAAGUUAGUAGUUUUAAAUUGAAAUUAGUCUUAUUUCUUAAGGUUUUUUUCCUUUUUCAUUUUUAGCUUAAUUGAAUCUAGAACUUUCUUGUCAAUUAUAAUUCUAAAAGGAGUUUUAGUUACAACCUAUUAAUAUUUAAUGUUACAAAAUGUAUUCAUCCAUUAAUAUCAAUCACAAAAUUUAUUAAUAUUUAAUGUUACCAAAAUCUAUUAAUUAUUCCCUUUAAAAUCACCCUAACAUUAUAAAACAUUAUAAUUAAUAUAUCAUCUAACCAACAAUUAAGAAUUACACCUUCACUCUUCAAAUUUCUUAUGAUGACAGUUUCACUUUUCAUUUCUAAAGUUUGAGAACUUUUUAAAUUUCUGAUAACCUUUUCCUCUUUGAAGAGAAUUAAGAAGUUUUUGUAAAUUGGCACUCCCAAUUUGAAUGAAGUACUAUUUGGUGAGUUAUUAUUUAGUGUUCCGAAUGAUUUUACUUAAAUGUUUGUGUUACUUAUGAGAAUAAUUUGAUUACUUUGUUGAAUUUUAUUUUUAUGAUUUUGAGCUUUUUAAAACAAUACUCAAUUCUUUGAGGAGUUUGUUGGAUGUGAGUUGGAAGAAAAUUGAAAUUUAAGGUAAUUGGUAAAUUUGAGAGGUAACUAAAUUUAGUAUUCAAGUAUACAUUUUUUUGUAAUGAAUUUUAAUUCUUUAUUUUAUAAUUCAAUGUUUAUUAGAAUUGAAGUUUGCUGCUUAUUAUAUAAAUUUAGUAUUUUUGUAAAUACUUUUAAUUUUUAUUAUUUUUAGACAAGUAUUCACAAGUUAAAUCUUUUAAUAAAAAAAAUAAAGUUAAUUGUUUCAAUUGAAAUUUGGGUAAAUGUUUCUAGAGUAUGUUUUUCUUCAUUUUUUGUCUUAUUGGAUCUUAAUUUUAGAAUAAUUAGAACUCUCUAAAAAAUAAAAUCUAUAUAUAUAUUUUUUUUAAUAUAAAUUACCAUUCUAGAGCUAAAUGAAUUUCCUUAUUUUAUAAUUCAAUGUCCAAUAAUAUGCAUAGGAAUUGGACAAUAUAGUUUUUUGUUUUAUAAUCCAAUAUCUAUAAUAAUUGGAAACUACAGUUCUUUAUUUUAUAAUCCAAUGUCUAUGGAAUUAGAGAUUCUUAUUUAUGCUAUAAAUUUAGUAUUUUUACACAUUCUUUUAAUUUGUCUUAUUUUGUUUCUUUUAAAUUUUAUCUUUAACCAAUAUUCACAACUUAAAUCUUAUAAUAGGAAGAGUAAAGUUCCUUAUUUUAAUUGAAAUUGAGGUAAGUGUUUUUCAAGAUUUUUUUUUUAUUUUUCAUUUUUAGUUUAGUUGGAUCUUCACUUUGGGAUAACUAGAAUUUUCUCAUAAUUUUUGUUUGUUUUUUUUUUAUAUAAAUACCAACCACUAUUCUAAAAUGAAUUAAAAAUAACCACAUUUAAAAAUUUGAGAAUGAAAUAUCAAGUAUAUUUGAGAGAUCAAAAACAAUUUUUAUUCUUACUAAGAUAUUUAUCUUUUUAUUUGCUCAUGGUUCUUGUUAUUAUGACUUUGUAUUACAUUCUAGAAACAUAUAGUUUUUCCUUGUGUAAAUAAAUUGAUAAAAUUAAAGGAAAUUGACAAGGAAAGCAUAAAAAUAAAAAGUAUGUUUGAAUAAAUAAUUGAAUUCUUUUUUUUAAUAUUCAUCUACUUUUCAUAAAAUUAGGACAAGUAAAAGUUACAUUUUGUUGUCCCUAAAUUGCAAUGAAUUUAAAUUAACAAUAGAUAACGGGUUUAAAUAAAAUUUGGUACAUAUCAUUGCUAAGGUGACAUUUAUUUUGCUUAACUUAGAAAAAUUGAUUUUAAAAAGAAUUUUACCAUCUAAGAUUUUUGGAAUGGAAAAAUGUAACAUUAUUUAUAUUUCAUCUUAGACCUUUUUUCUUUCCAUUUAUAUUUCAACCCAAUCAUUUUUUUUCCUUUUUUUUUUAUGUCUAGUUUGAUCAUUUGACUUUGAAUCUCUUCUUAGUUUCAUACAAGGAUUUUAAAAGAAUAAAUUAACAUAUUUAAUUUUUUUUAUUGGAUUUGUUUUCAUAUUACCUCACCUGCAUAUAUAUAUAUAUAUAUAUAUAUGUAUGUAUGUAUGGAAGAGUAAGAUGACUUUUUCAAAGAAUCAUUUUUAUAAAAAUGACUAUUUAGAAGAGUUAAGGAGCAAGUCUUUGAGGGGAAAUAAAAUCAAUAGCAAAAGAAUAGGAUGACGUUUUGAAAGAAUCAUUUUUAUAAAGAUGACUAUUUAAAAGAGUUAUGGUCUCUUUCAUAAUUAGAUAUUUAAUUUGAGAACGAGUGGGAAAAUAAAGUUAAUAGUAAUUUGCUUUUUAAUAUUUACAUAUAAGGGGAAGGAUAGGAUGAAUUUUCAUCAAAGAAUCAUCUUCAUGAAAUAGAUAUUUAAAUUGCAGUCAUUACUUAUCAUAUUAAUUAAAGAUAAUGAAAAUUUUUAAAAAAAAGUCAUCGAAACAACCGUCAUUAUCUCCUUUUUUGUAGUGACUUUGGAUAUAGUAUUAGAUACAUGAUUAACAAAUCAAAGGAUUGAGUGCAAUUAAUUACAAUAGAUUUUUUUGUAGGUAUUAGAAUGUUGAUAGAGGCUGGACAAAAAGGAGGUAACUAGGAUUAAGGCCUAAUGGAGUAUUCCACAAUGAAGGCCAAGAACAGGGAAGAAAUGAGUCAACUGCAAAGCAUCCUCCUACCAGGGUCUAACUUUGUGAUUUUCCACUGUAUCAUAUCAGGGUGAUCUGAACAAAUAACCUUGUUCUUAACAAUUAGUCAUCCAUGGCUUGGUAGUCUUUUCCCUAAAACCUCUUCAUAUUAGCUCGUAACCGAUUCAAAAUUCACGAAAUUCAUAUAAUCGUUCAAUGAAUUCCCCGAAUCAAGUUCAAGGUAGUCUUUGGUUUUUCUGAAAAUAUGACUAAUCUACUUCAGUACAAACUGUAGAAGUUACAGAAGAAACAAGCCAUGCAUAAAGCACACACACCCUUCUUCCAAAUUAACAAGCCAUGCAAAAAUCAAAUUCCCAUACAUCAAUAUUAUUUUACAUGUCUUUUUAACAGACUGAAUUCAUUAAGACAGAAGAGUACAUAACUCAGAGGUGAAUCCUACACAGCCACUUCUACAGAACCCCAAAGAUGUAAAAGCUCAGGAACAGACACCCAAGCACAAAUGCAGAGGUUGAAAGCCCUGAGGAACUGGGUAGCACCAAAUAAAUGCCAGAAGUAAAUGCUAUCACCAUUCCUAGGAUGGAAACGUAUGUGAGUAUGGCUGAAAAUUUUAUGAAACCUAGAAGCAGAUGAUAGUUUCGUUCCAGUGAAGCAAAAAAGUGGAGAAACACUACUGCAGUUGAGCAAUAGAAAGCUAUACCAUCUGACAACAAGAAGGUCUUGAAGGCUAUCUUUGUUGAGAGAACUGCUUUACCUUUGUCGGGGUCAUCAUCAUUGUACCCACCAGGUAGAGUAAAGCCUGCUGCAAAAGUGACAGUUGCUAUGAGCGUCGCGACCAAUAAAUGGGUGUUGGAAAUGUCCUUGAGAUGAUGAGAUCGAAGUUCCUUUUCUUUCAUGAUUUCUCUGUUCCUAUCAAGAAGUAUACUCAUAUUGCUAGCAGUACGAGACGCGCCAUCACUGCUCUUUUGAUGCCCAUUGUUAUCAGUCCGCAUAUUUGCAUUUUCCUGGUAUCCUUCAUUGUCACCAUUUUGCAUAUAUGCAUUGUCUCUAAUGACCAACCGGUGUAAACUUUGUCGACCACCAGCAUGCUCCAACUUCCUCAUGAUCCAAUACUGGCAGUCAUUUGAAAGGAAUUAGAAUGAACUUGUAAAGCAAAGCUAUGGGAAAAAUUUUGAAUCAAACAUUGAACAAAAUCUAUUGGCUAGCUCUUAAAGAGGACACCAAACACAUUGAAUAAUAUUAGCCAUCCAUUUCAGAUACUUUUUUCUUUUUCUUUUUUCUCUCUUUUUUAAGUAAUCGCUUAACAGAUUGAAUGGCUAUAAUCAUUCAACAUGAUCUUUCUGCAUCAAAUAUCUUCAGAGAGAUAUGAGAAGCCUCAUCAUGUCUAAUUAAAAUUUGUCUCAAACUUUACAGUAACGUACCUUGAUUUUUUCUCCAAUAUCCAUAUUUGACUGGACAAUGUCAAUAGUCUUCAAAUACUCAUUGUUCAUUGCCCUUUUGUCCACUCUAUCGUCUGCAGCCAACAUAAUCACAACCCCGUAAUGUCCAUAAAUGGCAGCUAGAUGAAGGGGUGUGUUACCUUCCUUAUCUGGCUCAUUUAUGAUACUUUCCAAGUUUGGCUUCUUCAGGAUAUACUUAACGACUCUAGCGUUUCCAUAUUGAGCUGCAACAUGAAGAAUUGUGCGGCCUUUGUUGUCAAUCAAAUCAUAAACAUCUGGAAGACAUGUGAUAAUCUGUUCCAUUACAUUAGUGUGGCCCUCUUUGGCUGCAAUGUGGAGAGCACAACUGUGUUCUACAUCCAAUAAGCCAGCAACAGAUUUGUCAUACUUCAGUAACUUCUCAGUUGCUUUGAGGUGACCCAAGUGGGCAGCAUAGUGAAGAGGGGUCCACCCAAAUUCAUCUGCCUUUUUUAUCACAUCCUUCUUCAUUUCAAAUAGUACUUCCAUAAUAUCUAUACAUUGGGAGAAGAAGGUUAGAAAUCUUAAAAAGAAGUGGAAGAAUCUACUUAAAUAGCAUUUCAUACCUCACCAAAAAUAUGUCAAGAGAAAUGGAAAAGGCGACCAAAACACCCUUUCCCCCAUAUUUUAAGCAUAAAAAUGUCCUCAAUAAUGAUCCCCUUCAUUUCCAAAAAAAAAGGAAAAUCCUCGUACAUCUUGAUAAAUAAACACAUGGCUUAAUCAGUUGUAUGGUUUGAAGGUCCGUUCUUUUUUCUUAUAUAGGAAUGGGUGUUCAAAUAGAGUGAGAAUGGAGAGAACUCUCCACUCAUAAGCUUUUUGAAGUAAAAAGGAAAAAGGAAAAAAUCCAACUUCUUAGUAAACAAGAAUGAAAAGGGCACAGGAUCUUCUUACUUUAAAAAGGGGACAAAAGGAGUCUUAUUACCAAUUUCAUCAUUCAAUUGUUUUCCUUUGAAGUGUCCUCGUACCCUAAAGAAAAAGUUUGUAACCACACGGCGAUGUUUUUCUAGAGAUAAUUCUGGAACUUCUUGGCCUGCAGCAUGAUAUAACAAACUAAAAUCAGUGAUAUCCCCAUAAAAAUAACAAAGAAGGCCAAAAAAACAAAGGCUUGCCUUUUAGUUUGUUCAUCUUGCAUAAGGGAUUGAAAAAAGGAAAAGGAAAGAAAGAAAAUUAAUGCAAAUUAAGUCUUUUCCCAAAAGUGGUCCAUAUUCAGAAGAAAUAUUUGUUGAAAUAAUUUUCAAAACUUCAUACCAAACAAGGAAAUAAUGAAAGCUGAUAUUUUUCAUCUACUUGAUUUCUUUUCUUCAGUUUCUUCCUCAUUUUUCUCUCCAGGCAUGGUGGUAAGACUUGGGUCUUAGAAAGUAUACACCCAAAUGCCUGAAGACUUGGGUUUUUUUUUCUUUUUUUUCUUUUUUUGUCACCAGAAUUAUCACUGGACGCCCUUUGCAUGCCCAAAUUAAACUUGAAAAAGUAAAACAAAUUAACAUUAGAAAUGAAGAUUUCAGAUAUACUCCUACUAACCAACAUUGGAUUGUGUUCCUGGAAACCAUUCUCCUCGUAGAUGCAGUCCAAGUCCAUUUACAGACAGCUCGGGGGGUAUGGGUUUACCCAGCUCAGGACCUACAAGUUAGGAAGAAUCGAAGAAAUCUUUUAAGUAUACAAAAGCAAGCAUGAACAUAAACUUUUAUGCAUAGAAAGAUUUUGACCUUUAUGGGUACGAAUCACAGCUGCAUGUAAAGCGGUCAUCCCUUUCGUGCCCUCACAGGAACAUUCAGAACUGUUUCCUUUCAACAGUUCGUCAGCAAUCUUGAAAAACCCCCUUUCCACAGCCAAAUACAAGGGGGACUCUUUAUGAUUAUUAACCAAAUCCAACAACUUAGGAUUUUCUUGAACCAACCGGUUCACCACCUCAAGAUGACCAUUCCUCACAGCCACAUGCAGUGCCGUAUCAGCCCUCCCAUUCUUCAUUUCCAGUGCUUGCUUGGCAUUUUUACUUUCAAGAAAGCACUUAACCAUGUCACUACAGCCAGUUCUCGAGGCGAUAUGCAGCGGAGUGUCGCCUUUGAAGUCAGCUCUAGUCAGAAGCUCUGGAAACUUCUCAACAAGAGCUUCAGCAAAGCCUAUGCACUUGAAAUUACCAGCAAUGUGAAGAGCAUUGCGUUUCUGGGAAUGUGCUUGGCAGGGAAUACUCUGGAGGCUAUGUGGCUUNNNNNNNNNNNNNNNNNNNNNNNNNNNNNNNNNNNNNNNNNNNNNNNNNNNNNNNNNNNNNNNNNNNNNNNNNNNNNNNNNNNNNNNNNNNNNNNNNNNNUGAAUUUUGUGGCACCUCCCGUGGAAACUUGCCACCAAAGCUCCCAAUUCAGAAAUGUUGUUUUUAAAAUAAUAACAGAAUUGAGUAAUUUUCUUUCUUUCUUAUCUCCAACGUUUUUGCUAAAUACUUUCACUUUUGGAGCUUGGUUUUAUAUCUGAUUUCGUAAGUCCUAAGAUAUCUACUACCAUGUACCUUGAAAGGUUGGUGUUGAAUCUAUUGAUUAAUUGUAUAUGUUAGGGCAAUGAGUCUUCAUCAUAAGUUAGCAAUUUUGUUCCUUUUAAUUUUUGGCUUAGGAAUCUUUUUAAAUAGUGACUUACUUUCUAUUAAAAGAUUCAAGGUUAUUGUUCGAUCAACUGGAAAGUCAUAUGUAAAUCUAAAAAGGUUUAGUUUAUGGCAAAUUAGGUGUUUAAAAGGGUUAAGUGGAUUGGUAUAUUUUUUAUUGAAUUAAAAAUGUUUUAUUUAAUAUUUUGAAAAUGCAAGGGAUGCUCGAGUGGUGGAAAUAGUGCUCAAGCGUUGGGACCACUCAAACACUUAUCAACUCAAACACUUAUCCAACACUUAAGUGAUCAAGGCACUCAAGUGGUAGGUAAGUGCGCUCGAGUGCUCAUCCCAAAUCUGCUAAAAUAUGGUAGAAUAUUUUUGGAUAAUUCAUGCAAAUUGAGUUUGGAAACUUCACUAUACCAAUCCCCUAAGGCUUGGAGGCCUAUAUAAACCCAUCUAUAACCCUUUUAGUAUGAAGUGUAGUAAAACCAAAUGGAAGAAUGAAUAAUCAAAUGGAAGAAUAAGACAAUUAAGGAGAAAGAUUACAUGAAGAUAGGGCCUUAUGCUUCAACAAUAAGUAGCCUUAUGUAUGUGAUGUUGUGUCCUAGAUUAGAUAUUUGUUUUACGUAAGAAUGAUGAGUAGAUAAUAAUCCAAUCCAAGUAUAGAGCAUUGGACAACGGUCAAGUAUUAAAACCAUAAACAAAAAGCUAAAAUCAUGUUCAUUGAUUCUAAUUUUCAUAUGAAAAUUUUAAAAAUAUAACAAUAAAAUAAUAUCACAGGAUAUUUUUAUUUAAUUUAUACAUGAUUAGAUUUAUAAAACAAAUAAAUAUUUUUUUAGUAUGAAUAUAUAAAAUCUUAUAUCCUAAACCUCUAAAAAAUUUUAUUAUAUAUUUAUUUUUAUAUUAAAUUUGUUCUCAUUAAUUAUUUAUUAUAUAUUAUUAUUUUUUAUUUAAAAUAUCCAUAAAUAAUUGAAAUCAAUAACUAUAAAAAGAUGAAAUGGUAACAAAUUUUGAAAUUAAAAAGAUUUCAUGAAGCCUAUACAUUAAAAAAAAAAAAAACAUUUCACAGUGAAAAAUAAAUAAAAUUCAUAUGGUACGGUUGAUUGUCACACGAUAAAGUUUUUAAAAAAGAAAAAUUGUUAUAAAAUUGUUAUAGUUCAUGGUAGGUAGGAGGAGAAAAGGGUAAUUUUAGAAUUUUGAUGAAUAUAACUAUUUAAGUGUAUAUUUAUAGGAUUAGCUUUUGUAAGCGAGAAGUCAAGUCAAACCUCUCAAAAAAAAUCUUUUUUUUUUAAGGUGCACAUGAUUAUACGAUUCUUCCUAUCUCAAGGCUGGGGCCCAUGCUGAAAUGAUAUGUCAACAACCCUCCUUAAAGUAGAGUUGUAAAAGCUACUUCCCUUCUAUGUCUCCGGCCGAUAUUUCAGUCUAGUGUGGCGGCUUUUAACGCUUCAUCUACCUAUCUUCUUUUACGUUGAGCGUGGAAUCCACCGUUAUUUGAACUUAGGAGAUACCCACACUGACUUUUCAAGUUUUGUCCAGUUGAGGAAACUUUGAAAAUUAUUUAGCAGAAGACUGAUAAUGCAACCUUCUUCAUAAGAUGGGUGAUUUUUGAACACUACUGUACUCUAACCAAAUACCAUUUGUGCUUAUAUGUGAUACAAUGAAUGGAAUAUCUUUUCCCCUUUAUUACGCAAAUACUUGUUUAAUAAGUUCUUAUUCUCCUGCGAGUAACUUGCGAUUGAUUGUUUGAAUAGGUAGGGAAUUUUUUUAAAUUAGUCCCCCAUCCAUGCCCAUUAGAGAUUCUGAAAUUCAUUUGUAACAUUUAUGAUUUUUUGGAAAAUAAAAGACCUACUCCAAUAAUACCAAUAUGAAUGGUACCACCAAACUUUCGUACGUAUCUAUAAAGAAGGAGAAGGUGCCCAAACAAUGUAUCCAGAAAAAAACAUUCAAGAAAAUAAUCCCAACUACUAGAUUUCAACAAGUAGGAUUUUGAGCAUAAAAGAAAUAAAAUAAAAUAAAAAUAAUGACGGCUUCGAAUGACAUCACUGACCCAACGCAGGCAGAGGAGUUAGGAGUUGCGUGGAAAUUGUGAAAGGCGUAGAUCACGCCACAUGGAAGCAGUGGAGACAUGGCCAGUAGGAUAAUUAAUAUCCAUGUGGAUAACAGAGUGGAUCAAAACAAUGCCAUUCCCAUCAUGAAUGAACACUCAUUUACUUCUGCGUUUACUUGACUUUUGAGAGAUUUGCAAAACAUGUAGAGAGAGAUAUCACUGGAAGAGUUCUCUUCUCAUUAAUCAUGUUAUAAAACUGAUGAGUUAAGGCUAGUCUAUAAUUUCCAUCAGUGGUAAUAAAAUAAGUAUGCAGCUGUUUAGAAAGAAAGAUCAGCAUGGGUGGUUGCAACGCGCAACAAAAAGUCCCAUCAGACUUCUCAUCCCUGGGAAUCUUACACUCGCUAGGUAGACUAAUCAAACCAGGAUCCAACCUGGUACAAACUACUGUUUCAACCACUCAAUAUUUAAGGAAUCACUUCCUAGUCACUAAGAACAUAAACUAAUCAAACCCAACCUGGCACAGGCUACCUUAUCGACUAGUCAGUACUCAAGGGAUCAUUUCCUAGUCACCAAGAUAGUUAAUUUAGAAAAUCUUACACUGAAAAAUGACCUAUUCAUCUGCAUGAGCAUAUGCUUUUCACAUCCCACUGAAUAUAAUCUUAACAUCUGUUUCAUUAGUAUGAUUUUCUCUUAAGCUAUUGACUUCAAUAUUUACUAGGAAACGAUAUCAAAGGGAAAAAGAUUACCAAUUCAGAAAAAUGUAAAGCAAGGUACAAAAUACUAGAUGGAGAUAUCUCAAAGAAAGAAAUUCUUUUCCUAUAGCUAAACUAAUGCACACGAUCAAAUCUAACAGUGACAUUUGUUCUUGGAGCCAGACAGAAAGCCAAGUACAGAUACAGAGUGUUUUCAAGAUGGGAUUAUUUGGUGUUUUUAACUAUUUAAGUUGAAUGAUGAAAACACAUGCACUUCAACAAUGACAAACCAAAUUGGUUAGUAUCCUGCUUAAUAACCGUAGUUUGCUCCAUUCACCGGGCCAUAGCCUCCAGUGUGGCUUGCAUGUGCUGGGUUGGAUGCAGGAGAUGCAUACAUCGAACCAUGAGCUGCAUAAGAAUUAUAGCCUGGGUCAGUAGAUCCACCAGUUUGGGCCUGUGCUGGUGCAGCAGCUUCAGCCAUAAAAUUCUGCAACACAAACAAUCAUUACAAGCAGACAAGUCCAAUUUGAUUACAUAAUGAAGCAUUGACAAAGAAUAAACAAAAUUUUAAUGGAAAAAUCAACUUUUUUGGUUGAGUAAGAUCCCAAUAAAACAAUAAUUAAACAAUUCUAUAUUAUCAGUAAAAAUCAAUGAUGAAGCUAAAUGGAAAAGAAUGAAGUCCAACUGUCUGAAUUGCUGACCACACUUAACAUUUCAAUAAUAUAUAUCCUAUAAAAAAAAUUCUUUAAUUCUUUAAUUCUAGUAAUAAAGUCGGUCCCACCAUACCUACCCCCACACGCACCCAAACACCACAUACAAGGAGACAUCAGAAACAAUGAUCUAAUGCUAAGCAAUGUCAUUAUGCAAAUGGAAACUGCAAUAUUAGCAAAGACAAACCAACAACUUGGUAUCAAAAACAGGGAGGAAGAGUGCCUGUAUCAGUUGAUGAGAUGCUUGGACUUGGGAAGCAGUUGCAUUGAUUCACGUGGCUACAAAAGACUCUUUAGGAGAAAGUUGAGGAGUUCACAUGUGUAUAGGAAGAUUGAUUCACAAGGCCCUUGAAAAUUUUCUAUUUAAAGCUCUUGUAAGGAAAAUGGGAGACAUAUCUUCCUUCUCCAUCAUUCCUUCUUUUCUCAUUUCUUUUUUCUUGAUAUAAAGCUAAGGAUUCUCUCAUUUCUUUCUUCUUCAUUGUAAGUUACUUGAUUGAAGCCAAAAUAUGUGCUCCAAUGGCACAUAUAUGAUGUUAUAAUUUAUGUAAUAUAAAAAGUUCAAAUCAUCCAACUUAACUUAAUUUCAUGCUAUGGCCAUAGUUAUGGAUCUAACUUUUAUUUUGAGCCUAAUUCUAAGUUUAAGGGAUGACAUAAAUGGAUAAGUGCAAAAGUCAUUAUCAACCAAGAAAGCAGAAGGGGUUAAACUAUAACUAAGAAACUCAAGACUUAUGAACCAUGAAAGUCCAAGAAAGGGUGUAAGAAGCAAGCCAUAGGCAUGAAAUACCAAUAGUAGAUGUUAUGGAUUGAGAUAGAGGGCAAGAAACCAUAAUGGAGGAGGUUUGAAGCAAAUGUAAUCAAGUUCACAUGAAAAUUUGGAACUCAAAAUUUGGCAAUAACAUUUACUUUGACUUUGAGAUAAAGUUUAGAAUGCUUUUUGAGGUCAAUUUUGGGAAAACUAGAUAUUGUUUCGAAGCUUGAGAAGUCAAAAGUCCAACACUUCAAACGAUGCACAAAUCGGAGUUAAAAUGAGGAAGUUAUGUGCAUUUGAAGCAAACUAGGGAAAGAAAAAUGUUGAGUUUGAAAUUGACAUCCUGAAUUCGAAAUGGUUUUUGGCUAGUUAAAACUCAAAAGGAAUGCAAGGAUACUUGUCAUAGAGGCUAAGUUUUAUCCUCCUACCUAUUUCAAAUAGGAGACAAAUUUCAAACCCAAAAACAUGCAUGGUGGGCCAUUUAAAACUCAAAGGAAUGCAAGGAUACUUGUGGCAGAAGCUAAGUUUGAAUCCCCCUACAUAUUUUGAAAAAGAGACACACAUUCCCAACCCAAAAAUAUAGUGAACAUGUAUGGGCAGUGUGUGAGUUCUAAAUUCACUGUGAAUUUGUGGAUGUCACCAUUUUUUGUAAUAAACCUUUCGGAUAUCUAUCUAGCCUUCACAAUUAUUAAAAAGUAUUUAUUCCAAUAAUUAUGAUUGUAACCCUACAAAUAAGGUUAAGAAUAUUAGGGGAAAUUUAUAACUUCAGAGUUCACUUUCUUAUCUAAUUUUCCUCUCCUCUUUAUUGUCUUCAUUUACAACAUCAAAAAAAUUAUUAUUGUUUCAUCUACAAAUUGUCUAAAACUCAUUAAAUUCAGAGCAUAGAAGUAUUGAACAUUCUCAUAUACAUUUGUUUGAGGCUGUGAUAACAUACAAUUUUACAUUAUAUAUUAAUGGAUAUAUUCCUACCGUCAUAUCUUGCCGUGGAUCACACUAUCAAACCUAGAAGUAUUCGAAGGAAUUACCAAAAACCUUCUAUUAAGUAAAUACGCAGAGAUUUUAGAGUUAAAUACAGGCAGUUCCUUACUAAGAGAGUAUUCCAUCUAUACAUGAACUAAUGUAUAUAUUGUCUAUAAAUUCAUUGAGAAAUUAAGAAUAUACAAUUAAUAUCACAUUCUAUUCUAUGGUUCUACAGAAUCCCAAAGAUGUAAAAACUCAAGAAUAAACACCCAAGCACAAUUGAAGUUGUUGGAGUCGGGGAGGAAUCAGGUAGCAUCACAUAAAUGCCUGAAGUAAAUGCUAUCACCAUUCCCAGUAGAGAGAUGUAAGUGAGUAGGGCGGAAAAUUUUGUGAAACGUGGAAGCAAAUGAUAGUUUUGUUCCAGUGAAGCAAAAAAGUGGAGAAACACAGCUGCAGUUGAGCAAUAGAAAGCCAUAGCAUCUGUUAUCACAAAGACUUUGAAAGCUGCCUUUGUUGAUAAAACUGACUUACCCUUGUUUGGGUUUUCUUCAUUGUACCCACCAGGUAGAGAGAAACCAGCUGCAAAAGUUACUGUUGCUAUGAGGGUUGCCACCAGUAGAUGGGAGUUUGAUACAUCCUUCAAAUACUUAGAUGUGAUCUGUUUCUUCUUUACAACUUCAUUAUUCCUGUCACGAAGCGAUUCACUUGCAUGAAGUGAUGUUCUCUCUCUGUCCUCUCUAAGCUCUAACUCAUUUAUGCCUUCAUUGUCAUUGAUUGUUCUGCCUGUGUUCUCGCUAACGAUCAGCCGCUCGAGACUUUGUUGAGCACCGCCAUUCUCCAACUUCCUCAUGAUCAAAGACUGGAAAGUUUUUUUAAAGAACUUAGAAUAAAAUGUUGUUUUUAGCUACCAAGGCACAUAUAUGACCAGAAAAUUCAAUUAAGGCAACAUAUUUCUUCUCUUUUUUUUUUUUUUCUUUUUUUUCAAGUUUCACAUGUGUAAAGAGAAAUAAAGCAGUGGAACCAAUGCAUAAUCUAAAAUCAUCAGCUUUCUAUGCACAUACCUUUUUCAUUUCUCCCAGAUCCAUAUUUGAUUGGACAAUGUCGAUAGCCUUCCAAUAUUUCUUGUUUGAUGCCUUCUUAUCCACUCUACGAUCUCCAGCCAAAAUCCGGACGCUGUUGUACUGUCCGUGCAUAGCAGCUAGAUGCAAAGCCGUGUUGCCUUGAUUAUCUGACUCAUUUAUUAGGCUUUCCCAUCUUGGUUCUUUUAGAGUAUACUUCAUCACUAUAGACUUCCCACAUUGGGCUGCAACGUGAAGAAUGGUCCGACCUUUAUUGUCAACCAAAUUAUUAGAACAUGGACAGCGUUUGAUGAUCUCUGCCAUCAUAUCAGGGUAGCCUUUUUUAGCUGCUAUGUGAAGAGCAGAACUAUCUUCUUUAUCCCACAAGUAAGCAACUGAUUUAUCACAUUCCAGCAAUUUCCUAGUCGCUUCAAGAUGUCCCAAUUGUGCAGCAUAAUGAAGGGGAGUCCACGUAAAUAUGUCUGUUUCUGUGACCAUAUCUUUCUUUUUGUCCAGUAGUAUUGCAAUAAUGUCAUCUAGCAAUUUAGACCAAGAAGAAGAAAUACAAUUAAAACAGACUUUUUCAUCCAGAGUACUUUUAGAAAAUAUAUUACGUUCUUGUUAUUUUAAUAUCAGAUAACGGCUCGGGAUUACUUCUCCAUGAGAAAGAUCAGGCAUUAUGCAAUGAAUUUUCCCAUCAAUUGUAAAGAGGGUAGCUACUAGCCAGUGUGGCAUAUAUUGUAAAAGCAAUUGUGUGAUUUUCUUUCCCUGGUCUUAUUACUUUUCUAGUUCAGUUAAGCUCUCCACCUAUCAAUUAGAGAAGGAGAAGUAAAGGUUUGGGCUUGGAUAAGUAUUCUUCAAAAACAAUUCUAAAAAAUAGUUUAUAAGAACUAUUGAAAACCAUUUUCUGAUGAUAUUUUAUAAAACAAAAGUUCUAAUGGCUGUAUUAUUAUGCUUGGUUGGAACUAAUGAAUACAAUUCUGGUGACUAUCUGUCAUAAGUAUAGGGAGGCCAUGCACUCCAUGUAGAUUUGUUCCGCGUCUGUCAGGAAUCAGGAAUUAGUUAAUGGGGCUCCGAAUGUUCUACUAGCCUUGCCAAAAAAUACUUCAUGAGGCUAAACUCAUCCACACUAAAGUGGUGUUUUUUUUUUUACUUAAUUCUAAAUAGAACUUUAAUGCUUAAUAGCGUUAAGUAUUAAGUUAUUUAUUUUUAUAAUACUUUAUUUCUAUUAAGCAUUAAAAAGUAAAAAAAAAAAAUCAACAUAUCACUUUUUCUAUUCAAUAAAAAGUUUAUAAUAAAUCAUGAAAAAAUAAAAAAACAAAUGAUCUAAAGUCUGAAAGCAAAUUGCUUUUAGCAAAAAACUAAAAAAACACUCUCUAAGUCUAUAGAUUUAUGUAUUCUUGGCUUUGUAUAUCUUAGACAUGUUGGAUAAUGGUGUAACAAAGAUUUCUCCAUUUUUUUCUUAUGCAUUUUCUUCUACAAUAUUUUUCAAGUAUCCCGUUGUAGGGAUAUUUACACAUAGUGCAAUUUUGCUUUAUUUUUGUUGGCAACUUCUUCUCUCUGUUGUAUUAUUCCAAUAUUUACACAUAGUGCAAUUUUGCUUUAUUUUUGUUGGCAACUUCUUCUCUCUGUUGUAUUAUUCCAAGUACCUUAUGUUACGUCUGACUCUAAAAAAUUAUUAAAUGAAGGAAAAAUAUCAAGAAACUUAUUAUUAUUAUUAUUAUUAUUAUUAUUAUUAUUAUUAUUAUUAUUAUUAUGUUUAGUUUAUCAAAAAUUAUUAAAGGAAGGAAAAAAUUGUUAAAAAAAAUAAUUUUUAUUAUAAAAAAAUUAGAAAAAUAAGUACAAUUAAAAUAGGUUAAAAAAAUUAUAUAUUUCCAAAUUAUUUUACAUUUGUGUAAAAAGGAAGAAAAAAAAAAUGAGAAAAAUGAAUUUGAAAAAAUAUUAUUAAUAAUUUUUUAACUUUCAAUUAAUUUUUCAUCUUCCUUUAUUUUUGUUUAUGUUUUCCUUGUCUAGUAUAUUCCUUCAAAAUUUCUAAGAAUCAAACAUGUGGGUUGCGGACUGGUUCGCUGGCCUGCUGGCCUGCUUGCCCGGUCCAAGCAUGAAGUUGGGUUGACCUCUAAUGGUCCUUUGGUGGACCAACCCACCAACCUAACCAAACGACGGUUUCUACCUUGGAAACCUUGGAUCAAGUGUCUGGGAUUUGAAUAAUAUCUUCUCCUGGGUUAUUAAAUUUUUAUUAGUUUUCAAUGGUUUUCUAUUUGUAAUGAUUAAAUUUUUAUUAUAAAAAUGGCUCAUAAAAACGUUGAUUAUCCUAUAACAAUGUUCCAGAAGCAAGAGAUUAUUUACCAUAGCUUUAAACCGCUAAUUUUGAAUAUCGAAAUAAGUAGAAAUAGAAAUAAAUACUAUUAUUAUGUUUAACUUUAUGAAAAUUGUUGUAAAUAAAGUGGUGAAUGACCACAUUGAUGGUCAUUUAUGAACUCCAUUUACUCAUCUUUAAGAUGAGUCAUGGGAGUUCAUAUUAUGAAGCCUAUAAAAGGCUUUUUACACCCCAUGUAAGCAGCAUCCCAAAAAAAAGAAAGAAAUUCUCUUCCUCUCAUUCUCUCUCUCUCUUUCUUUCAUUCUCUCAAUUUUCUCAACUCUCUUCUCUGAUUCCUUCUUCCCAUUAUAUAUAUUGUUAAAGUAAGAUAUAUUUUAUCUCUACUACUUUAUUUGUGUUGCAUUUAUCCUUGUUUUACAACAAAAAUUAUAUUUUAGAAUUAUUUUUAUAAAAAUUAUGGUGAAUAUUUGAAGGCACCCAAAGCAUACUAACUUGUACUUAAUAAAGACAAGACCAUAUUGAAUGUUUUGAUAUUGGUUUAUGAAACUACUUAGAGGAGAGUGAAUAGGCGAUCCUCUGCUGACAACCCUCAAAUUGAAGUUUUAAAUAUUUUUAUUAAUUCUUAAUUUAAUCAAUAUAUGUAAUUAAUAAAUAAAGCAAAGAAUAAUCUUACACUUGACAUGUGAUGUACAUGGAAAAUCAUCUAUAGAAUCUAUAAAAAAAACUUGACGAUGAAAAAUUCAUGGGUCAAUUGAUCGUAGAGCAAAUUCACUAAUUUUGAUAGAAUAAAUACAUAAUCUUACCUAGAUGAAAUACUACCUUCCUUCAAGCAUCUUACACAGGUCAGUACUUACACUUGCUUUCAUGUUCAUGAUGCAAAACCCAUAUAUUCCUUAGUGAAUACCUUAAAAGUUUAAGAGAUGUGAUCAACCACCAUGAGCAACUUCAAACAAGAUAUGAGCUUUUGGAGUAUCAGGAAUAUGCAAAAGAUAAUAACAAUAAAUUGUAGGGUAUGAUGAUGUAUGAAAGUACAAAGUUGAGCAAUGUAUGAUGGCAAGAAACUAACUAAAAAAGAUUUGAAAAGCUGACAAAUAUAGGAUAUUUAUGCAUAACAUCAAGACCGCUUAAGCCCAUUUUGUGGGCACUCGAGCGCUCCUUGUUAAUUUUAGCUUUUCUAAUUUAGCUUCAAGCCCAUUUUGAAUCUAAGUCCACUUUACACCUUAUGCAUGUCAUUAUAUUGUAACAAGAUAACCCUACUUACCUGAACAAUCAUGUGAAUAAAUAAAAAAUGAUCACAUAUCUUCAAGGCCAAUGCAUACGUAGAGUUGAGUAAAAAAAAUAUUUGGAAUAAAAUUGUUAACUUAAACUAAUUAGUCUAGAUCACUAACACAAAUAAUAUCAAAUUUAGUUAAAAUACAAAUGCACCUUCCCAUGAGCAACAUUAUUAUGUUUUACCUUCUUCAUCUUUUACAAGUUUUUAGUUAUAGAAAUAAUGAGAUUAAAAAAUUGAAGGGUAAAUUGCUCCGAUGACUAACUUGAGUGCCUUGGGGCAAUUUUUCUUUGCUUUACAUAUCUCAUAUACCUUAUUAUUGGGAGAUUAUUAAAGAUCGAAUCACAAUAGGACCAAUCCUAAAAUAAAUUCCCCAAAAUCAUUGAUAUUUGAGGCUAUGUAAUAUUUUUGCUCCAACAAGUUUAAUAUUUUGAAUAAGUUUAUCAUACAUGCAUGGAUGUACUUCAUUCUACUACUUGACUAGGGUAGCAAUCAAAAUAGAAGCAAACCUAAAAUCAAUGCUCCAAUAACGUUAAUGUUUGGGGCUUCAUAAUUUUUUUGCUCCAAUAAUUUUGAUAUUUUAGACAAAAUUAUUUUACAUGGAUCGACUUGCUUCUUUAUGUUUAAGUAAAGGGGGAGUUUUUCUUGCCUAAAUCUUGACACUUAGGGGGUGUUUGGUACGUUGGAAUAGGGAAUGGAAAUGAAUAUUUUGUUUCCUUUCCUAUUUCUUAGUGGAAUGGAAUGAAUUUGAUGAUUCCAUUUCUAGCAUUUGGAUGAACUUAGGAAUGCAAGAUUAGAAUGAUUAUUUGUUUCCAUUCCAAUGUUUGAUAAUAAUAGGAAUGGAAAUAAAAAUAUAUAAAUUUACAAUAAUAUCCUUUCAUAUAAUUUAAAAUAUUUUUUAUUUUUACUUUUAUUUAAAAAUAAAAUAAAAUUUGAGAGGUUUUUUGUUAUUAAAUAAUAAGACUAAAAAAUAUAUAUACUCGAUAAAUAAAAAAUUAACCAUAAAAAAUCGUAUAACCCUAAUGCACAAAUAUUCAAUUAUUAUUUUUAUUAAAAAUUUGAAUAAUUUGUCAUGCUUAAGUAGUUAAAUAUUUGUUUUUUUUUUCCUCAAAAUUUUAAAUAAUUUGUCAUGCAAAAAAAACUAUAGAAUUAUAUUUUACUAAGAAAAAAAAGGAGAAAAAAAAUAUAAGAACAUAUAAAUUGUCAAAGCUACCAAAUACUUAUUUCUUAUUUGCAAAAAAGGAAAUAAAAAAACACAAACUUCAUUCUAGUUCUCAAUAUAAGUACCAUAUCUACUAAAAUCUAUAACUAGUAUAUCCUCCAAAAUUAAGCCAUCAAAUCAAUAAAAAAGUUCCUAGGAAAGUGAUGAAACAAAAUCCAACCUAAAAUUUCUAUCAAUCCAACCUAAAGACAAUAAAUCAACAAGGAUGCAACAUGGAGAUUUAUGGGGUUUGAAGAAGUUGUUUCGCCCAUUCAACCUUGAGAUCUUCAUCUAAAUUGAACAAAAGUUUGACUUUCAUUGGGUCACUCAUAAUAAUUUGACUUAACUUCAAUAUNNNNNNNNNNNNNNNNNNNNNNNNNNNNNNNNNNNNNNNNNNNNNNNNNNNNNNNNNNNNNNNNNNNNNNNNNNNNNNNNNNNNNNNNNNNNNNNNNNNNNNNNNNNNNNNNNNNNNNNNNNNNNNNNNNNNNNNNNNNNNNNNNNNNNNNNNNNNNNNNNNNNNNNNNNNNNNNNNNNNNNNNNNNNNNNNNNNNNNNNNNNNNNNNNNNNNNNNNNNNNNNNNNNNNNNNNNNNNNNNNNNNNNNNNNNNNNNNNNNNNNNNNNNNNNNNNNNNNNNNNNNNNNNNNNNNNNNNNNNNNNNNNNNNNNNNNNNNNNNNNNNNNNNNNNNNNNNNNNNNNNNNNNNNNNNNNNNNNNNNNNNNNNNNNNNNNNNNNNNNNNNNNNNNNNNNNNNNNNNNNNNNNNNNNNNNNNNNNNNNNNNNNNNNNNNNNNNNNNNNNNNNNNNNNNNNNNNNNNNNNNNNNNNNNNNNNNNNNNNNNNNNNNNNNNNNNNNNNNNNNNNNNNNNNNNNNNNNNNNNNNNNNNNNNNNNNNNNNNNNNNNNNNNNNNNNNNNNNNNNNNNNNNNNNNNNNNNNNNNNNNNNNNNNNNCAUCCAACUCUUGUUCCAAAGGAUCCACAGGCAUCUCUCUUUUAAUGAGAUUAUGAAUAAGACAACAAGCAAGAAUGAUUUUGCAUUGUGUCUUUAUUGGAUAGAAACAAGGGCUCCUAAGUAUAGCCCAACGUAGUUUAAGCAAACCAAAACAUCUCUCGAUAACAUUUCUUGCUGCAGAAUGCUUCAUGUUGAAAAACUCUUCAUGGGUUGUUGGCAUGUGUCCAUCUCUCCAAUCAUUGAGAUGAUAUCUUUGCCCUCUAUAUGGGGCAAGAAACCCUUUUCCAUUUGUAUAGCCAGCAUCAACAAGAUAGUAAUAACCUAAAAUGAAUAUUCCAAAACAUAUUUUAAAAAAUAUAUCAUAUAUUAAAAAGAAAUCAAUUGUUUAUAAAAACCAUAUAUUUACCAUGUGGAACUGUCAGUCCAUUUCUCCUACUAACUGCAUCUCGAAGCACUCGAGAAUCAGAGGUUGAUCCCUCCCAACCUGGCAAUACAUAAAUAAAUUGCAUGUCUUGAGAACAAACUCCUAAGACAUUUGUUGCAAUUUCAUUCUUCCUUGUUCGAUAUCUAGGUUUGUCUCCCUCACGUACAUUCACUUUAAUGUAAGUUCCAUCUAAAGCUCCUAGACAAUUCUAUUUAAAUAAAAACAUUAGUAUUACUAUAAUAUGAAAUAAUUAAACCUAUAUAAACUUAAUUUUAUAAUUUAUAUACCUUAAACCAUUUCCAUCUCUCAUCUGUGGAGUUCUUAGAGACUGGUUCCGGUUUUUUGAGUAAUACUCCUUGUAGGCGAAUGACUGCAUUCAAUACUGCAUUGAAAUGUCUACUAAUAGUUUCUCCAGACCUUAAGAAUCGAAAUUUUAUAACUCGAUUCUUUACAUGAUGUGCAAGAAUAUGUAAGAAUAAUGCAACCAUUUCUUCUACAUCAAUAUAUUUUGAAUCCUUUAGUUUACCAAUAGUACGAAGCAUAGAACAUAACGUGGUGAAAGUAUGUCUAUCCAUCCUAAGUUGCUCCAUACAUGCUACAUCACUCCCAUGAAUCAAUCGAUUAAGAUUUUCAACUCGCAAAAAUUCUCUAUUUGCAGGUCUUUACAUCAAUGUUCGCCUCUGAUAAUGUUUCCUUGUAGUCGUACAAAGUGCAGUAAGCAUAUUAAGUAUGUUCACUAUAAUAUAUAGAAUCAGGAUAAGUUGUUCUUUUCUUUCCAUCUCAAUGAGGUCCAUGGCUAUGCAAGAGUCCUAAUCAUAAAGGAAGAAAACACCAUAAUAUUUAAUAUUAUUAAAUAUUAAUGUUCUAUUUAGAAUUAUGUAAAAAAAUAAACACCACCUAACUUUAAAUGCCAAUUUCAAAUUUUUAUUUUUAUUUUUUUGUAUAAAAGAAAAAUAAAAUAAAAUUAUAUAUUUUCAAAUUAUUUACACUUUACCUGAGAAAUGAAAAAUAAGCUUUAAAAGAAACUUCUCUUUUCCUUUCAUUUUUCUUUCUAUUUUUUUCCUUCUUUCUAAGAUGUUUUGCCUCAAAAUUUUCAACAACUGCCAUUGCUUGUGGAUGUGACUGUUUGAGUACAUAAUCAUUUCCCCUUACACUUUAAGCCAAUAAAAAGGGAAAAAGGUGGUAUGGGCAAUACAAAUAAGAAACUACGGCAGAGCCGAUGGUAUGGACAAUCAUCCUAUUGUGUAAUGAUAAAUUGCAACCCGGGGAAAGUGAAAGAAACCCAUUGUCAUUAAAACGAUAUGGACUUAAAUUAGCUCUGCAAAAAUUACCAUAUAAACUUUAAACCAAGGUUGGCUAGUGGGUGCUUGACAGCAGGUUAAUUUCAUUUCAAACAUUUUUCACCAUAAUCUAUGCAUUCUUUCUACCUGUCUAAUAUUAUAGUUCUUGAAUUGCAACUUUCAUAUUAAUGAUCUACGAGGUGAUUUGUGUGACACGAGAGAUAAAAGAAUUCCCGUAGGUUCUUAAAUAAAAUAAAGAAUUCUAAUUAUCACAGUCACGGAGAGCAGAACUGGGUGGUGGGGUGGGUGUGGUAAGAAGACUUCGUAUUACCGGAAUGACAACCCCAUGAUUUACUCAAUUUAAACAUAGCAGGAAGACAGUCUAAGUUGAUAAAGGAAUUAUGCUACAAUUAGUAGCUAUACCAGAGGCCUGAGUCAAAUCCCACCAGGGUCAAGGUUGGGGUUUUGUGAAUAUGGGGGGUGGUCCUCUGUGGAAAAGAAAGUUAUCUACUCCGACUUCUCAACAGCAGUACCAGAUUAUACUUAAAACUAUUAUCAAAUUGAAACAUCCGUUUAAUUUUAGAAUGACAUUAUCCUAACCAUUAAAAAUUUUAAAUAUUGCAAAGACGUGAAAUCGAAAAAUCUUUUUCCAACCAUUUCAAUUUUUCUCUCCAGUUUUCAUUAAUACAAUAUAAAGAAACAUCAAAUACAAGAUUCCAAACACAAAUUAAUAAAAAUAAAUAAAUAAUAAUCGAUUUAUAAAGAGGAAGAAACACAUAUAAAGAAGUAGAAGAAAAAAAAAAAAUAAGGUAAACCUGAUCGGAGAUGUAGAAGGGAGUUUUUAGAACUUAGUUGCAGCAAACAAUGACGAAUCCUAGACCCAACAAUCAAAAUGAACAUCCAAAACCCUAUAAAUUAGAAAUUGAUUUUUUUUUUUAAAUAUAGUGGAAGGUUUAAUUAAUUCAAUUUGGAAGAAUCACUUGUUGUAGAGAAUUGGAUGAUGAAUGGGUUUCUAGCUUUGCAAAGAAGAUAAGAAGUGGACGAUAAAUGGAUUUCUACCUUUACAAAGAAGAUAAACAUCUGGAAGGUUUAAUUAAUUCAAUUUGGAAAAAUCACUUGUUGUAGAGAAUUGGAUGAUGAGUGGGUUUCUAGCUUUGCAAAGAAGAUAAGAAGUGAACAAUAAAUGGAUUUCUACCUUUACAAAGAAGAUAAACAUCGGGUUUGAAGAACGAGAUAAGAGGGUAAAAUAGUAAUUUAGGUUAUUUUAUAUUAUCAAAUUGAUUUAAUGAAUCAGAAUACCACCUAUUUUUUAUGAAUGCAAAUCCGACUUAUAAGUUGAAUUUGAUUUCUGCCGGAAUAAUUUUUUAUUCCGUUUCCAUCAUCUUAACAUUUAUCCAAACAUAGGAAUAAGAGAAAAAAAGAAUGAGAUGUCUAUUCCCACUUCCUAUUCCCAUGUACCAAACACCCCCUUAAAGAUACUAAUAUUUGUGUUUUGAACAUGAGAUAAGGGACAAAUCACUAUCUUUAACUUGAAUUUAUGUUAAUGCAUGCUUUGAGAACUAAUACGCCAUCUUUUUUUUUUUAGUAUAAAAGCAUAAGAAGGGAGGAAAUGUAAGCAACUUGAUGUAAUUCUAGCAUUUGGGAUGGAAUGGAGGAGCAAAGAUGCAACAAGAUUAGCCCUAGUGCUUGCUAAUGUAAAUAAAUAAAUAAAUAAAUAAAUAAAUAAAUAAUAAAAGCGAAAAGGCAAAAGAAAACUACAAAGGCAUUCUAAAUUGGUUUAGGAGUAGCUAAAAGUGAUUUGGAGAAGCCAAAAUCGAUUUCAAAAGUUGAUUUAAUCAAUGUUAAAACCAAUUUGUGAAUGAGAAUUGUCAUAUUAAUGGAGUCUCACAUCAUAAAAGUGAUUUAGAGGAGGCUGAAAUCGAAAUUCCAAUCUUAGGUUAAAAGUUAAAACUGGUUUCCAUAUUGAAAUUUUGAUUUCAUCUUGUUGAAAUCAGUUUUUCCAAAAUUUACUGCAUAUGCCAAAUCAAAAUUUCACACUUUGGUUAAUUUGGUAUCAAAAUCUAGAUUUUAGGCAAUUUUGAUGUAAUUUCAACUAAUUAAGUUAUACGUUUGCUAUGGUGGCCAAUGAGAUUAGGCCAAGUGCCUUUUUAGGGUUAAGAUAUUUAUAUUUUCAUUUUUUUUUCAAGGUUACAAAGAUAACAUUUUUACAAUUUUGUUUGUAGUCACACUUUCUAGACUUUUGUUUCUUUCUUUUUAUUAAUAUCCCAUUUUUUUUCUUAUGGAAUUUGGGUGUGAAAUCUCAAUAUAAGAGAUUAAGAUCUUUAAUUUUGGAGAUGUAGCAUGAAGAUACAUGGAAGAUUUGGACAAAGAGCAUAAGAAAAGUAAUGUCAGAUUAAUUGAUCAUUAGGUUUUCAUGUUUACCUUAUUAGAAUGAGAUCAUCUAUGAAAUUAUGGUUAGACUAAGAUCCUAGUGAUACUUCUAAAACCAUUUGAUCACUAGUUAACAUAAUUUGAUAUACUAUCAUGAUUGAAUUGAAAAUUGAUUGUACAAGAUAGAUGAGUGGUACGAAUGUAUAAAUAUAAACCUCAAUUAACCAAUCUAUAUUAUUUAUUUUAGUGAAUCAUGUGAAAAGAGUAUAAAUGUCUUAAAAUUCAAUUUGAUCCCACAUUGACUUUGGUCCUAAACCCUAGAUCUAUGAUUUACUCUCUCUCUCUCUCUCUCCUUCUCUUCUUAUGAAUUUGAAGCUAAAUUUUGAAAACUCCAGAGUUGUUAUCAUAGAUUUGUCUUAAUCAAUUUAAUCUAAAUUCGGUCUUUUUAGAAAAACUUCUCUAUUAAAUUCACAAUUUUGGGUAUAAGAAUACUUUGUUCAAUACAUAAAUAGUCAAAUGUGUUAGUCUUUAAAGGAUGACAUCUAGAUACCAUACACCAUAACUAUCCUCUCUUUGUUUUUUCUUGGCUAUGAUUUCUAUAAUAAUAAAGAUUUUCGUUCUAAAACAUAGAGUAUCGAUAAAAAAAAAGUGUCAUUUUUGUUAGAGAUUGAAGAUUGUCUUAGUUUUUAGGAGCUUAGAGCUUGUUUUACGACGUGAUUUAAAAAUAGCUUUCUAUUUUUCUAAAAAAAAAUGACUUCUAAAAUUUAAUAGCAUUGUUUAGCAAUUGUUCUCUAGAAAUAGUUCAAAAAAAAAAAAUGAACGUUCUCUUCACUUGCUUUUAAAUACAAUAAGAGAACAUAGAGAAAUAAGAAUAAUAAUAAUUAAAAAAAUGAUAAUAUAAGAUUGUGGACCCCGCACUUCUGCACAUGCGUUCCACUCGAUGACGAAACUCGUUGUUUUUAUUUGUUUGGUGAAAUUUUGAUUUUUAGAAAAGAUUUGGAGUCACCACUUAUUUUUAUUUUAUUUUUAAGGGAAAACAAAAUAAGAAAGAAAACUCUAAGUGUGACUCCUUAUUUGGAAAAGACAGUCUAUGGAAAACCAAACUUGGGUUUGGGGGUCAAGUUACUUAUUGGGAAGGUAUGGUAAGGACCAUAACACCCCUCCAAACCCCUAAAAAUGGGUCUCUACUAAAUAAGGUGAAGCAAAUGUGGAAAUUGACAAGGAAAUUUUUAGCCCAAGGGUUCUCCUAAUCGGGUUUUGAUGGUAACAAACCAUGGUUAAGUGACUAAUUGGUUUAAAUGUUUAAGAAUCUCAGGUAUAAACUCGAAAAUUCAUCAAAGAACCAAAUGGAUAAAAGAUCGAGACGCUUGGAAGACUUGUGAUCAUAGGAAACUAAUGUAAGAUGAAUGCAUGAGUGCACUUAGGAUUUUCAUACGUUUCAUACACCUUAGAAAACUCGGUUUAUUCUUUAAAAUGUCGAUUUCAUUAAAACCUGAGUUUUUAACUAAUUUACCUUAGGCAAAAUGUUUCAAAAUUGGCUUAAUAAUUUACCUAAAGACCUUGCCUAAGUGUUAGAAAAAAAAAAAAGAAUCAAAAAAUAGGUUUUUCGGGGCCAAAAAGGCUCAACCGGUCGAGGCUAUGGCCAACCGGUCAACCGAUUAAGGAAUCGGUUGACCGGUUGAGGUCGUCCGAUCGAGGACCGGUCGAGGAAGGUCAAAAACCUUAUCUCUCUCCCAGUAGCCUUCUCUUCCCGGUCGAGGUGAUUCCCUUAUCGGUCGAGGUCCAGUCGAAGACCGGUCGAGGUCCGGUUGAGGCAACGGUAACCUGUCAUGCAUUAAAUGCUCCAACGGCUAGUGAACCGGUCGACCCCUAGCUCGACCGGACGAGGUUGCCUUUUGCUGUUUUUGACUCCCAAGCUUAAAAACCUAUAAAUUGAGAGCUCCACUUCAUUUAUUGACAAGAGAACACUUGCAUUCAAAGCCCACCUACCUGUUCUUGAUCAAAAAGCUCUUAUUUCUUUCAUAGUGCAUUAAAUUACCACUUGCAUAUCCUUUAGUGCACUCUUGUUUGUCAUCCUAGCUUUAUCUUGUAUUUGAGCCAUCUUUAAGCUAGGUUGAGUGAUUAUAUCUUGUAACAAUCCGAGUGUUAAAGCCUUCAAGAGGGUUGAAUCUUGAAGAGGUUGUGUAAGAGCCCAUUGGAGCCGGAUUCCAAGUGUAAGAAGAUUAGAAGCUUGGUUGAAGUUUCAUGUUAGUGGAACCUUCACUCGGUUAGAAGGUUGAGGAGAGUGGACGUAGGCAAGGAAGUGUCGAACCACUAUAAACCCAAGUUUGAAUUCUCUAAACUCUAUAUCUUUACUUUGCUCAUAUUUUGUUUAAAUUUGUUGUGAUUGAAAAGAUUUAAAAAACCCAAUUCACCCCCUAUUUUAGGUGUUUUUCUUAACUAAGCAUAGCCUUUGUUUUCUCAGAAAUCAAUGGAUACCAAUAAAAUGAUCGAAUAAUAAAACAAAUCGAGCAUGAGAAUGAAUAAAUAAAUGAAGUAGGAGUGAGAGCGUACCUUAGUAGCAAAUAAUAGUGCACUAUCAUGGAAAAAAGGUUAGCUCAAGUACAAAAUUUAUCGCAUGCAUAUCAAAGAGCAAGACAAAGAUCAAGCAAUAUUCAUUAAGGUGUGGCUCCUAUAGAGGUGCAAAAAUAAGUUUGAUAAGCCCACAAUGCAAACAAAAGCUUCUCUAACCAAUCUCGAGAAGUCUCAAUCAUCCUCUGCAAGAUCCUCUUAAUAUUCUUAUUCGCAUCCUCUACCACUUCGUUAGUCUGCGGCCUGUAUGCAGACGAUCUAUGAUGCUGGAUACCGUAUCUCUGUAAUAAAGUGUCAACAUCUGCUCUAAAAUGUACUUCUCUGCUCGAAAUCAACUCAUGAGGGACUUCAUAGCGACAAAUAAUGUGUGAUCUGAUGAAACUAGCGACCCCAAAUGAUUUCAAUCUCGCAUAUGAAGCAGCCUCCAUCCACUUGGUAAAGUAAUCAAUGAUGACCAAGAUGAACUCAUGACUACUGGAAGACUUUGGCGAAAUCUUCCCAAUAAUGUUUAUACCCCAUAUUGAAAAUGGUCAUGGUGAAUUCAGUGCAUGUAACUCUAAAAGGGGUAUGUAGAUAAGGUCUCUAUGAAUCUAGCACUCUCGACAUCUUUAAACAAACUGGCAAUAAUUUGUCUCCAUAGUCAACCAAAAAUAGUCGGUCUUCAUGACCUUACAAGCUAAUAUAUGUUCUCCCAUAUGUGGUCCACAAACUCCCACAUGAACCUCUCUCAUCACUCAAUCGGUAGAGGCGUGGUGAAAGCACAAUAGUAACAUCCCAUCAACUGAUCGUUUGUACAAUGUCUCCCCACAGAUCACAAACCGGGUAGCUAACUGUUUCAAUGCUCUCUUAUCCUUGGUUGUGGCGACCUCAAGAUAUAUGUCAAGUCUCAAAAACUGAUAUAUGUCAUGGCACCAAGGCAAACCAUCUUCCAACUCUGCCUCAUCAAUCAAGCAACAAUAGGUAGGAACUGAUCUCGACUCAAUCAGUAAAGGGCGAACAAUGGUAUCAGCGAGAAUAUCAAUCAUGGAAGCUAGAGUAGCUAAGGUAUCAACAAACUGGUUUUGCGCUCUAGGCAGAUGAGUAUAACUCAAAUCAUCAAAUUUUCCAACCACCAGCUCUAAGUAUGCAUGGUAAGGCUUAAGUUUCACAUCUUUAGUCUUCCAAUGGCCUUGAAUCUAUCUCAAUACCAGAUUGGAGUCACUAAACACCUCCAUCUGUCUAAUCUCGAGCUUAAGAGUUGUCUCUAAUCCCAAGAUACAAGCCUCAUUGUGGACCCGCAUUUUUCACGUGCGUCCCCACUCGAUCGGCGAGACUCACAUUCUAUUUGUGAAAAAUUAAUUUUAGAAAAGUUGGAGUCGCCACCUAUUUUAUUUUUAUUUUAAAGGGAAAAUAAAACAAGAAAGAAAAACCCUAAAAAGUGACUCCAUAGUUUUGGAAAAAUCAUGUCUUUGAGAAACCUAAGUCUAGGUCCGGGGAUUAGGUUACUUAUUGGGAAGGUACCUCUAGGAGAUAGCACCCCUCUAAGCCUUAAAGAGGUCUUUACUGACUAAAUUGGGGAAAUGGGGCAAUUAAUUGAUUAAUUGUAGAUACCUAAGUAAGCUAGGUGAUUUUAGAAAGUAGCAUGCUAAAUAAGGAGAUCAAUCACAAUAAAGGAGAGUUAGAGUGUGUACCUGAACCACUUCUUAAGCGCUAUCAUAAAACAUCAAUGGUUAAUUCAGAAGUAUGACACACGACAUGCAUUUUAUCAAGGAUGAUCAAACAAGCAUUGAGACAAUCAAGUAUGGCAUCAAACAAGGACAAUGACAUGCAUAUUCAUGAAAUUUUGGGAACGUACCUGGAUAGCAUAUAUAACUCCUAAUGCGCUUCCUCAGGACAUGGGGGUUAGAUAAUAAAUAAUAAAUAAUGAAUAAUAAAUCCUAGCAUGCUUAUCUAAUUAAUUAGCAAAAAUUAUCAGAAUUCGGAAUAAUUAAUUAUCAUACAUAUCUUGCAUACAAUUCCCAAAAAGAAAAAUGUAAAUAUGAUUACAAUAAAUAGCAAGGUGGUAGCAAAAAAUAAAUUUUGAAAAAGAUUUUCUUAUGUAGGGGUUUCACCAAUUCCCCAAAUUAAUAUACAUGAAUUUAGCCUAAAAUUGUCCCAUUUAUUUGGGACCACAAGCUUUGAUUCGCAUUUUGUUUAAAACCAAAAUUUUUGUUGAAAAUUGAGAAGGAUGCAAACCGAUCGAAAUAUGGUUGCAAAUUUUAAGAAAAUGAAAUUUUUUUUUUCUAAGGACUCUAAAUGAAUUCUUUUAAAAUAGAUUUUUAAAGGGAUCUUUUAAGAAAAGUGUUGGAUUUCAAAAUAAAAGAAAUUAAUUUGAAAACGACAAGACAUAAAGAACAAAAUACCAAGCAAAACAAAAGUUAUUAAAAUCGCAAAGUAGAGUUUUUGACAAUUGAGAAAAUUGAAGUGGUGGGAAUGGAGGUCAAUCUUCACUAUUUUCCAAUGGCCUCCGAAAAGUAAAUUUUACCAUAGACUACCAAAGCAAUAAACUAUUCGAACUUAGAUCAUAUAAGCUAACGAUCACUACUACAAAAAUUGAAAUUAAUGACGCUUUAUUUUAUGACGCUUUCUAAAAGCGUCAUUAUUGAGGGUAUACAAUGACGCUUAUAAGAAGUGUCAUAGUUGUAUUAUUUAUCUUGAUACUUAUUAUAAGUGUCAUUAUUUGAUGUCAUCUUUUUCCUUAUAAUCGUGUAUAUAAUGACGCUUAUAAGAAGCGUCAUAGUUUUAUUAUUUACCUUGACACUUAUUAUAAGCAUCAUUAUUUGAUGGGUAUGUAAUGACGUUCCUGAGAAGUGUCAUAGUUGUAUUGACUUUUAAAAUUUUUGUUUUAAGUUAACUUAUACAAAUUUUGAUAUUAGAAUUUUAUUCUAUAAAUUAAUUAUGGUAAAUUGACAUUAAUAUUAAUGACAUAAAGUUGCUAGAUUAAGGUUUUUUUAAAAAAAAUUGGAUAUAAAUAAAAUAAAAUCCUAAUAAAUUAUUUUUUUAUUGUUUGAUAUUAAUUUUUUUAUAGUUUGUAUCAAUACAAUCUAUUUUCAUAAACUAUUUUUCAUUUUUAUUAAAUUAGAAAUUAUCUUAUAUUUCAUUUAAAAAUAAUUUGUUAAUUUAUUUGUGGACCACAAAAAAGUGGCCUAUUUUGAGCACUUGUUCGAGCCUUGGGCCACAUUUAUUGGGUUUAACCCUUUUAUUUGAGAAUGUUUUAUAGUUAAUGAAUAUAAAUUUGAAAUUAUUUAACUAAAAUGAAAUAAAUUAAUAUUUAAAUUAAUUUAAUGAUGAUUAGACUCACAAUAAAACUAAAUGCAAUAAGAAUAUUUAUAAAAACUUUCUAAUAUUUAUGGGAAUUAAGCUCAUUCUAUUAAAUUAGUUUUUUUUUUAAAUAUCAAUAUUCAAAUUAAACCGACAUCAACCUAAAAUAUCAAAUAAUUAAACAAUAUAAAUUCAUUAUGAGUUCAAUAUAUAAAAAUUAUUAUUGGAAGAUGAAAUAAAGAAUACUAUUUUAAUAUAUUGAAAAAGGACAUGCAUGGUAUUUUAGAAUUUGUUAUAAAGUCUCCAUUGAAAACCCUAACUUUUGGAAGACAAGAAAGAAGGGAGAGAGCCACCGUUUUUAAUGAGAAAGAAGAGAAGAGAGAAAAAUGCAAGUUUUUCUCAUCAUGCCCAGAUUUCAUCAAAGGUUUGAUCCCACUUCGUCCGUGGUCCGAUCGAGCUGAAAUUUGGAGGAGAGUUUCGUGACUCAUUUAUCUUCAAUCUGAACGAUGAAGAUCGGAUUUGGAGUUUCGGAAAGUCAUUAGAAAGAAAGAGGAGAAGAGAGAAAAACGUAGGUUUUCUCAUCAUGCCCAGAUUUCAUCAAAUGUCCGAUCCCGCUUCGUCCGUGGUCCGAUCGAGUUGAAAUUUUAAGGAGAGGUUCGUGGCUCAUGUAUCUUCAAUAUGAACGGUGGAGAUCGGAUUUGGAGUUUUGGACAGUCAUUAGAGAGAAAGAGGAGAAGAGAGAAAAACGUAGGUUUUUCUCAUCAUGCCUAGAUUUCAUCAAAUGUCUGAUCCCGCUUCGUCCGUGGUCCGAUCGAGUUGAAAUUUGAAGGAGAGGUUCGUGGCUCAUGUAUCUUCAAUAUGAACGGUGAAGAUCGGAUUUGGAGUUUCGGACAGUCAUUAGAGAGAAAGAGGAGAAGAGAGAAAAAUAGUGGUUUUUUACAUCAUGCCCAGAUUUCAUCAAAUGUCCGAUGCCGCUUUUUUCAUGGUCUGAUUGAGCUGAAAUUUGAAGGAGAGGUUCAUAAGUCAUUAAUCUUAAAUUUGAACGGUGAAGAUCGGAUUUAGAGUUUUGAAAAGUCAUCUUUCAGCUAAAAACAAAACCUUUAUUUUAUCAAAGAUGACGCUUCCUGAAAGUGUCAUUGUUGCCUAAGACAUACAAUGACAGAGGCGAAGAGGACGCUUUAGAGAAGCGUCAUCUGUUACCUUUCUUGACGCUUAAAAAACGUCAUUGUUUCCCAUUUUUCUUGUAGUGGAUAUACCCACCAAGAAUUAAUGACUAUUUUCGAGAAACACAUCAAUUAAAAAUAACAAUCAAGAAUUAGCACAUGAUCAAUCAAACACACAAACGCAUCUAGACUUGUUAAAAUGGAUGAAAUUAAGUCAAGGCAAAUGUGAAUUUUCAGUCAUAAAAUUAAUUUUUUUAAUAAGCUAAUAUUAUAAAAAAUACCUAAACUAAAUAGAUGAGUUAAAUUUAACCAAGGUAGACUAAAAGAAACAUGAUUUUUUUCACAUAAAAUUGAUUAAACCAAAAAGUUAGAAACUCACAAACACAUCUAAACUAAAAGAAAAAUCAGCACUAAAGUAAAUUGAAAUGAAAAAAAUAAGAACUUUAUCAUGUAGAAUUAAUUAAACUAAUUAUAAAAAAACAUCUAAACUAACGAAAUAAAUUAAAAUUAAACUAAAAUAAAAUUUAAAAAAAGAAAAAGAAACUUGCCUUCAAGAAUGCAUAUUGCUGAAUCUAUUGUAGGAAGACCGCUCUUGGAUGCGUGCCUUUCUUUGCGUGUUUCAGGAAAUCAUCUCUUAAUGCGUGGCUUAUGUGGCGGCCAUCUUCCUCUUUCCAUAAGAUACAAUUCCAUAAGUACCCGAACCAAGUUCUUUUAUGUAUUCUAGGUCAGAAUUUUAUUUUAUUUUUUAUAAUCUGCAGCACUCUAGUGGCUAGAAGAGAAUAAAAUAUGGCCUGGUUGUGUAGUUGACAAUGACGGGAAUUGGAGGAUUCAUCGUUUUCAAAUAUGCAUGGAUGGAUGGGCUGCUGUCCAGAUGGUUCCGUCAGUGAGUUCAAACAGCCACCUCUUUGCUCUCAAAUCUCCUUGCACUAAUCCCUUCAAAACAGCCCCUCUCACACUCUCUAAACUCUCUCUUUUAUAUCCCUUGAAAUAGCCUCUCGCAUGCUCUCAAAACUCUCUCUUCGGAUCAUCUCAAACAACAACUCCUCACGCUCUGAAAAUGCGGACUGAUCUUUGUGCGGACAGCAGCCUAUGAUCCCUUCAAAACGCCUACUAAUCUCUUCCCAAACGGCAUCCUCAAAGGCUCUAAAAAAUCCCUCAUCCGUUCACUUCAAACAGCAGCCUCUCACGCUUCAAAACGCCUCCUGAUCUCCCCCCAAACGGCAGCCUCUCCUUCCAUGGAAUACUCUGUUUCUUUGUUUUAAUCUCCGCGGAUAUAUGGAAAGUGCAUAUGUGGUGACUCACUUAGAGAUUCUAUAGGAUGCAGUCGUGUGUCCUCCUUGGUAAGUAAUCAAAUCCUUACCAUGUUGACUUUUCUUUCUAAAAAAAAACAAAAAGAAUCUCCUCACAGCCCACUAUAUGCGUAUUGUGCACUAAUGGUGGACUGCAUGUCCACUUCUCCUCAUUCAUGGACUGUGUUCUCUCAUGCGGAGUGCGUGUUGUGUCCAACUCUUUCAAGCAUGCAGCCGCUUUGCUUAUGGCAGCAUGUGGAUGAAGAAUUGAUGUGCAAAUUGGAGGUGGACCAAUCAUGGAGGUUCAGGAAUCGGGAUGCCAAUGUUGCUAUCAGUUUUCCUUUCCUCUCUUCAAUGCGCCCUGAAAAUGUAUCAAAAAUGGUGCGGCUGGUUGGUGGUCGUCUUCCCAAUGGUGCAAUUGCACCUUUAUCCUGAUCAGAAUCUGUGUCCGCUCCAUUCAAAAAGCUGGUGCAUCCCUCUUCAAAAAUCUGGUGCAUCUCUCUUUCAAGAAUCCCAUCAUACUCCCUUCCAAAAUUUGGUCAUCUUUCCCCUUAACAAUCUCGUGUAUCCUUUCAAAAAUCUGAUCAUCUUUCUCUGCUCCCAUCUUGCACCCAUAGGGAUCCUUCAAUAUGUGGACUGUCCAGAUCUUUCACAUGCGUGCUGGCCACUUACCAUCCUUGCAUGGUGAUAUCUUCCUUCCUUUUUUUUACAGGAUUCUUUCCAAGUCUCUUUAUUUGGCCGUGAUCUUCUCUCAUUCAUGGCUCCAAGUCUCAUGCAAAAAUUAAAAAUAAAAUUGAAAUAAGAAAUGGGAAUUAUGAUCAAAAUGAAAUAUAACGAAAUAAAAUAAAAUCUCAAAUCACAUAGCCACAAAAUCCAAGAUAUCAAUUUAUGGGAUUAAAGAAUAAAUAAAUAAGUAGGUAAAUAAACAAAUAAAUUGAUAAAAGUAUAAAAAUAAAUAUUAGACGUAUGCAAUUAGGAAAAAUCAAGAAAUUAAAUUAAUGCAACAGAUUAUAAUAAUUUAAAUGUCAAACUCAAAACCAUUAAAAAUCAUAAAAUUCAUUCAUGCAAUAAAAAGUCAAACAACACUCAUCUUAUCCCGAAAAAUAAGUAACCAAAAUCAAGAUCAUGCCUAAGAGAACUAUGCCAAAAGAAGUGUCUAAGUGACCUAUUUUGAAAGACUGUCUAAGUAACCUAGGGUGAAUGUGUGCAAGCUAGAAGGUGCUAAGUGCAUCUAAAUUGGCCUAAGGUGGUGCCUAAUGGGCCAAAUGUAUCUAAAUGGGUCUAGGGUGCCUAAGUGGGCCUAAGUCUAAGUGAGCCUAAGUCUAAAUCAAGACUACCAAGGAUCAUAAUAAGGGGUUAGGCAAUCCCUCAACCAAAGUCUCCGAGGUGGCUCAGAAAAAGUAAGUAGUAUGAGUAGCUAUGGGUCACCAAGGAACUACUGUAGAGCCUUGGAAAUGAACUUAAAGGCAUGUGCUAAAGAGACAAAAUUAAGGGUCUACACUCAUACUCAACAAUAUUGUUCAUGGCAAGGUGUCGACCAGAGAAUGCCAAACGAACAAAUCUAGGAAUGUGGUCAUCGUGAUGGGAUAUCAGUAGAACACCUAUCCCGUAUCCAAAAUGGUUGGCCGCAACAUCAAAGUACAUGCGCCAACCUGACGAAGUAGUCACUGCAGCGAUAUCCUCAUCUAGAAAGUCAUCAUCAAUAGCUCUACCAUCAUAAAAACUAGUAAUGAGGCUAAGUGAUCUACAACAAUGCUCCAUCUGAUAGACUUUUGAGUGACAUAAUGAAUAUCGAACUCAAUCAGGAGUACCAACCAUCUCAUGAGUCGAUCAAUCAAAGCAAGCCUGUCAAACAAAUAUCUCAAAGAAUCUAGACAAGAUAUCAAGUGCACUGAAUACUCCGUCAUGUAAUGUCUCAAUCUCUUAGUAGCUCAAACCAACGCCAAACAGAAACGUUCAAUCAUGACAUAUCUUGUCUCAUAAUCAAGCAUCCUCUUACUCAAAUAAUAAAUAGCUCGCUCAUUUCUAGAAUCAUUGAGCUGAGCUAACAUGCAUCCCAAGGCUAUAUCUGAGACUGACAAGUAUAGGAAUAAGGGACAACCUGGUGUAGGAGGCACCAAGACUAGAGGCGAAAACAAGUACUCCAUGAUCCUCUCAAAUGCACGCUGACACUCAUCAUCCCAAACAGGAGGUCGACUCUUCCUCAAGAGUAAAAAAAUGGGCUUGCAAAUAUCUGUCAAUCUGGCGAUGAAUCUACUGAUGUACUGGAGUCUACCUAAAAAACCUUUGAUCUCUCUCUCAGUCCUCGGCGCAGGCAUGUCAAGGAUGGCUCUGAUUUUAUCUGGAUCUAUUUCUAUGCCUCUCUCACUGACCAUGUAUCCUAGAAGUCACUCCAAAAGUGCACUUCUUAGGAUUCAGUCCUAAUCUGAACUGUCUGAUCAUAUCAAAGAAUCUCUUUAAGGCUGUUAGGUGAUCUACUCUAUCUUGAGAUUUCACUAUUAUGUCAUCUACAUAGACCUCGACAUCCCAAUGCAUCAUGUCAUGGAAAAGGAUAGUCGUUGCUCUUUGAUAAGUAGUUCCUGCAUUCUUCAACCCAAAUGGCAUAACUUUGUAGCAGUAAGUACCCCACUCAGUAAUCAAAGAUGUCUUCUCCAUGUCCUUUAGAGCCAUCAUAAUCUGACUGUACCCAAAAAAUCCAUCCAUAAAGGACAACAUCGAAUGACCUGUUGUACUAUCAACUAGCAUGUCAAUGUGUGGGAGAGAAAAAUCAUCCUUGGGAUUGACCUUGUUGAGAUCUCAGAAAUCAACGCAGACUCUCACCUUGCCAUCCUUUUUGGGAACGGGGACGACAUUGGCCAACCACUCAGGAUACUCAACCACUGAUAAAAAUCCCACACUAAGCUGCUUCUGAAUUUUUUCUUUCACAUGCAGACUCCAACGAGGAUGCAAUCACCUCAACUUCUGCUUAAUCGGUCUAGCAAGGGGCAGUAGUGGCAAGUAAUGCUAGACUAUGGAUAGAUCAAGGCUAGAUAUGUCCUCAUAAGACUCUGCAAGUGAUGUUGGACUAUGGAUGGAUCAAGGUCAGACAUGUCCUCAUAAGACCAUGCAAAGACAUCCAAAUAUGAUAUGAGUAACUGGACAAGGCCACCACUCUCAUCUGUAAACAAAUCCAAUCCAAUCCUCAGCUCCCUAGGCUAGUCUGUUGUACCAAAAUCAACAAUCUCAACGUCUCUUGUGGUAGGUGAAACUCUCUGAUCACUAGGACUCAAAUCAGAAGCAAAAGAAGAGUCUGCAUCUGAAUCGUGAUGUACAAUCUCAUCAUCUAUAUCAAAUAUUUGUGAUGUGGGUGAAUGAGGUGCAGAUAAAGUGUUAUCACAAUAAAUAGGCAAAUACUCAAAAAGACUCAUAUCCAUAUAUGAAGAAAGAGUCAGUACAUCAUCAGAAUGGGAGACAAACCCGACAGUACAUCAAAAGAAAGUGGUGGGUCCACAUGUUUGGACUCUACCAUGACUGGGCUAUUAACACCCACAAAUACAUCAUCAUCAACUAUAUCAUCCUUUGAAAACUCCAGAGCAGGAGCAAUCUGGAUCUCCUCAGCAACCUCGAUGGCGGACACCCCAAAUAGAUCAAAUGGAGAAGCAAACUCAGGUUGGACUAUCCCAUCAAUCUGACUCAUACUCAUCGCGAGCAUCUCAUCAAUGUACCUGUCGUGUGGAACAACUCCAUCCACCAUGUCCCUAAUCUCAGCAAAUGUCCCAUGCUCGUCGACCUCAUCCUAGAAAUAGAGUGUCAUGAGGCUCAUAUGAUCUGGAGAUGAUGGGGUGGCUAAUGUAGAAGCAGAAGUGCCAGGAGCUCCAUCACUCAACCGUAGCUAAUGGACAAGACGCUGAAGCUCAGCCUCCUCAACAGUGUUGAAUCCAUCAAUAAUCCCACUUGAAUGCGUCUAUGGCUCCGGUGCCCUCACAAAGUAGUCCGCCAAGCUCAUGUUGUAUGAGCAAAUAGGAUAGUCAAAUGGUGUGUGAGUCAAUCGGGCUCUCACUCUCUCCUUGCGCAAUCACACCAUAUAUCAAUAAUCGGCCUCAGUAGGAAUAAACUCAAAUCCAAAUGGUACAUCACGAUCAACGAUAGUUAUAAGCUCAUUGGGCUCAUGCUGACAUCGCCCUAAUCCCAUGCUCGGCAGAAAAGACAUGCUCCUCAUCAUGUCAAGCACCACUGUACUACCAUGCUAAUCAAAUGACAUAGCCACAAAGUCCCUACAAAAAUCCUCAAUCUCCAGAGUUUACACCUCAUCAAAUAUGAACCCAGUAAAAAACAAAUCAUCCUCAUUGUGACUAAUCUGAAGCACUGGCUUGGAAGAAGCAAACAUAUCUCCAAUAGACCACACCGUGAUGACUUGGCCAUCAUGAAUGAACUUCACCUUCUGAUGAAGGGAAGAAGGAAUGGCCCCAGCUCUAUGAAUCCAAGGUCGGCCAAUAGUAGGUUAAAAGAUGUAGAAAUCCUCAAAACCUGGAAUAGAGUAGGAAAUGUAGUCGGACCUAUCAAUAGCUCGAUCUCCAAAGUGCCCAUGACCUUCCUCUUAAUGCUAUCAUAUGCUCUGAAUUUCUGAGUAGAGGGACCAAAGUUUGAGGACGCAUAGCCGAGGGCAAUGACAUAAGCUAAGGGACAGACGUUCAGGGUUGGGCCAUCGUCCAAAAUGACAUAUGGGACUUGGUGGCCUGAAAAACCAACUGAGAUGUAUAGAGGACAUGUAUGGUCUGAACCCUCGGGUGGCAAAUCAUCAUCUAAAAAUAUAAUGCAAGUGGCUCUGCCAACUGUCAUAAUGUGAAUCAACCCCUCGAGAAUAGUGGUAGUCUCGACUCUAAUCUAACUCAAGGCUCAAAUCAAUGCAUCUUUAUGAGUGCUAGAAGAUGCCAAUAAGCUCCAAAUAGAUAUACAAGUCUGGGUACUCUACAACUAUAUCAGAAUAUCAUCAUCAUCUCUCCUGACCUUCUCAUGAGAGGCUGCACCCUCCAAGGGUCUAGCGGUUGUGAAGGGUUGCUGUCAUACUACCCUACCUCUGUGAAUAACAUAUUGUAUAUCUGGAGUAUGAACAUCAUCAACAUAUGGAGUAUGUACCUCAUCAACGUCUGGAAUCAAAACAAACGAAGUCUGAACACUAUAACAUGGAAAAAUCAAUGGCUCGACUAUAGUCAACUAUACUGAUGUCACAUCGAGAACCAACCUGAAUAGUGUGGGCAUCCAUGGGCCCAAGGUCAUUCUACCUACCUCAUAAAUCCCAUCUACUACUAUAGGCUCUAGCACUGACUCAUCCCAACUCAGCAUGUGGAUAUGAUCAUAUGGCUUAGUGAAAUCCAUGAAAUGUAUACCGUUGGCUAGCAGAGAGACUGCAUGUGAAGUAUAAGCUAGCAGAGGGUUAGUGGUUACACUUGGCUAACCCAAUGAACCAAACCCUGAUCUAUCAAGUCCUCGAUGGCGUGCCUCAAAGUAGUGCAAUGGUCCGUGUCAUGCCCUAGACCCUGAUGGUAAGAACAAUGUAAAUCCAUCCUGAAGCGAGGUGGCAUGAGUUGAGGUAUAUGCCGAGGAGCUAACUGAGUCAACAAACCACCCUCCAUGAGCUUUUAGAAAGCUCGGCUCAAAGGCAUACCUAGUUGGGAGAACUGUUGUGUCGACCUUUGUACAAAAGAAAUAAUAGUCUGUGGGGCUCGUGGCUGAGGGUAUAAAGUAGGAGGUCUCUCUAUGACAUGUGCAGCAAAAACAGGUUGUGAGACCAGAUGUAGAUAAGUAGGAGUCAUAGGUUUGGAGGAAAUAGGUGGCCUAUACUGAACAUGAGGUGGUGGUGGGUAGUAGAAUCCAGAAGGCUGCCCAACUGUCUGAUAGCGUCUAGGAGGUCUCAACCCUGUUGAACUGAUAGCACUCACAUCUUCUAAUCUUUGUCCUCCUAAAGGCUGCUUUCCCUAAGAGUCAGUAGGGGAAGACUCGACCAUAAUCCUCUAGUUAUGUCCUCCUCUAUACCAUAUAAAUCAUGUACCAAAGAUCCAAAAUCCGUAUGAGAAAAUCCCAUCAAGUGCCUAGCAAAUCAAGGCUGCAAGCUCCUCAUGAUCAUACUAAUCUGAUCAUUCUCCGAAGGAUGAUCAAUAACCUGUGAAAUCUUCUCUCUUUAGCGAGAGAUAAAUGAGGUGAUCGACUCAUCUAGCCUCUAUCUCAAAGCCUCUAACUCUCUCAUCGAAACAUCAAUGACAAUGUUAAAUGCAAACUGUCUCAAGAACUUCUGGGCCAAAUCAUCCCAAGUUCGGCGGCGUGAUACAUCCAAUGAAGCAAACCAACGUUGUGCCACACCACUCAGGGAUAUAGGAAAAAACAUAACCAUCUGGGCCUCAUCCAAUCCAUGGGCCCUCAUAACCGUACUGUAAAGCCUCAAAUGGAUGCAAGGAAAGCCAAUGUCCGUGUAUUUCUCAAUCUUAGACAUCCUAAACUUUGUCGAUAAACUGGCCACUGGUGCUCCAUUAAAAUCCUCCUAAGUAAUAGCUCCAUCUGAAGUCUUCAUCUGUCUCAUCCUCUACUCAAGUCUAUCCAUACGAGCAUGUGGGUCCUCUGAGAUCGGGGUAGGCACUAUGACAGGAGGCAAGGCAACCUCAGUCUGACUCUAUAAAGUAAAUGAUAUAGGUUGUGAAACUAUCUGACCAAGUGGGAGAGGUGGCAGAAUAGUGGGAUCAUACUGCACACUCUCCUAAACUGGAACCUUUUGGGUUUGCUACCCAUCCAUCCUUUGAUCAAGACUAGUUAUGGCCUCCUGGAUCGAAGCCAUAGCAGCAACGAACUGAUCAAAUGUAACCACCUACGAAUCCAUAUCUAUCUGAUCUAACUGGUCUGAUACUCUGAUCAAUCUACCUUUAACUCUGAUCUAAGAAGUUAAACCCAGAUCAAACGUAUCAAUACACCUACAAUAGUGGAAAUACUAGAUAAGAUAUUGUGUAAGGGAAACUCUACAAGGAGUGUCUAUCAACUAUGCAGGAAGGUAACCUGGAAGUAUUCAAACUUAUAUCUAAUUCUGAGCAAAUAUAUAAGAGACUACUAUGAAGGUAACUAAAUUUAUCACUACUGACCCGGCUCUGAAGGCCCAUAGAUGCACCCACGUGUAGGAAAGGAAAUUCUGAUCGAAUAAUCGAAGGCUCAACCUAUAAGGUCAAGGUGGCUCUAAAAAAAAAAAAAGAUGGACUUUAAAGGAUCCCUAGCAGAAGCGAUCAUACCCUUCAACAGUAUGCAACCCUCUGCACGCCUUUGAAAAGACGAGGCGCUUCCAUGCAAGGUGGUCAUCACCUCUACACAUGCACUACCUCGACAUCGUAAGGGGUUUUGCUAUAGUGAAAGCUCUCACAACUCUCAGCACUCAGUAGUCAACUAAAGUGCAUAGUGAGUGGUGCAGGUGCAUCCGAAAAACCUAUGAAGAUAAAGUAGAAAAAGAAACACAUUAGUCACACAAAUAUCCAUGAAACCAGCUCUAGGCUAUUCAGGUCUUCAAAGAUCAGACUCCAAUCAAUGUGUCGGCCUCCUCAAGAAUGCUCCUAAACAUCAAUAUAGCCCAUCACUAUACCUUACUCCUAACCACUAGCUCGGUCAUAGAAACAAGUACACACAAGGCCUCACACUUGCAAAUAUAAGAACCGAAAUGAAGGAAAUGACCGAAACCAAAGGGUUGGAGGUAAGGGGAUAGAUGUGCGAUCCACACAGACAAGCAACAUACAAUCACAUAGGAGAAGAUUAGUUAUGCAACAAGCAAUCAAGCAGAGCGCAAAUAUAUCAUCCAUGUCCAUACACAAGCCAAACGAAAAUAUGACAAUCACAAUGACUAGCAACAAGGAUAGCAUGCUCAAAUAUAAUCAAGAUAACAUACAAGAAAGAUAAUCAACACUAAGACAAAUAAGAGAUGCAGCAAAGUGAACAUACAUGUCAAAGUGAGUAGGAUAAUCAAGGCAAGAGCAAGAUCGAUCAAUAUCAUCAGCAUGCCAAUGUCGCAAAGGGAUAUAACAAUUAAGCAAAGAAAAUCGUUGCAUCAAAAUCCUCAAUGUGCUAUGAUCACUCAAGCAUUGAAAAUUGUAAUUUUGAAAAAUUAUUUGAAAAUUGGAGUUUUGAAAAUUAAAUUUAAAAAUUAGAAUUUUGGAAAAUUAAAUUUAAGAAUUGGAAUUUUGGAAAUUAAAUUUGAAAGAAAUUGGAGUUUUGAAAAUUAAUUGAGAAUUGGAGUUUUGAAAGUUAGUUUUAAGAAUUGGAGUUUUGAAAAUUAAUUUUGAAAGAAAUUGGGGUUUUGAAAAUUAAUUGAAAAUCGGAGUUUUAAAAAUUAAAUUUAAGAAUUGGAGUUUUGAAAAUUAAUUUUGAAAGAAAUUGGUUUUUUUUUUUGUUUUCAUAUUCUCAUAAACGAAAAAUGGAAACUAAUGAAUAAAAAUAAAAAUUAAAGAAAAAAAAAAGCAUUUAAAAUAUAUAUCAAGAAAGAAAGAUAUUGAUCACCUAUUUCUUUCAACAUAAGUUCCUCUAAGUAAAAUGAUAAGGUUGCCACUAUGGUUUAAUCUCAGGAGGUUUAAGAGCACACAUCUUGGGGGAAGGUUUGAGAGCACAUCUUCAAUACGGGAAGGUUUGAGAGCACAUCUUUAAUAGGGGAAGGUUUGAGAGCACAUCUUCAAUAGGAGGAGGUUUGGGAACACAUCUUUGGUGGGAAAAUAAGAUUGAUAACUUCUUCUUUUUUAAAUAUAUACUACUAUUAAAAAUGUGAGGUGUUUGUCAAUUUUUUCAUUCCAAAAAUAUCUGACAACUCCUUUUAAUUCUAAAAAUACUUCUCAUCAAUUUAUUAAUAACAAUAUAUUAAUAUUUAAUGUUACAAAAUGUAUUCUAUUAUCAUAAUCUAUUAGUAUCAAAUGACAUUAUACAUUUUAUUCUCUUUAGAACCUAUAAUAUUCUUUGACUCUUGAUGAUGUGCCUAAGCCCCAUAUUUUCAAUGCCCACAUAAGCCUUUUCUAUCAUUUUCUCCUCUCCAUGGUCACAACAGCUUCUUCUUCAAGCUUUUAGAUUUUUCUUUGCAAAAUUGCCAUCUUAAUAUUCCUCUUCGCCACAAAUGGCAGUCGAUUCAAGACUAUGUCUAGAGUUAUGGUCAUGGUUCUGGAAGGUUUGGAUUGAUGAAAGUGUUAUGUUAGGGACAAGAGAGAGUUUCAAUGAAAUGUAAUGUUUUGGGGAAAGCUAAGAAUGACAAUGGUGGCAAAGAAGGUGUUCAUGAAAAGAACAAACAGUUUGUGUGGUGGUUUCGGGAGGCGUGGUUGUAUUUUCACAUUCAUAGGGGUGACACGUUUGUUGUCAUAAUUUUUGGUGAAAUUGUUGUCAAUUCUUACUUGGAACCCAUACUGAAGGCACAUUUUCUAUGAAUUUCUUUUCCUCUGUUAAUUUAGUUUGAAUGAAUAAACUGUUAUUGUGUUUCAUAAAAGCAAUAUGGAGGGUUGGUUUGGAUAGUGGUGAUACUCUACAUUCAGAUAUGUUUUCCUUUUGUAUUUUGGAAACUAAUGAAUCAUAACAUGCUUAUUGGUGAAAGGAGAUUGUUGUUUAUCCCCUAUUUGUUUAAAGAGAAUGAAUUGUGUUUGUGGAGUUGACAAUUGAAGAUGUUGACUGUGAUUUAAAUCCAAAUAGUUUUAGAGAAUUGGUCAAAUAAAUCUCUGAUAAAUAUUUUUUUUUAAUGAAUUUACAACUCUUAUCUAAGUAAUUUAUCGCAUUGAUGGUAUCUAUGUAUAUCAAUUAUUUGUGUUCUAAUUUAUUGUGAUUCUAUCUCGUGUUAUUAAUCAUUUGGGUUAUUGGAUUUUAACAUUUUGAUUUUUAUCAUUUCCCAUAUUUUUAAUUCAUUGCAUUUUUGUUCGUUGUGAAUGUUAUUUAUUUAUUAUUUUAGCACUCAUUGGGUUUUUUGUGAACACAAUUAGAUCAACUGUUGUUGCCAUUAGUGUUUUUGAUGAUUUUGCUUACAUGUUUAUUAGGGAAAUAUUAGAAUUCAAGGUGUUUGGUACAUUUGAGAGGUAAUCCAAUUUAGUAUUAGAGUAUACCUUUUUUUUUUAAUGAAUCCUGAUUUUUUUUUUUUAUUGGGAUCAAAAUUUGUUACUUACUCUAGAAAUUUAGUAUUUUUGUAAAUACUUUUAAUUUUUCUAAUUAUAUUUUUUUAUAAGUAUUUAGAACUUAAAGGUUUUACUGAAAAGAAAAUGAAGUUAGUAGUUUUAAAUUGAAAUUAGUCUUAUUUCUUAAGGUUUUUUUCCUUUUUCAUUUUUAGCUUAAUUGAAUCUAGAACUUUCUUGUACAUUAUAAUUCUAAAAGAAGUUUUAAUUACAACCUAUUAAUAUUUAAUGUUACAAAACGUAUUCAUCCAUUAAUAUCAAUCACAAAAUUUAUUAAUAUUUAAUGUUACCAAAAUCUAUUAAUUAUUCCCUUUAAAAUCACCCUAUAACAUUAUAAAAUAUUAUAAUUAAUACAUUAUCUAACCAACAAUUAAGAAUUACCCCUUCACUCUUCAAAUUUCUUAUGAUGACAGUUUCACUUUUCAUUUCUAAAGUUUGAAAACUUUUUAAAUUUCUCAUAACCUUUUCCUCUUUGAAGAGAAUUAAGAAGUUUUUGUAAAUUGGCACUCCCAAUUUGAAUGAAGUACUAUUUGGUGAGUUUUUAUUUAGUGUUCUGAAUGAUUUUACUUAAAUGUUUGUGUUACUUAUGAGAAUAAUUUGAUUACUUUGUUGAAUUUUAUUUUUAUGAUUUUGACCUUUUUAAAACAAUACUCAAUUCUUUGAGGAGUUUGUUGGAUGUGAGUUGGAAGAAAAUUGAAAUUUAAGGUAAUUGGUAAAUUUGAGAGGUAACUAAAUUUAGUUUUCAAGUAUACAUUUUUUUUGUAAUGAAUUUUAAUUCUUUAUUUUAUAAUUCAAUGUUUAUUAGAAUUGAAGUUUGCUACUUAUUAUAUAAAUUUAGUAUUUUUGUAAAUACUUUUAAUUUUUAUUAUUUUUAGACAAGUAUUCACAAGUUAAAUCUUUUAAUAAAAAAAAUAAAGUUAAUUGUUUCAAUUGAAAUUUGGGUAAAUGUUUCUAGAGUAUGUUUUUCUUCAUUUUUUGUCUUAUUGGAUCUUAAUUUUAGAAUAAUUAGAACUCUCUAAAAAAUAAAAUCCAUAUUUUUUUUAAUAUAAAUUACCAUUCUAGAGCUAAAUGCAUUUCCUUAUUUUAUAAUUCAAUGUCCAAUAAUAUGCAUAGGAAUUGGACAAUAUAGUUUUUUGUUUUAUAAUCCAAUAUCUAUAAUAAUUGGAAACUACAGUUCCUUAUUUUAUAAUCCAAUGUCUAUAGGAAUUAGAGAUUCUUAUUUAUGCUAUAAAUUUAGUAUUUUUACACAUUCUUUUAAUUUGUCUUAUUUUGUUUCUUUUAAAUUUUAUCUUUAACCAAUAUUCACAACUUAAAUCUUAUAAUAGGAAAAGUAAAGUUCCUUAUUUUAAUUGAAGUUGAGGUAAGUGUUUUUCAAGAUUUUUUUUUUUUUUUUCAUUUUUAGUUUAGUUGGAUCUUCACUUUGGGAUAACUAGAAUUUUCUCAUAAUUUUUGUUUGUUUGUUUUUUUUAAAUACCAACCACUAUACUAAAAUGAAUUAAAAAUAACUACAUUUAACAAUUUGAGAAUGAAAUAUCAAGUAUAUUUGAGAGAUCAAAAACAAUUUUUAUUCUUACUAAGAUAUUUGUCUUUUUAUUUGCUCAUGGUUCUUGUUGUUAUGACUUUGUAUUACAUUCCAGAAACAUAUAGUUUUUCCUUAUGUAAAUAAAUUGAUAAAAUUAAAGGAAAUUGACAAGGAAAACAUAAAAAUAAAAAGUAUGUUUGAAUAAAUAAUCCAAUUUUUUUUUUUUAAUAUUCAUCUACUUUUCAUAAAAUUAGGACAAGUAAAAGUUACAUUUUGUUGUCCCUAAAUUGCAAUGAAUUUAAAUUAACAAUAGAUAACGGGUUUAAAUAAAAUUUGGUACAUAUCAUUGCUAAGGUGACAUUUAUUUUGCCUAACUUAGAAAAAUUGAUUUUAAAAAGAAUUUUACCAUCUAAGAUUUUUGGAAUGGAAAAAUGUAACAUUAUUUAUAUUUCAUCGCAGUCCUUUUUCCUUUCUAUUUAUAUUUCAACCCAAUCAUUUUUUUUUCCUUUUUUUAUGUCUAGUUUGAUUAUUUGACUUUGAAUCUCUUCUUAGUUUCAUACAAGGAUUUUAAAAGAAUAAAUUCACAUAUUCAAUUUUUUUUAUUGGAUUUGUUUUCAUAUUACCUCACCUGCAUCGCAUGUGAACACUUCCUAACACACACACACACACAUAUAUAUAUAUAUAUGACUAUUUAGAUACGUAUGGAAGAUACACACAUAUACAUACAUAUACAUACAUACGUAUGGAAGAGUAAGAUGACUUUUUCAAAGAAUCAUUUUUAUAAAAAUGACUAUUUAGAAGAGUUAAGGAGCAAGUCUUUGAGGGGAAAUAAAAUCAAUAGCAAAAGAAUAGGAUGACGUUUUGAAAGAAUCAUCUUUAUAAAGAUGACUAUUUAAAAGAGUUAUGGUCUCUUUCACAAAGUAGAUAUUUAAUUUGAGAACGAGUGGGAAAAUAAAAUUAAUAGCAAUUUGCUUUUUAAUAUUUACAUAUAAGGGAAAGGAUAGGAUGAUUUUGUCAAAGAAUUGACUUCAUAAAAUAGAUAUUUAAAUUGCAAAGUCAUUAUUUAUCAUAUUAAUUAAAGAUAAUGAAAUUUUUUUUUAAAAAGUCAUUGAAACAACCGUCAUUAUCUCCUUUUUUGUUGUAGUGACUUUGGAUAUACUAUUAGAUACAUAAUUAACAAAUCAAAGGAUUGAGUGCAAUUAAUUACAAUAGAUUUUUUUGUAGAUAUUAGAAUUGGUAUAUAUUUUUCUCUAUCUACUGAUGGAAUGAAAAAGCAUCCUAGCCUCCUACGAGGGUCUAACCUUGUGAUUCUCCACUGUAUCAUAUCAGGGUGAUCCAUGGCUUGGUAGUCUUUUCCCUAAAACCUCUUCAUAUUGGCUCGUAACCGAUUCAAAAUUCACGAAAUUCAUAUAGAUCGUUCAAUGAAGUCCCCUAAUCAAGUUCAAGGUAGUCUUUGGUUAUUCUGGAAAUAUGACUAAUCUACUUCAGUACAAACUGUUGAAGUUACAGAAGAAACAAGCCAUGCAUAAAUCACCCACACCCCUCUUCCAAAUUAACAAGCCAUGCACAAAUCAAAUUCCCAUACAUCAAUAUUAUUUUACAUGUCUUUUUAACAGACUGAAUUCAUUAAGACAGAAGAGUAGAUAACUCAGAGGUGAAUCCUACAAAGCCACUUCUACAGAACCCCAAAGAUGUAAAAGGUCAGGAACAGACACCCAAGCACAAAUGCAGAGGUUGAAAGCUCUGAGGAACUGGGUAGCACCAAAUAAAUGCCAGAAGUAAAUGCUAUCACCAUUCCUAGGAUGGAAACGUAUGUGAGUAUGGCUGAAAAUUUUAUGAAACGUAGAAGCAGAUGAUAGCUUCGUUCCAGUGAAGCAAAAAA